rnacentral:lncRNA from 1 species
UUUUUUUUUCGUUUUUUCGACUGCCCGGACCCAAAAACUGGAAACGGGUCAAAAAAAACUUCCUAUAAUGGCACCUGUCUCAAAACACUCAGAAACACCUAAAAAUAGGAUAGCCAGAAUUUUUUUUGAAAAAUGCGUUUUCGAAAAAUUUUGGGCCUAAACGGAGGGUGGUUUCUGGACUCUUUUUUUUCGAAACCUACUCCGGCAAGGAAAACACGAAUCGGAAUCUAGAUGGAUCUCGAAAACAAACCUAAUAUGACAAGAACUCGGAUUGGUGGUGGAUAUAUGGUAGUAUAUGGCAGCGGUGGUGGUAUAUGGAUACGGAUUCGAAGCGGUGGCGGAUAAGCGGUGGUGGUAGAUGGCAGGGGCGAUGAUGAAGGUGCGGCGGCGGCGUGACAACUUAUGACCAGAACUCGUAACUCUAAAAGACUAGACUCUAAGACUAGCAACUAGACACGACGAUGCAACCGCAAAUUCAACAAAGCAAAACCCUAAAAAGAUUAUGCAAAGGCUCAGAUUGGUUCGGAUAUGAUGAACUAACCCUAAUUUUUUUUGUGGCUUUUUCGUGGACUGUAGGUAUGAAGAACAGACUCAAUCUAAACUACGAAAAACUGUAAAAUCUCACCGAGCAACCUGGAAAUCUGAUACCACUUGAUAGAGGCAAAGGUGGCCCGUCUUUCGAUGAGAUGAUGGAUAUCGCUUUGGUGGCAGUCGACUUUGACGAUCCGACUACGAACGUGCGAGGACGUCGCGCCUUAGCAAUCGCUAAACCAACUCAGAGAGGUUAUUGACCACGCCGGAGCACGAUCAACCUGACCACGAGGGUCUGUUUCCUUCGAGCAAACGAAGAACAAGCAAGAAACUGAGAUUGCAAUCUGGAUAUUGCGAAUAUAAGAUGAAAGCUUUAUUGAUCAAGGUGGGGUUCUGUGACGCCUUUGUCUGGUCGUUGAACACAAACAAAGUACGCGAAGUUGCAGCUAUGGCGAACUUUUAAUCUAAACAAAACCCGAAGUCUAAACGAUGCCCUAAGGGCUGUAUAUAUGGAGGAAGAGGGGGGGGGAUUUCGUGGCCCUUGGUGGAGGGGUCCGAAAUCAACCCUAUCUCUUGUUUCCCCACACAUACGUACUCUAAAAAUAGCCUAUACUUAUGUAUUUCGAAAUUACAUGGGCCUGGCCCAAUAAUAAGGUGACGCAGCAGCUAAAAUAGCCUCGGGACGAAAUUUAUGAAGUGGCAUCUUGUAUAUUUCGUCCAAGGCUUCAUGCACCCAUUAUGGUGGCUUCAAAGUCCUGAAAUCAUCACUUGUAACUCCGUUCUUGUUCCCCUUGCGCAUGCCAUCAUCUCCAUGCUUGUUCUUGCUCCAAUGUUCAUCCUUCUCCAAGCUAGGCCCUUCAUUUGUAAGCAAAACAAAUGUAUCCAAUUUAGGCAGCAUCAUAUUCUCAUGAACAUUAGAAUCAUUACCAAGAAACGAAAGUACCUGGUAAUUUAGUUGGCGUGCACGAGCUCUAGUAAUUGGUCCAGUAUGUAUAGCAGCAGGGGUUGUGGGUGUAACAAUUGUAUUGAUGUCCUCAUCAGUUUACAUGGGUGCCAUCAUAUCUUUUGUGCCUUUUCGGCUCAUGAUCAGUAAGGGACUUUUGUUCUGUGCAUUUAGUAGAAUCAUGCGAUGCCUUGGCAUGUUAGUAUUUUCACUAAGUUUGUGAAGCUGAUAUGUUUUGCACUUUUGCCAUGCUUGUUUGAACCUGCUCUUGUGUGAUCUAGUCGUAGCUCAGUGUUCAUGUUUUGUCAAUCAUCUUGUGUAUAUCACUGCCAUAUUCUUUGUUGUUAUGUUGGAGUGCAGUAGCUUAGUUUCUUGUUGCAUGCUAAGUAGCAUCGUGCUGUUAAUUACAGUUUUGCACCAUCCUUGGUUUGCUUGCCAAUUGCAAACCGUGCAUCUGUUUCCGGUGAUCUUUAUAUCGAUUUCAACUGAAAUCAUCUCAUUUUUUCGGCGGCAUACUUGGUUUGACAAGUUGAUGCCUUGAUCAUUCUUUCUCUUCCGGAGCAUGCAUAUGCAUUGCAUAUCAUAUCUUGCAUAUCAUGCCAUGUUUUGCAUCAUGUUGCUUGUGCAUUGCACUGUGAUUGAUUGUUGGUCUAUGUGAACGAGGAACCUGUUGAGUACGCUAACAAGGAUCAAGCUUUCGACAACUCUGAGAACUUUGUAGGCAAGAUAACCAUACCCUCGAAAUCACUUCUAUCUUUGCUUGCUAGUUGUUCGCUCUAUUACUAUGCCGUGUUACCUACCACUUGCUAUAUCAUGCCUCCCAUAUUGCCAUGUCAAACCUCUAACCCACAUUUGCUAGUAAACCGUUGUUUGGCUUUGUUACCGCUUUGCUCAGCCCCUCUUAUAGUGUUGCUAGUUGCAGGUGAAGAUGAAGUUUGUUCCAUGUUGGAACAUGGAUAUUGUUGGGAUAUCAUUAUUAUCUCUUAUUUACUUUAAUGCAUCUAUAUACUUGGUAAAGGGUGGAAGGCUCAGCCUUAUGCCUGGUGUUUUCUUCCACUCUCGCCGCCCUAGUUUCCGUCAUACCGGUGUUAUGUUCAUUCAUUUUACGUUCCUUACGCGGUUGGGUGUUAUGGGAACCCCUUGACAGUUUGCUUUGAAUAAAACUCCUCCAGCAAGGCCCAACCUUGGUUAUACCAUUUGUCCACCUAAGCCUUUUUCCCUUGGGUUCCACGGACUCAAGGGUCAUCUUUAUUUUAAACCCCAGGGCUAGUGCUCCCCUGAGUGUUGGUCCAACCUGUCAGCCGCCGGUGGCCACCAGGGGCAACUCUGGGCUGGCCUACCAGAAGUUUGGACAAUGUGGUGUGCCCUGAGAACAUGAUAUGUGCAGCUCCUAUCGGGAUUUGUCGGCACAUUCGGGCAGCUUUGCUGGUCUUGUUUUACCAUUGUCGAAAUGUCUUGUAACCAGGAUUCCGAGCCUGAUCGGGUCUUCCUCGGAGAAGGAAUAACCUUCGUUGACUGUGAGAGCUUGUGAUGGGCUAAGUUGGGACACCCCUGCAAGGUAUAAACUUUCGAGAGCCGUGCCCGCGGUUAUGUGGUAGAUGGGAAUUUGUUAAUAUCCGGUUGUAGAGAACUUGACACUUAACUUAAUUAAAAUGAAUCAACCGCGUGUGUAGCCGUGAUGGUCUCUUUUCGGCGGAGUCCAGGAAGAGAACAUAGUCUUGUGUUAUGCUUGAACGUAAGUAGUUUCAGGAUCACUUCUUGAUCACUUAUAGCUUCUCGACCAUGCGUUUCUUCUCUUCUCGCUCUCUUUUGCGUAUGUUAGCCACCAUAUUACUUAGUGCUUGCUGCAGCUCCACCUGACUACACUUUCCUACCCAUAAGCUUAAAUAGUCUUGAUCUCGCGGGUGUGAGAUUGCUGAGUCCUCGUGACUCACAGAUACUUCCAAACAGUUGCAGGUGCCGAGGAUACCAGUGCAGGUGACGAUUCCGAACUCAAGUGGGAGCUCGACGAGGAUUCGGGCCGUUACUAUGUUUCUUUUCCUGAUGAUCAGUAGUGGAGCCUAGUUGGGACGAUCGGGGAUCUAGCAUUUGGGGUUGUCUUUCUCUAUUUUGGUUCCAUAGUCGGACCUUUGUUUGUACCUUGGAUGAUGUAUGGAUUAUUUAUGUAUUGUGUGAAGUGGCGAUUGUAUGCCGACUCUUUAUCCCUUUCUUAUUCAGUACAUGGGAUGUGUAAAGAUUAGCCCUCUUGCGAUAAGCCUACCAUGCGGCUAUGCCUCUAAGUCGUGCCCCGACACGUGGGAGAUAUAGCCACAUUGUGGGUGUUACAAGUUGGUAAUCAGAGCCUUCCCCGACUUAGGAGCCCCCUGCUUGAUCGAAUCGUUGACGUUGUUGAGUCUAGAACAAAAUGUUUUGAGUCUUAGGAUUAUAUAUAUCGAAGAGUAGGAUUAUUUUUACUUCUCAGUCCCUUCGUCGCUCUCGUGAGGUCUCCUGACGUAGAAGUUUUGACUCUUCUCUCCACAAAUUUCACGAAUUUUUUUAGGAUCACGCAGGUAUCUUGGAAUCGUUCCGAUGGUUUUGUGACAAGAACAUUGUUCUUGGUGCCUCCUGAUAUUUAGGGGUUGUGGCAGUGUCCCGGGGAGUUGAGCUCCGAGGUGUUGUCGUCACAAUUUUAUCGUUGCAGUUCUGGAAUACCUGAGUUCGCCGACAUCGAAAAUCUCUUUUAUGCAGUUGUUGGUGAGAUAACCUCGACGCCACCCAGUACUGGGGCGGGAGUUCGGGAGUAUUGCCAUAACUCGUAUAAUAGAUGCUUUUUCGAAGGUUGAGGUAAAUUGAUGUAGGGUGGAACCCUAAUCGGCCGAUCUUUCACGAAAGGAGCGGAUCCCGCGAAGAACAUGAGGAACACGAGGGGGAAGAGAGGGAAAACACAAGGGGAAACCCAAUAGGAAACACUAAACCAACACGAAUAAGUCACACAUGUGCUAGAUCCUCGAAUACAUAAGAGAAGAUACACGAUCCACGGACAACUAAGGACGAUACAAGGGUAGCCGGUCUUCUCCGUGAGGAGGUCUUGAGUUCUUCCCUAAAAAGGGGUCUUGAAUCCGCUUGGGGGAUCUUCUCCGGUGGAGGCUCGAAUCUCCAAGGAGAAGGUGUCCAAGUGGAUGAGCAAAGCUCUCACACAAAAUAUGAGCUAAUCCUUUGCUAACCUUAGAAAGAAGGAGGGAGAGGUCUAUUUAUAGUCUUAGUGCAAAUGGGGGGUGAAGUGAAGGGGUACAUGGGCCUCAGCCCGCAACUGGACACAACCAGGGGUCGGACGUCCGGUGGGCGUCGAACGUCCAGAGACUCACAGGCGGCCGGACGUCCGGAAGACGUCGGACGUCCGCACGAUAUGGCUCGGACGCUGGAGUGCCGGAUUUCCGGAGGUGGCCGGUCGUCUGGAGGAUCUUCAGGCGCCGGACGUCCGGACCCGACCGGUCGUCCGGUGGCUGUAGCUUCUUCGACAUCUCUUCUUGUUGCGUCUUCGUUUCCAGGAUUCCCUCGUGGAUGGUGUAGUUGUUCCUUGGCGCUUGCACUCCUCCUUGUCGUCUGUAGUGUCCCUACAAUACCUAUGCAUGCACACUAGUGGAGUGUCAAGUAGUAUACCAUCCUCGAAGGGGUCAAGUGAGCACGUGUAAAGGAGAUGAUUCACCUUUGUGUAUGUGAAGUAGAGGUCACACGUGUCACUUGCCAAACGGACUCUUGACAUGGUGAUGUCCGUAGGAUGCUCCGCAUCAUCUCCCCUCCCUUGGGAAAGAUCCAACCUCGGAUCGAAAACCAAAUCACCAUGGGAAAGAGAUGGCUUCGCCGUGUAGGAGUGGACGUUCACCAAGUAGUCAUCAUCUUCAAGCUUGUAGUGGGCACUCUCCAAUGCCACAUCAUCUUGGGAUUCCUUCAAAAUGAGCAAGGAUAACAAACACUUGGAAAAAUGAAUGUGGUUAGCAUUAGUGCAAAACCAAGCAUUCAAGAGGUGAUUCACCAAACAAGUGUCGUCAUCAUGCAAAGCAUAUGGUGUGACAAAGGAUUGUGACAUGGCAUAUAAGCACAUAAAUUGAGCACAAGCAAAGAUAUCAUGGGGGCAAGCAUGUAAAUGGUUGUCAUCAACCGCAUUAAGUGAGCAAGUAUGAAUCAUUGGUGAUGCAACAAGGCAACUAAUCAUAGGAAUCAAGUCGUGCAAGCUAGUAGUGCAAAGAUGCAACAUACUAGAGGAAAGCAUGGCAAUCAUGUCAUGUGAGCAAAUAAUAGUCAUAGACAAUGUACAUGACAUAUCGCAAGCACGAACACAAAGCAAGAUCAUAGUAUCAUCAUAGGCAUGGGGCACAAAGCAAACAUGUCAAUAACAAGCAAUGUCUCCACCAAGCUUGCAAAUACACAUACAAGUAUGAGAAUCAAUCAUCAUGUGUAAUGCAAAGCAUGGAUCACGAAUGCAUGGCAAAAGCAUAGUAAUGAGCAUAUCAUGCAAAGUGAACAUGGAAAGAUGGGCAUAGAAUAUGUAGUGGACAAUAACCCAUAGCCAAGUGAGGGUCAUGUAGAAGAAAUGCGCGAAGUCUUUGCACAAAGAGAGUGGUGGGAAAGACAAUCUAUGGGAUCCCAAGUCAUCGUUGCUCUCUAGAGCUUGUUUUGUCAACUCAUGGGAUUGCGAGGUUGACAAGAAUUCAUGGGUACCUACACAAAAGAGACACAAACGAAAGAAAUUGUGUGUGUGUGUGUGGUAAAUGUACACAUCAUCCAUCAUGAUGUGUAUGUGCACAUGAAAGUUAGCACAAGAUAAGCGUUGCUCAAAGAAAUUUGAUGCAUGGUAUAAGAACAUGUCAUCCACCAUGAAAGAAUAGUUAUUGUGUAUAACACGAUGGGGAUGCAAAUUGAGCAUACAAAUAUAUGACACAUCAAUAUCAUGUUUAUUCAUGGGGAGCAUAUUGUGCACAUAAGUAUGAGGAUCAUGCAAUGGAUGGGAGUGAUCAAAAUCUCCUAAAAUGUAUGAGGAAACUAUGGGGGUCGCCUCAUGAGCAAUAUUGGAAACAUCAUAUGGAGAAAAUGGGCAACACCCAAAACAAUGCAUAUCCGAAGCUAGGUGGUCAUGGCAUGGCAUAUGAGAUAAGUGAUGGAAAGGGAGCAUAUCAAUAUCAUCACAAGAGAAACAAAUGCCAAUAACCAUGGGCUUGUCAUCUAUGCCAUAAGUGCAAAUUGGGUUAAUUUGAAUGGCAGAUGCAUAGUCACUAUGAAGAGAUUGCAAAUAUGACAUGUGGUCGAUCUCAUGCAUAGCAUAUGACAAGUCAAGCGGAUUGGCAAACAUGAUGUGACCGAGAGAAUUAUCACAGGAAAUCCUAUGUAACAUGGCAUCACAACUAAUAGACUCCACAUGGCAAUCAUCAUACUCAUCAUAAAUGGGUAAAUCAUCGCAUGGGGAAGUCGCACUAGCAUGAAGCAUGGUAAUAGGUUGAUCAACAUCAUGCAAGCAAUCAAUGUCAAGAAUGUCCACUAGUGGGACUAGAGCAUCACCUUCACCUAUGUUACCUUUGUCAUUCCACUCUAGUGGUGUAGGUGAGGUGGGUAAGACCAAAUGGUGGUCAAGAUCAUCAUCUUGAUGGAACCAUGUGGGGGGUGCAUCAUAUUCCACCAUGGCCAUCGUCUUGUCCAAAGGUAGGACGUAGUCAUCGCGAAUCGACGCGUCAUCAUAUAUGGGACCUAGCACCAAAUGAGAAGACACAAUAGAGGUAGAGGUCAAGUCGUUAGUGUUGAAAGUGGCCUCACAUGACCUAUUAACUAUGUCACUCUCUCUAUGUGGUGGUUCACUCACUCCCACAAAAUAGGUGCACUCAAUCUCACGUAUGGUGGAGUCACUCAUCUCACUCAAGUGGUGGGGGGUGUGGCUCUCCUCACAUGGGAAUUGGGGUAACACAUCAUAUAUGGGGCUAGUGGUGAAGUCACUCUCACUCUCAAUAUGGUGGCAAAAGUCACUCAAGUCAUCAUACGUCGUCGUGGUCGAGGGAAAAUCCCAUGCUCAACCAUCUCAUCGCCGUCGCCGUGGAUGAAGGCCGAAGAUGGCACAUCAUCACUCUUGCCUCCUAAGAUGGAAGCAUCAUCCUUGCUCGCCACCUUGUCGCUCGCCUCCAAAGCUUGGUCCUUGAGGGUCUCCGUAGUCAUACUCGUCGCCGCACCAUCUUGAAAAAGAGUCAUGGAGGACUCGGCAUCAUCAAUGCCACAAAGAGGGACGGCGGUGAAGUCGAACUUGGGAGCAUCAUCUUGGAGCUCGUCGAGCUUGGACAUCAUGGUGGUACUAGCCUCGUUCUCGUUCUCAUGGAGCUUGGUCAUCGCGAAGUGAGCUUGGGGUGGAGAAGCUUUGGCCUUCAUGAGUUCUUGUUCCGCCAUGAGAGCACCAAUGUAGUUGUCGUCGAGGGACUUGUAGUUCUCGAGGAAGAUCGUCUUGGAGAUGUCGUUGUGCAAUCCCAUCAUGAAGUGGAACUUCAUCGAAAUGGGGUCGUCCAAGUCGGCUCAUCGCAAGGCAAUCUUCAUCUCCUUGAAAUACUCGUUGAUGGACUUGGAUCCUUGGAUGGUGUUCUCCAAUUGGCGUUGAAGUUGUUCCGCGUAGGUUGGAGGCACAAACUCUCUACGCAAAGCUCUCUUCGUCUUGGGCCAACUCAUGUCGUAGCUCUCCGAAGGUGUGUGAAGCCACCAUGUGGACGCGUAGUCGUGGAAGUUCCUUGUAGCGCACUUCACUUGAUCUUCCAGAGGGACUUGAUGUAGCUUGAGGUAGUCGUCCAUAAAACGCUCCCACUCGAGAUACUCCUCGUGUCGUGGAAUUGUCACGGCAGAUGUCCUAGAGCAAGGACUUAGUCGUAGGGCCAUCGCACUAGGAAGCUUAAAGGGGUUAAUCGGGACAAAGGACACGAGAGGGUUUUAUACUAGUUCGGCCCCUUACGAUGAAGGUAAAAGCCUACGUCUAGUUGGGAUUGGUAUUGUUGGGGUUUCGAUCACCAAGAGGCUCAACUCGUCGGCUUGGUUAUCGACUUGUUGUUACUUGCCCUAAGCCGCCACCGGGUCGUCCCCUUAUAUCAUGGGUUGACGCCUGGUGGCCUACAGAGUCCCGGCCGGCUCAUAAUCGUGUCCGGCUCGGUGGCUUCCUUUACAUGCCUUUCUUUACAAGUCUUUCCUUACAUACGGCGGUUUACAAUAUCGAGCCUUAAGCCGCCUCCAGGCCCUUGGGCAUUCUAUAAGGUUUAAUAAACUAUCGUCUUGAAUGUUUACUGGGCUUCGUGCGUAACCCGCCAUUGGGGCUGACCCGGCCCCUCCUGGGCGGGUCAUGGCUGAUAGUAAUAUCCCCAACAUUAGGCCCCAGGUUGACUUUGAAUUUCAUUCUUUGUCAAUCUUCAAUACUUAUACAAAAAUCCAUCUUCUUAUCUUCAUUGAAGUUUUCGUAACCCGCCGUGAUGUCAUCCCUUGAAAAUGCAAAGAAAUUUCAUGACGUCAUCUCCCAACGGAUCUUUUAUCUUUAAUGCUUCCCAAGAGUCGAGGCGUCUGUGUAGCUAGAGAACCAUUAUUCGGUUCUCCUCGAUUUUUGCGCCCGUCUGUUCACAUCUUUCCUUAUAAAUAGGCAUGCCUCGGCCUUCUCAUUCUCCUCUCUCGCUCCGUCUUCUUCCUCUCGCGCACCCCCUACUGCUCGAGCUUCGCCGCCACCGCGCUUCACCUACGUCUCCGUCGACGUUGACCACCGCAUCAACCUAAGCCAAUCCAAAGAACAGCGGCGAUCUCCGUAGAAGACCUGUGACUGUAAGUUCUCUUCUUUUCACUUCUCAGAUCUGCACUUAGGGUUUCCAGAUUCUUUCGUGUUCUUCCGAGUUCAUUGCAGUCCCUCGUAGUUUUUCCACUGCAGGCCUCUUCUUGAUCCAAAUAUAUAUAUAUAUAUAUAUAUAUAUAUAUAUAUAUAUAUAUAUAUAUAUAUAUAUAUAUAUAUAUAUAUAUAUAUAUAUAUAUGCUCAUGCGGUAGUGUUCUUGUGCCUUUUCUUGAUCCACAGAUCCCUUUCUCUGUUUUCAAAGGCUGCAUUAGAACUUACAUACUCUUCUGCGCUAAAAAAUUUUAGGUCUAGAUUUUUUUUCAUUUUGAAUAGCCAUUUGAUCUGGAAUAAUACCAAACAAUUUAAGAAACUUGUUUGUCUCAACACUUAGCUGAAAUUGCCUUCUUCAAAUAUCUGUAGUCAUGGCGGCUUAUCAUGCUGGCUUAAUUUUCCUUAUAUGUCAUUAGCCCUUAACUAAGCUGCCAUUACUUGUUUGCAUCUUCAUCACUUAACUAUCAAUCUCACCAUUAAACUGAACCGACAUAUUGCUUUUCUUUUCAGUUCUUCUUUGCCCAUCAUGCCGUCCAAAGCACCAACCAUCUGCAACUGGGUUCCCUCAACCGUAACUAAGGAACGUUUGAAAGAGUUCUUCACCAUAGGAUUUCUGCCAGCGAAAACUGUCAUGUCUGACCGUGCCCCUGACUCGGAAGAAGAACGGGCCAACCCAAUAGACGGCGAAGUGAUCGUUUUCACUGACCAUAUGAACUGCGGCUUCUCACCGCCCGGCUCAAAGUUCUUCAGAGAGGUCCUCCACUUUUUCAAGCUCCAUCCUCAAGAUAUCGGGCCCAAUUCCAUAUCUAACAUCUAUAACUUCUAAGUACUCUAUGAAGUAUAUCUUCAACAAGAGCCGACCGUGGAGUUGUUUAGAGAAUACUUUUAUCUGAAUCGACAGAAUGAGUGCACCAGCGGCCUUAACUUAGAGCUUGGACGCAUAUCAAUUCAGCGCCAGCAGGGUGCCGUCUUCCCCCUCAUUGUCUUACCAAGUCACCCAAAGGACUGGAACCAGACUUGGUUCUACUGCCAGGACACUUCACCAGCAAACGAGAAGCCACUGUCGGGUUAUCGCCCCGAUCGUCUUGACUCCAAGUUCGCGCUUCUUGAUAAGCUUACCGUCGCUGAAUGCAAGAGGCUGAUACCAUCCAUCAAAAGGAUCAAUGCUCUAUUGGGGAACGGGUUAACUGGAGUUGAUCUAACCCGUUGCUGGAUCUCAUGGCGGGUCAUCCCUUUGAGUCGCCGGUCAAAGCUGAUGUAUGAGUAUGGUGGUGGCCCAGAUGACUCUCUUCGUCACAGCCCCGUUCAAUUGACAGAAGAAGAUAUUGUCUCAAUGUCAACUCUUCUGGUGAACGGUAAAUACGAAGAUUGCAGUGUCGUCGGGUUAAACCCCUUCUGCCAGCUUAACCCGGUGCCAGAAGUAAGGAUGUCGUUAUUUCUCUCCUUUGUAUUUUCCCAGCCGUAUUGUUUUAAUACUUUCCUGACUCUUUAUCUUGUUUUUACCUGUGUGCAGGCCAACUCUGACUUCUGGAAAGUUAAGUAUGACCACGAGGCUGCCAAGAAAGCGAAAGCCGCCGCCAUAAAUGCCAAGAAAACGAGCCGGAGGUCGAAAAAGAAGAAAAAGAGCACCGCUGAAGAUUUGAUGAAGCUUGAUGAUACAUCUGAUUCAGAGGUAGCCCUUGAUUUCCUUGGCCAAUUUUUUAACAAUCUUAUUGACGCUGAUAAUUACCAGGAUGACACUGGGGCCAGUCAGGCCGUGGAAGCAGAGGUAACUAUCAUUUCCUCCAACUCAGAGCCCUUGCCAAGACAAAAAAUUCAACGAGUGAUCCGUAAAGUAAGGUUUUCUAACCCUUUAGCUCACUUGGUUCCCACCUUUCGUUUGAAAAAGCAGCAACAUGAAAGCCGCCGUCAGGCCCGGACUGAAGAUGAGCUGGCUGUCAUUCUUCAACAAACUUCUCAAAAGCACCCAAAUGAGGUUCACUUCUUUCUGUCUUUAACUCUGUUUAAUGGAUCCUUUCCCCUGCCUUACUUUUAACUUUGUUUUACCUUUUCAGGAGGUGUCUCUCUCUUCUGGCGACUCAUCGCAGACGCAAUUUCUGGCCUUCAAGACUGCCCCUGGGUAAAAAUCCUCCUUUUUCCGGUUUGUUCAAAUUGUAUCUUUAUACUGACAAUCCUGCAACAUUUCUCUUAGUGGCCAGGCUAAAUCCAAGAAGGCAAAGGCAACUAAACCGGCAGAAGACCCGCCGGUGCUUGCAUCUGACCCGGCCAGGCCAUCUUCUCCAUUAACCGACGCUCUAGAAGACCCGCCUAUUGAUACAGAAGAAAAUCCUCCUGAGCCGUCGUUUGAUGAGACCACUGUAAACCCGUCGGCAGCUGGACCAUCAAGCUCAGCCAACCCGCCAUCACCGUCUGCCCAAGACGUUCAGAUCACCGGGAGCCGUUUUAUUGAGCCAGGGAAUCCAACCAUGAUGGCUCGGUGUACCACAAAACAAGAGGCAUUAGAGAGGCAAAAAGUGUGCUUUGAUGUUGCCAAUUACGACCAUUUAAAUGCCAACGAUAUUUUAUCUGGCUAUCUCAGCCACGUGCACUCCAGUCGCGACUCUGAGAUCGAAAUGGUCAAACAGUUGCAGCUGAAAUAUGAGGUACGUUCUUCCGGCUUAUCUAUAUUCCUUGAGCCCCCAAGUCUUCAGAUUAUGAGACAACUGGAAUUAUCUGUAGACUUUAGCAUAUAGGCCAAGACCUUCACCUUUGAUUUUCUUGAGUUCAAUAAAAUAGAACAAAACUUCACCUGUAGUCCCCAAGGGUCGGUUCUUUUUUAUCAUAAAUGAGCCAGUACCUUAAAUUGUUUUGUACAUAUUCAAAGAACUUAAUAUUCCGGCUUAACCUUGAGAAACUUGCUGAACUGCAUACAUGAGCCCCCAAGUGCCAAGUGUUGUUACUUUGUAAGGUACUUGGGACUUAAAGUAUGUCUUUAGAGUCAUAAAAAUUUGAUUUGGCAUACAUUAGCCCCCAAGUGUCAAGUGGUUUUUUGUAAAGUACUUGAGACUUGAAUCUUGAUUUUUGAACUUGAAGCAAAAUCUUGACUCAUCUGAAUGUUUUGCAGAAUGCCUUAUCUGAAUUGAACUCGCAAUUGACUGAUGCGAAGACCCGGCUAGCGAGUCAGGAGGCAGAAAUCAAAUCUGCUAACUCCAAACUGCAAAUAAGUCUCUCUAAGACGGAAGACCAGCUUCGCUGCCAAGAAGAAAACCUGGGAAGAGGAAAAAACGCUUCUGACCAACGCGCUGAGAACGUCGAAACAACCCUUGAAGAGAUUUCAACAGAACUGAACGGUUUAAAGGGCCGGGUGUCUCAAAUGGUGGCUGCCAUCUUUGGUAAGUCGUCCGACUUUAAUUUUGUGUGCUUUUUGCUGAUCCGGAGUAUAAGCCGCCAGCUGACUUUGUGUAUAAAAUAUGUGCAGGCCCACGAAGCAAAAAUCUAAGCCAAGAUCAUUUGAUUAAACUGAAGGAAGUGUAUACUUUGGUAGAACAACUGUAUAUUGGCGCACAGCGGGCACUUGCCGCCAUCUCUCCUGCCAAUCAAGGACCCAACCGGCUCAGCGACGUCCUGAAGAAACUGUCAAUCCUGCCUGCCAGAUUUCAGGAAGUGAAACGCUCCUGUGCACGAGCUGGGGCUUUGACUGCCCUGAGCCGCUCCAAAGCUUGGGUGCCAGACCUAGACCCGGCGGACGUGGCCAGAGGCUAUCCCACCGUGAAGGAAGACGGAUCUCCCUUUGAGCAGGAUGACUUCAUGGCUUGCGUGCGCGGAGUCCGGCCUCAGGCAACUACCCUUCGAGAUGAUACCAAUAUUGACAAAUAUCAGCCGAAUUUUGAUGCUGAAAAUAAGAAGAUGGCGACUCCCUUGUACAAGGUGACGGACUUGAUCCCGCCUCUAAGAUAAAAUACAUUUUCCCCGGAAGUUGACCCGGCAGGCCUGAUCGACGAUGAAGCAGAAUUCGUCGCUAUGAAUGGUUUUGAUUGGUCAAAACCCAACUUCCAGCCAACAGAGGGCGGUGACCCGGUGACGGAGGAAUAAUAACCAUCUUCAUUGGCUUAUAAAAAGCCGUGUAAUAGGUUAGCUGUGAAAACACUGAAUGCCUUGCUUAUGCCAUCGUGCAUAAAACACUGUAUGUGACUCUGUGUUUCCUGAUGGCAAUAUAUGCAUUAUAUUUGAUGAUUGUUUCUGCAACACUUUAAAUCUGUUCCCUCUAGAGACAAGAAAAGACUGGCUUGGCGGCUUAGAACCGAACGGGUUAAAACACCCGGCUUAUAUCCAAUAUGUUUAUCAUAAUAGAAAAGAGAAAGCAGAUAUGAAUAAAGGACAAGGGCUGAAACUAACUCUUUAGUUAAUGCAGCAGACAAUUAUACAUAAAUAAUAGCCACACUUGUACCUUUGAUCCUUAGACCACCGGCUUGAGUAACCCGGGUAAUGAAGCUGAUAACUCAAUCUUUCUGAGAAAUCAAUACCUUUGAAUACUUCAAUGAUUGUCAUACCUUGGUAGCCAUGUUGUCAAAUAGACAAACCGACGAAGAAGAUCAUGCUAAUUAUUUGCAACAAGAAACUCAAAGGCAAAUAAAAGUUAACAGGUGUUAUUUAACCUUAUAUUUAAAGGUUGGUGGCUUCUGAUUCGAAUACGAUCAGUAAACCGGACCAAAGGGGUUAAGCUAAGGUUCGAAUAUGACCAUAUAGCCCCCGGUGGCUGUGGCAUUGCGCUGAUCAAGAGGGUACUGACAGCUAUGUUCUCUUUGGUUCGAAUACGACCUAUGUUUGAACAGGAAUCCCCCAAAUGACCUUGAGAGGUUUUUAACGACCCUAAUUCGAAUACGAUCCAAGUCAGACCCAAAAGGGGUUAAGCUAUGAUUCGGAUACGAUCAAGAAGCCUCCUAGUGAGUUUGGCCUUGAGCCGAUCAAGAGGGUUACGACAGCUAUGUUCUCUUUGGUUCGAAUACGACCUAUGUUUGAACAGGAAGCCCCCAAGUGACCAUGAUAAUUGCAGCUAGAUUCGAAUAUGAUCAUAAGCCGGACCAAAAAAGGUUAGACUUGAUUAAAAUAUGAUCAGCUCCUUAAUAGUCAUUUGAGAAUAAGAAAUAACAAAGAUGCAUAAUCUUUGAAAAGAAAAGAGACCGAUGGUCUUACUUUAGUACUUAUCAUGGUAUAUAUAAUGUUAAAGUAUGUACAUGAUGAGAGCCGGUAGCUCAGGUGUAGUAUGGCCGAAGUUGAGCAAUGUUCCAUGGCCGGCAGGUCUCCUCCUCCGACUUACGUGAAUCUUUGUGUUCUCGAACGUCAAUGAGGUAAUACGACCCGUUGUUUAAGUUCUUGCUGACCACAAAGGGUCCUUCCCAAGGUGGGGAUAGCUUGUGCGCAUCUGACAGAUCCUGGAUGAGCCGGAGCACCAGGUCGCCUUCUUGAAAAGUCCUGGAUUUGACCAGGCAGCUGUGAUAACGACGUAGGUCCUGUUGAUAAAUUGCUGACCGAGCCGCUGCUAAGUCUCUUUCUUCAUCCAACAAGUCAAGUGCAUCCUAUCUGGCUUGUUCAUUAUUAGCUUCAACAUAAGCCGCCAUACGAAGCGAGUCAUGACGGAUGUCACUAGGCAACACUGUUUCUGCUCCAUAAACCAUGAAGAAAGGUGUGUAACCUGUAGACCUGUUAGGUGUGGUGUUGAUACUCCACAACAUCGAGGGUAAUUCCUCUACCAAACAACCCGGCGUUCGCUGUAAGGGAACCAUAAGCCGGGGUUUGAGACCUUUCAAAAUUUCCUGAUUGGCCCUCUCAUCUUAACCAUUGGAUUGAGGAUGAGCUACAGAAGAAACAUCAAGCCAGAUAUGCUCACGUUGACAAAACUCCUCCAUAGCCCCUUGGGACAGAUUAGUGCCAUUGUCAGUGAUAAUGCUGUGUGGAAAACCAAAACGGAAGAUCACCUUUUUCAUGAACUGAAUCGCCGUGGCCACGUCACACUUACUCACUGGCUCUGCCUCAACCCACUUAGUGAAUUUAUCAACUGCCACCAAGAGAUGUGUCUUUUUAUCCUUAGACCUUUUGAAAGGUCCCACCAUGUCAAGCCCCCAGACCACAAACGACCAAGUGAUUGGAAUCAUCUGGAGCUCUUGAGCCGGCACAUGCGCUCGUCGUGCAAACUUUUGACAUCCAUCACAUCUGCUGACCAGAUCCUCUGCAUCAGCGUGAGCCAUCAACCAGUAAAAACCAUGACGAAAAGCCUUGGCUACCAGAGAUUUUGACCCGACGUGAUGACCACAAUCGCCUUCAUGGAUCUCAUGAAGUAUUUCUUAACCUUCUUCGGGGGAAACACACUGCUGAAAUGCUCCGGAGACACUGAGAUGGUAUAAUUCUCCAUCCGAAAUUGUCAUUGACUUAGACCGCCGGGUUAUUUGUCGAGCUAGGGUCUCAUCCGCUGGCAACUCUCCCCGGGUCAUGUAAGCCAAGAACGGCACUGUCCAAUCUGGGAUGACAUGAAGAGCCGCCACCAACUGCGCCUCCGGGUCAGGAACAGCUAAAUCUUCUUUUGUGGGCAACUUGACAGACGGGUUAUGCAAAACAUCCAAAAAGGUGUUAGGUGGUACCAGCUUACGCUGAGACCCCAACUGGCUUAAAGCAUCAGCCGCUUCGUUCUUUCAACGAUCAAUGUGCUCCACCUGAUAACCUUUAAAAGGCCCUGCAACAGCAUCAACCUCCCGGCGAUAAGCCGCCAUGAGAGGGUCCUUGGAAUCCCACUUGCCUGAUACCUGUUGAGCUACUAGAUCUGAGUCACCAAGACAUCUGACCUGGCUCAAACCCAUCUCUUUUGCCACUCGAAGACCAUGGAGCAAGGCUUCAUACUCUGUUGUGUUGUUAGUGCAAGGAAACAUCAACCGUAACACAUAACAAGGUUAACACAACUCCAGCCCCCGAGCCUUCCAACUGUCUGGACCCAUCAAAAUGAAUAGUCCAAUAUGUGUUGUCUGGUUUUUCUUCUGUCAUCUGCAUCUCUGUCCAAUCAUUAAUGAAGUCAACUAGUGCUUGAGAUUUGAUCGUAGUACGUGGCACAUACUUCAACCCAUGAGACCCAAGCUCAAUCGCCCACUUGGCAACUCGUCCAGUGGCUUCCCUGUUUUCAAUGAUGUCUCCUAAAGGAGCAAAGCUAACCACGGUGAUUGGAUGUCCCUGAAAAUAAUGCUUAAGCUUCCGUCUUGCCAUGAACACCCCAUAUACGAGCUUCUACCAAUGUGGAUAUCGUUGAUUGGAUUCAAUUAGCACAUCACUGACGUAGUAAACUGGCCGUUGAACCGGAUGCUCCUUGCCAGCCUCCUUGCGCUCCACCACAAUAGCCACACUAACAGCUCAUGAGUUGGCGGCCACGUAUAACAGCAGCGGCUCUUUCUCAACUGGAGCAACCAGGACCGGCGGCUCAGCCAGCUGUUUCUUCAGAUCUUCAAAAGCAGAGCUCGCAACAUCGCUCCUAACAAAAUCAUCUGUUUUAUUCAUCAUCUGAUACAGAUGCAUUGCCUUCUCCCCUAACCGGCUUAUGAACCGGCUCAAAGCAGCAACAUGGCCCGCCAGUCGUUGAACGUCAUUGACGCAUGUUGGUUUGGCCAGAGAUGUAAUUGCCUUGAUUUUCUCCGGGUUAGCCUCAAUACCUCGGUUAGACACCAAAAAACCCAAGAGCUUGCCGGCUGGGACUCCAAAAACACACUUGACCGGGUUAAGCAUCAUUUUGUAGACCCGAAGAUUAUCGAAAGUCUCUUUCAGAUCUAUGACCAAGGUUUCCUCUUUCCUGGAUUUUACCACUAUAUCAUCCACAUAAGCAUGAACAUUACGCCCAAUUUGAUCGUGAAGACAAUUCUGCACACACCGUUGGUAAGUCGCCUGGGAACUCUUAAGCCCAAAAGGCAUAGACACAUAGCAGAAAGCUCCAAAAGGAGUGAUAAAAGCCGUCUUCUCCUGAUCCUUGACUGCCAUCUUGAUCUGAUGAUAACCGGAAUAAGCAUCCAAGAAACUCAAACGUGCGCAACCCGCCAUAGCAUCAAUGAUCUGAUCAAUACGGGGGAGAGAAAAAGGAUCAGCCGGAUAAGCAUUGUUCAGAUCGGUGUAAUCCACACAUAUACGCCAGGUGCCAUUCUUUUUUAGUACAAGCACCGGGUUGGCUAACCACUCUGGGUGAAAGACUUCUACAAUGAAUCCAGCUGCCAAAAGCCAGGCCACCUCUUCUCCAAUGGAAUUGCGCCUUUCUUCAUUGAACCGUUGGAGAAAUUGUCCGACAGGUUUAAACUUUGGAUCAAUAUUGAGAGUGUUCUUAGUGAGUUCCCUCGGGACACCCGACAUGUCUAAAGGUUUCCAUGCGAAGAUGUCCCGGUUCUCACGGAUGAACUCGAUGAGCGCGCUUUCCUAUUUUGGAUCCAAGUUAGCACUGAUGAUGAACUGCUUGGAUGAGUCGCCAGGCACAAAGUCAACCAUCUUGGUGUCAUCAGCUGAUUUGAACUCUAACACCGGCUCAUGUUCUGUUGUUGGUUUCUUUAAUGACGUCAUGUCUGCCGGGUCAACAUGAUCUUUGUAAAAUUUUAACUCCUCUGUUGCACAAACAGAUUCAGCAUAGGCAGCAUCACCUUUUUCACACUCCAAAGCUAUUUUCCGGCUCCAAUGUACUGUUAUGGUGCCCUUAUAACCCGGCAUCUUAAGCUGCAAAUACACAUAACACGGCCGAGCCAUGAAUUUGGCAUAAGCCGACCGUCCAAUCAGAGCAUGAUACAUGCUUUUGAUCUUAACCACCUCAAAGGUUAAUUUUUCUGCUCUAGAGUCAUACUCAUCCCCAAAGGCUACUUCCAGUUUAAUCUUACCCACUGGGUAUGCUGACUUGCCAGGAACCACACCGUGAAUAACAGUGUUGGAUUGUUUAAGACUCUUAUCAGUCAAUCCCAUCCGGCGGAACGUCUCAUAGUAGAGGAUGUUGAUGCUGCUGCCUCCAUCCAUGAGUACCUUAGUGAAUUUGUAUCCACCAACCUGAGGCGCCACCACCAAAGCCAAGUGACCCGGAUUAUCGACCCGGGGUGGGUGAUCCUCUCUGCUCCACACAAUAGGCUGCUCUGACCAACGUAAGUAACGUGGAACCGCCAGCUCAACGGUAUUGACGGCCCUCUUGUGAAGUUUCUGGUCUCUCUUACAUAAGCUAGUGGUGAAUACAUGGUACUGCCCACUAUUCAGCUGCUUGAGGUUGCUCUGAUAUCCGGACUGCUGCUGCUGAUUACCUUGGCCGGGUUGUGGAUUAUACCCUCCUUGGUUACCAGGAUGACCCUGACCAUGGAAUCCUCCUCCACCUAAGCCGGCGCCCGGGCCUUGGAAACCGCCUCCACUUGAGCCGCCACCUGGGCCGUGACCUCCAUCAAACGCGUUUGAAUUUUUAAAUGCCUUCAUGAUCGUACAAUCUUUCCACAGGUGGGUGGCUGGCUUCUCCCGGGUGUCGUGCUUUGGACAAGGCUCAUUCAAUAACUGCUUAAGGGUGGGACCUGACCCGCCUGACCGAGGGGGAUGUCUGCCCUUGUGCCGUUGAUUUACGCCCUGUGCAUUGGUGUUAGCAACAAACUCAUCAGCCUUAUGUUUAUUACCUCCUUGAUUUGCCGGGUUAUGCUGGUGACCCUUGCCGUUGCCGUUCUUCUUUCCCUUCGUUGCCUUUUCUUCGUCAGACACCGGGUCCUUGGUAGUAUCAGAAUCAGCAUACUUCACGAGAGCCGCCAUCAACGUUCCCAUGUCAUUACUGUCACGCUUCAGCCGCCCCAGCUUCUGCUUCAGAGGUUCGAAACGACAAUUUUUCUCCAACAUUAAGACUGCUGAGCCGGCAUCCAUCUUAUUAGAUGAAUGUAUUAUCUCUUUGACCCGACGCACCCAAUGGGUUGUGGAUUCAUCAUCCUCUUGCUUGCAAUUGGUUAGGUCCACAAUCGACAUAGGCUGCUUACACGUGUCUUUAUAGUUCUGGAUGAACCGGGCCUUCAACUCUGCCCAUGAGCCGAUAGAAUUGGGUGGCAAUCCCUUCAACCAAGUAUGAGCCGUUCCAUCUAACAUCAUAGUGAAAUACUUGGCUAUUGCUGCAUCGCGACCUCCAAUAACUCCAUAGCCAUCUCAUAACUCUCAAUCCAAGCCCCGGGUUGUAAGUCAGCUGUGUAAUUAGGCACCUUAUGAGGCCCCUUAGAGUCCUUUGGCAAAUGCUCAUUACGUAUGGCCGGCACCAAGCAAGGAAUGCCUACGGUUCUUGUGGCCACUCCUGCCUCGAUCGAGGUUGUUGGAUAAGCUGGAAAAGUUUGAUGGGCCACCUGAUCUGCUGCCAUUUGAACUGCUCAUUCCGCCUCUUGACGAAUCCUCUCCUGAUCUGCCAAGUUAAGGGCUCCAGCCCGAACCGGCUCAUGCCUGUAUGGCGGGUUGUGGCAUUGAUCAUUGCUUGACAUAUCUGCGGGUUCCAUAUGCCUACUGUAACUCGGGCUCCGGCUUGGGCGGGGAGUUGAAUGGAUCCUGCCUCGACUGUAGGAGUAUGCAUGCUGUUGCGGCAAAGCUGUUUGAAGAAGUUCUCAUACCCUCCGUGUUUCAAUUGCCGCCGGUGAGUCACCUUCCAUCCGAAGAGCCGCCAGAUGAGCCGAUGCUGCGAUGAGGUUUUCCAAAGGGUUGGAGAAGUGACCCGGCGGCGUUGGGACGUAAUGAGGCGGAGCGGUAAAUAUACGAGGUGGAUCCAUGGCGCGCGGCUAGACCGGUGCGCCAUGUGUUGUAAUCCGGGGUGCCUCUCGCGGUUACUUCCCCCAGCUCCGGGUGUGUGAAAAAGAUUCCUAGGAUCGAGCGUCAGAGGCAGACGUGAUUGCGUUUUCUGAUGCCUCCUCCUCAUGACCUUGUUUGACACGUUCAGAUCCACCGAGAGCCGGAAGGUCUCUGCUUGAAGCUGUUGAGCACGAACGUCCAAAGUCGCCCGCUCUGCUGCCAUCCUGACUUCCUCUGCGGCUAGAUUUUCCUUAGCUUGCACCAUCUCUUCACGUACGCGUGUCACCUCUGCGUCAUGCUGGGCUUUAUCCACCGGCUCUACCACGGCAGUCAACAGAGUCGUCAGUUUAUCCAUGAGGUCCAUCAAGAUCUGAGCCGGGGGGCGCGCGGGGUCUCCUGACCUGGCUGCAGCCGACCUGGUAGCUGUUGCCGCCGCUGCUGUAGAGUUCUGUCCAUGCUGUGUCCCUGCCAUGAAGACUCCAACCCAAUUCGGCGGCUCAAGAGGGUCCAGAAUACUGCUGCCAUCGGAACAGCCCCCGAGCAUGCCGUCCUGCAGCUGGUACAAAGAGUCUGUCUCGCCCAUUGAUGAUGCAGUGUCAGAACAGACGGCCGUCUCACUGCCCUCCACCGAUCCUUCAGAGUAUUCACCACCGUGGAUGCAGCCUACGAAGGCAUGCUUCACGGCAGAUUGAACACGGGCGGUCCUCGCGCGCCGAGCCGUUUCGAUGAGGUUGGUGUGGACAUCCAGCUCAGGACCUGACUCGCCGAUCCGACUAAUGAAGACGUGAAUUCCGCCGAAGGGGACCCGGUAUCCGUACUCAAUUGAGCCGGCCUCGGGGCCCCAGCCUUCGUCGCCGAUGUAGAGCUUGCCGCGACGACUCUUGGUCAUCCGGCCCAUAGCGUUUCCCUUGAGCCCUUCGAAGUUGUCCUUCAAGAACUCAAAUCCAGCGUGCGUUGGCCCCACGGUGGGCGCCAACUGUCAUGGAAUUGUCACGGCAGAUGUCCUAGAGCAAGGACUUAGUCGUAGGGCCAUCGCACUAGGAAGCUUAAAGGGGUUAAUCGGGACAAAGGACACAAGAGGGUUUUAUACUAGUUCGGCCCCUUACGAUGAAGGUAAAAGCCUACGUCUAGUUGGGAUUGGUAUUGCUGGGGUUUCGAUCACCAAGAGGCUCAACUCACUGGCUUGGUUAUCGACUUGUUGUUACUUGCCCUAAGCCGCCACCGGGUCGUCCCCUUAUAUACAUGGGUUGACGCCUGGUGGCCUACAGAGUCCCGACCGACUCAUAAUCGUGUCCGGCUCGGUGGCUUCCUUUACAUGCUUUUCUUUACAACUCUUUCCUUACAUACGGCGGUUUACAAUAUCGGGCCUUAAGCCGCCUCCAGGCCCUUGGGCCUUCUAUAAGGUUUAAUAAACUAUCAUCUUGAAUGUUUACUGGGCUUCGUGCGUAACCUGCCAUUGGUUAUCGUCUUGAAAGGUUCUUGAGUCCCAUAGAAAGGAAUCGCGUGGUUGAUGUCGAGGUCGUAGUAGCUCGUGGAAGUCGCGGACUUGAGCUUGGGGAGAUUCUCUUGAGGUGCUUGUGGGAGAAGAUGUCGUAUGUCCAUAGGCGAGAUGCCUUGAAGUUGCUUGGCGAAGAUGCCAAGGGAGAUGGUGAAGUCGUUGAGCGGUUGUUGGUGUUGAGCUCUUGACCUGCAUGUCCUUAUUGGUGAUGGUGUCGAUGCCGAUGUGAUCUUGCCGGAGAUGGUAGCUUGGAGGCAUGUGCUCUUGAGCGUCUUCUCGAAGAUGAGGAAGACCGCUUGUAGGACUUGAUGAGGGCUUUGAUCUCCUCCAUUUGAGCUUGCAUCUUGGCAUCGUUGGAGUUGUUCGUGGCAUCAAACUCGUCGUUGUUGUUGUAGACCGACGAUGAAAUGCCUUGCCUAUCCAUCAGAAGACUCGAGCCAAUAUGAGUGGGAGAAAGAGAAGAACGAAUAGCAAAUUUACCUUGCCCGAAGUUGAAGGUGGAUCAAUGAUCACUCCAAUGUGGAACAAGGAAAUAGCACAAUUGGUACCAAUUGUUGUCGGUUUCUCACACCUACACAAAUAAGGCUUAUGGAGCUCGGUGAGAAUAGUGGCACAAAAAUUUGAUGUAAAAUGUUAGCAAGAGUCAAUAAUGUUGAAAGAGAUUCACAAAUUCGGAAGUGAAACAAGUAGACCAAUAGCAAUGAAUGACACACGAAAACGCACACACGGAUAGAUAAAUGGGGUCGUGCAACCAAGGAUGAGCACAAAAUGUGGAAUCCACGGAAAACGCUCAUGUUGCACAACUCAAGAGAGACUCUAGCACGAUUGCUCUGUAGGCGGAUACAACACUUGUGCACAACCUAUAAGAUGCAAAAUGUAUGAACUUUCUAUCCCAAGUAUGCUAUGUAUGUAUGGCUCUCGGUGUUAUGAUCCAAGAUGAUCUUACAUGCAAUGUGGUAUGCUGCUAUGGCACUUGCUUACAAGCUCUUUGUUCACUCUUUUUCUUUGCUUAAAAGCUUAUUCUUUCUUUUUUUGUAUGGCCACUUUGCGAAAUGCACAAACCAAGAUAGCAAUUGGGUAUAUACGGGAACAAACUUGAGGCACAAAGGAUGAUAUGAUACCAAUAUGAUAUGGUAUGGUAUGUAUGCAAUGUAUGGGCGGAUCACUAAUGUGCACAAGUAACGUUGCCGGCAAUACUCAAAUGGCUAGUCACGAUAGGCAAGUGACGCAAAAUGGGCUAGGGGUUAACAAUGCAAUGGCAAGGGAAUAUACAAUGGAGGGAUACCACGAUACCAAGAUGAUAUGGAGGUUACCGUCCUUGGCGAUGAUGAGUGGCAAUGAUAUUGAUGGAGAUACCAAGAUGAUGGAGACUCGUCCCUAAGUAGCUGAAACACCUUAGGAAACAGAAAAACCACGAACUCAAAAUCUCAAAUGUCAAAUGGUGGUAGCAGGAAUGUGGUGGUGGUUUUGUGGAAGCUCAAUGGAAUUGCGAAAUGGCAAUGAUGGGUUGCGGAGUACGCAAUGCAGAAAUGGAGGGUAAAGCGGUGGACUAUACAUGGUGUCGGAGUUGGAAGCACGGUCCCUAAGUAGCCUAAACACCUUAGGAGACACAACGCACAACACAAACAAAAUUGGGUUAAGUUGGAGUGGUGGAAGUUAUGGUGGAGGUGGUCGUUGAUGAAGAAGAAACCGUCCCUAAGUAGCCUAGACACCUUAGGAAACUCAAAUCACUCCUCAAGCAACCAGUAAUGCGAUGGGGCACAAAAUUGGUUAGGUUGCGGAAGUCGGUGGUGGUGUAGCAGAGGAUGUGGUGGAAGCCCUAGGCAAAUAUGCCAAAAUUCAAAAAAUUUGAUGUAGUCAAAAGAUGUUGGUGGUAUUUUUGUGGGAAGGGGGAUGUCAAGAGCUUUCCAACGAGCUAAAGAACGUGAAAAUCGGACUCCGGAUGAAUUAGUUAUGGCAGAAACAAAAAUCAGCUGAAAUCUGAAACUACAGGUUACGGACGUCCGGACAUGGUUGGAUGCCCGGGAGCCGGACGUCCGGGCGGGCUCGGAAAUCCGUAAAUUCGGCUCGGGUUAGGGGUUCUAGUCGUCCAGAAAAGGUCGGACGUCCGGUCAUUCCAGGGGCUUCAGACAUCCGUGAAAGGCCGGUCGUCCGGUGGGUCGGGGUCAACGCGAUAUGCGAGAUCCGGGGCACGAUUUUGGGCGGAAUUUGGGGAUUUUGGGGUCAAAAUUGAUGAGAUUUCGUGGGUGAAAGAUGGGGAAACUUGGGGAGAUGCUAGAUCCACCUGAAACCAAGCAAAUCCAUGGAUCAAAAUCAACAAAACAUCAUCAAACCAACAAAUCACAAAAAAAUGGGGCUAUUUUUGGUGGGGAUUUUCAAAAUUGGGGAAGAACACAACAAAAUUAGGCUAGAAAACACAACGGGGAGGCUCCAAAAUCAUGAUCAACGUGGCUCUAGAUACCAAGAUGAUGUAGGGUGGAAUCCUAAUCGGCCGAUCUUUCACGAAAGGAGCGGAUCCCGCGAAGAACACGAGGAACACGAGGGGGAAAAGAGGGAAAACACAAGGGGAAACCCAAGAGGAAACACUAAACCAACACGAAUAAGUCACACAUGUGCUAGAUCCUCGAAUACAUAAGAGAAGAUACACGAUCCACGGACAACUAAGGACGAUACAAGGGUAGCCGGUCUUCUCCGUGAGGAGGUCUUGAGUUCUUCCCUAAAAAGGGGUCUUGAAUCCGCUUGGGGGAUCUUCUCCGGUGGAGGCUCGAAUCUCCGAGGAGAAGGUGUCCAACUGGAUGAGCAAAGCUCUCACACAAAAUAUGAGCUAAUCCUUUGCUAACCUUAGAAAGGAGGAGGGAGAGGUCUAUAUAUAGUCUUAGUGCAAAUGGGGGGUGAAGUGAAGGGGUACAUGGGCCUCAGCCCGCAACUGGACACAACCAGGGGUCGGACGUCCGGUGGGCGUCGAACGUCCGGAGACUCACAGGCGGCCGGACGUCCAGAAGACGUCGGACGUCCGCACGAUAUGGCUCGGACGCUGGAGUGCCGGAUUUCCGGAGGUGGCUGGUCGUCCGGAGGAUCUUCAGGCACCGGACGUCCGGAUCCGACCGGUCGUCCGGUGGCUGUAGCUUCUUCGACAGCUCUUAUUGCAUCUUCGUUUCCAGGCUUCCCUCAUGGAUGGUGUAGUUGUUCCUUGGCGCUUGCACUCCUCCUCAUCGUCCGUAGUGUUCCUACAAUACCUAUGCAUGCACACGAGUGGAGUGUCAAGUAGUAUACCAUCCUCGAAGGGGUCAAGUGAGCACGUGUAAAGGAGAUGAUUCACCUUUGUGUAUGUGAAGUAGAGGUCGCACGUGUCACUUGCCAAACGGACUCUUGACAUGGUGAUGUCCGUAGGAUGCUCUGCAUCAUAAAUGAUUUCUGGAGAUUUCUUAGUUAUGUGUUGAAGGAUGGAUACAGCUGGAUGUAGGAUUUGUUAGUUUUGGGUGAGAUAUUAUGCUUCCCCUGUAUCCCCAACACCUGAUUGCAUAACCAGAAAGUUUCAGGAGUUUUAUAGGUGGGAAUUCAAGUAGCUCUAGAAUUUUUUCCCGCAGAUAUUUGGUUUGUGAUUGGGUAAUCCUUACCACUUAUUUGUUCAUAUCCGUACCUUGUUGCUUUAUUCAUCUACCUUUAUCUAAGUGGCUUCUCAACUUAAUGGACGUGUGAUGAUUUACUUUGGAAUUCAUUCGUUCAUACUUGUUCAAAUGUUAAGACUUUAUGUUGCAAUUUCGAUCCAUUGAUUCAGCUUGAAUAUAUGUCUUUUAAGAUGCUAACGGAUGUCAACCUCUUCAGGAUGGCUCCUCCAACGCGUCAAAAUCCGGACCACAUUGAUGGGGAUCAGUCGAACACUCCACCACCACCUCCACUUCCGGAGGCAUGGCAAGCUGUCAUGGCAGCCACCAACGCCAAUACUCAAAUGCUAUUGCAACUCUUGCAAGAGCACAACCAAGGGCAAGGCAACCAAGGCAACCAAGGAAAUCAAGGCCAAGGCAACAAUCAACCUCAAUUUUCUACCCUCAACCAGUUCCUGGCAAACCAGCCGAAGUUCUUCAGCAACUGUGUCGAGGCCACAGACGCCGACGACUGGUUCGUGGAUAUCUGCAAACAUAUUGAAUGUAGCAAUGUCAGGCCUGAGGACUUUGUCAAGUUUGCUUCGUUUCAACUCAAGGACCAAGCUGCUGAGUGCUAUCAACAAUAUAGAGAUUCCAGAGGAGGUUGUGUGAUUACCUGGGAUGAUUUCCGUCGAGACUUCAAAGCUCAUCACAUCCCACAAAGUGUUGCUGAGAGCAAGCGUGAGGAGUUCCGCAAUCUCAAGCAAGGCAGCAUGUCAGUGUAUCAAUACAAUAUCCAGUUUCAGAAACUUGCUCGCUUCGCUAAACAAGACGUUCCUGAUGAAAAGAGUAUGAUAUAUCAAUUCAGAGGUGGCCUCAGAGAGGAUCUAUAGUUAGCUCUCGUGCUUCUUGAGCCGACCGAGUUCGAUCAAUUCUAUAACAUGGCACUAAAGCAAGAAGCUGCUCAGCUCAAGUGUGAGGCAUCUAAGAAGAGAGUCAGGGAUGCAGUUCAAUCUUCUUCUUCAUCACAAGUGGCAGCUAAGCAACAUAAGUUCGGGUUGCUUCCUCCUCCGUUUCGCCAGCCCUACCAGCAGAAGAGCAAAGGUGGCAAUGGAUCUUCCCACCCCACCCAACCCAGUCUAUCAGAACAAAGCUCAGUCUCAAACUCCAUGGUCAAGUGCUCCUUACCAUCGGCCGCUCUCGGAGGUUACUUCCAACAAGUGUCAACAGAAAGGGCACUAUGCAAACAAAUGCUUCAACCAAAGGCGCCUUCCACCUCCUCCUCCUGUGAGAUCUUCCAGCAAUGCAGUGAACAAGCAUAAUUCCAAGUUUGCAAAGGUCAACAUGAUGAACGCAGCUCAAGCAGAGGACUCUUCAAAAGUGAUCAUGGGUAAUCUUCCUGUUAAUGACUUUCGUGUAAAAGUUCCUUUUGAGAGUGGUGCAUCGCUUAGUUUCAUCUCAAGACCAUUUGCAUCUAAGCAUGAGUUGCCUUUCCAAGAUUUGCCUAGACCGUUAGCAGUUGUCUCUCUGGGUAAAUGCAUGUACGCAAGCUAUAUGGUUCCGGAUGUUUCCAUCAAGAUGGGAAACUAUAAAUUUCUGUCUUCUCCAAUUGUUCUUGGUGACUCGGAUAUUGAUCUAAUUCUCGGCACGGGCUGGCUUUCUAAGCACAAGGCUCAGCUUGAUUGUGCUGCCAUGCAGAUUCAAUUGACACAUUCUUCUGAUGAUGUGAUCAUCUUUGCCGCUCGGGGUGAUACCAUUCGACUAUUUUCUCUCAAUGAGAAGGGUGAGUUGAAUGCCAUCUCUCAGAUUCCAGUCGUUUGUGAAUAUCAAGACGUCUUUGCAGAAGAGCUUUCGGGAAUGCCUCCUCACCGGCCAAUUGAAUUCGUUACCGAUCUUGAGCCUGGCACGGGACCUGUUUGCAAGCGUCCUUACUAGCUUGGACCAGAGGAGUUGAAGAAACAGCUUGAUGAAAAAGAGCGUAUGGGUCUGAUCAGACCGAGUUCAUCUCCAUGGGGUUGUGGUGUCCUUUUUGUCAAGAAGAAGGAUGGAACGGAAUGACUCUGCGUCGACUACCGUCCAUUGAACAAGAAGACAAUAAAGAACAACUAUCCACUUCCCAACAUCAAUGAGCUAUUCGAGCAACUUAAGGGUUCUCAAGUAUUCUCCAAGCUUGACCUCCGUACGGGUUAUCAUCAGAUUCGCAUUCGUGAACAAGAUAUUCCCAAGACAGCAUUCAAAACAAGCUAUGAUUCUUAUGAAUAUACUGUCAUGUCUUUCGGCCUUGUCAAUGCUCCUCCAACGUUCUCUCGCAUGAUGAACAUCAUAUUCAACCCUUACACAAAUGAUCUCAUUCUGGUAUAUCUGGAUGAUAUCUUGGUCUUUUCCAAGAAUAAGGAGGAUCAUGCCAAGCAUUUGAGAUUGGUACUUAACAAACUCAGAGAGCAUCAAUUCUACGCGAAGUUUUCCAAGUGUGAGUUCUGGCUUGAUGAGGUUCUUUACCUUGGUCAUAUCAUCUUCGCCAAGGGCAUCGCUGUUAAUCCCGAGAAGGUGUAUGCAAUUGUGAAUUGGGAACCUCCUCAGAAUGUCAAGCAGCUCCGCAGUUUUCUUGGGCUUGCAAGCUAUUGUCGAAGAUUCGUCGAGAAUUUCUCUAAGAUUGCAAAGCAUCUUUCCAAUCUCCUCCAGAAGCAUGUCAAGUAUGUCUAGAUGCCUGAAUGUGACAUUGAUUUCAACACCCUUAAAGAGAAGCUGGUCACAGCUCCUGUCUUGACUCCUCCUGAGGAAUCCAAGCCAUUUGAAGUUUUCUGUGAUGCCUCCUUACAAGGUCUUGGUGCUAUGUUAAUGCAAGAGAAGAAAGUUGUGGCUUAUACCUCUCAUCAGUUGAAGCCCAACGAAAGGAACUACCCCACUCAUGAUCUUGAGUUGGCGGUAGUUGUCCAUGCAUUAUUUACGGGGAGACAUCUCUUGUUGGGAAUGAAAGUGGACAUCCUUGAAGAUAUGCUCAUGGCUUGUGUCAUUUCCUUCAAUAUGAAGUGGGAAGAUUGUCUUCCAUAUGCCAAGUUCUCCUACAACAACAACUUCCAAGCGAGUUCGGGCAAGGCCCCAUUCGAAAUUCUCUAUGGUAGAAAGUGCCAUACUCCUCUCAAUUGGUCAGAGACUGGUGAACGCCAACUUCUUGGCAACGACUUGAUCACAGAGGCUGAAGAAAUAUGUAAAGUCAUCCGUGAAAAUCUCAAAGCCGCGCAAUCGCGCCAGAAGAGUUACUAUGACAGCAAGCACCGUGACUUGGCUUUCGAGAUUGGAGACCAUGUCUACCUUCGCAUCUCUUCAAUGAAAGACACUUGUCACUUCGGUAUGAAAGGGAAGCUUGACCCUAGAUACGUGGGUCCUUUCAAGAUCAUUGGCAAAAGAGGCGACCUCGCCUGUCAACUUGAGCUUCCGUCCAACUUCGCAAACAUGCACGAUGUGUUUCAUGUGUCACAGCUUCGCAAGUGCUUCAAGACUCCUGAGUGCACGAUCAACUUCGAAGAGAUUGAUCUUCAAGAAGAUUUGUCUUAUCAUGAGCAUCCCGUUUCUAUUCUUGAAGAAACCAAGCGCAAGACUCGCAACAAGUCAAUCAAAUUCCUGAAAGUGAAGUGGCCACACCAUUCCGACCGAGAAGCCACCUGGGAACGCGAGGAUGACCUCCGUUCCGAAUAUCCAGAGUUCUUUAUGUCCUAGAUCUCGGGAUGAGAUCCUUUUGUAGUGGUGGAGUGUUGUAACACCCCGGAUGUAACUUGCCAUAUUUGUAACUCCGACUAUUGCCAUUUUCGGCUUUAAGUUAUGAGAUUUCCUUACGUGGUUGGGUUUUUGUCUUCGUUUUCCAUUUUUGUUCAUGUUCAUGCAUUUCAUAUCACGUCAUCAUGUGCAUCACAUUUGCAUUCGUGUUCGUCCCAUGCAUCCGAGCUUUUUCCCUGUUGUCCCUUUUGCAAUUCGACACUCCCACAUGCACCGGCGCACCCCUCUUGCCUCUUUUCGUGAACGGGUGUUAAAAGUUCUCGGAAUGGACUGAGAUUUGCCAAGUGGCCUUGGUACACCACCGGUAGACCGCCUGGCAAACUUCGUUCCAUUUGGAGUCCGUUUGAUGCUCCAACGGCUAACCUGGUAACCGCGAAAGCCUCUUUUGUGUGCAGCCCAACACCCCUCCAAAACGGCCCAAUAACCCAUCUAAACCACCUCCAUGUCCUCCAUAGUUGGAUCACAAUUGUGUGGGCGAAAACCGCACCUCAUUUGGACACUCCUACCUCCUCCUACCUAUAAAUAGGCGCCCCUCCUCGAAAUUUUGCGCACACGAAACCCUAGUUCUACCCUCCUCCGCCGUCGGACACGUCCGGCCCGAGCCGGACGAAAUCGCCGCCGCGCCCCGUCCAACCAGAGACCGCCACGUGGGCAUCUCCACCGGCGCAUGCUGCCGGCCCGCUCGGCCCGCACGGGGCCCCCGCGAGCCCAUCCGCGCCGCCGACCGAAGCCGCUCCGCGCCGCCCGAUCAUGUCGCCCCGCCGCCGCACCGGAUCCCGCGCCGACCGCCCUCUUCCUCGCCGACGCUCGCUUGCGCCGCCGCGAGCUCGCCGGCAGGCCGUGCUGCUCCUCCAUGCCGGUAGGCCGCGCCGCUCCUCCAUCGGCCCCGCCGCCCUACAGCCACUGCGGGUCGCCGUCAACCGCCUCCCGCACCCAAGCGUCGCUGCAGCCACCUCCUCACCUCCGGCCGCCUCCCCACUCCAUCCCCGGCGAAGGUCCGGCCAGAUCUGGCGAGCCUCGUGGACCGCACCCGGAAACCAUAGACCUCGCGAGGUUGACCCUGUUUUUCUCCAAGUCCCUGUUAUUUUAUGCCCAUGUUCAUCACAUCAUAUCUUCAUGCUCGGUGGUCCGAAUGAUGCAUAUGACAUAUCAAAUUGUUCGUCUCGUCGAGCUCUUCAUGCCAGUAGCAUUUCCAUGCAUGUUGCUGUCUGUUAUGAUGCCAUUUUCAUUGAUGCAAGAGUGCUAUAAAAUGUUAGGUGCUGCUACUUAGCACGAGCAUGCAAAGUAGGCUCCACAAUGUUGUUGUUUUCAGAGACUUAGGAUUUUGCUAAGUCCUUGUCCUGCUGUUAUUUUGAUGCCAUGUAAACUUGAUGCUACAGUGAUAUCCAUGUUUGUUUUGAGAUACUUCAGUAAGGAUGUUUUGAACAUAUGGUUAUGCUCUAUCCAUCUAUGCCCAUGUUUGCAAUUAUGGAGUUGUCUAGCAUGUCUUGUUCUUGCUUUACUUUUGCUAUAAAAUGUUCCUCACAAAAUGUUAACAUGUUAAUCAAUUUUGCCAUGGUUGUUGUUAGUGAUCUAUGCAUGCUAUGAACUUGCUCUUGCCAUGGUUAGCUUCAUGAACAUGUCAUAUUGUUGUUGGUAUGCUUUUUUUGUCAUGCAAUGCUUUGUGGUGAGUGGCAUGACCUUGCAAAGUUGCCUUCAUAAUUCUGUUUAUGCCAUGCUCUGUUUUUCUGCUAAGUCUGAAACUGUUAAUAAAACUUGCUAUGUUUACAUGGGUGCCAUCAUAUCUUCUGUGCCUUUUUGGCUCAUGAUCAGUAAGGGACUUUUGUUCUAUGCAUUUAGUAGAACCAUGCCAUGCCUUGUUUUGCUACAAUACAUUCCUGUAGCAUGUUGUUUUCUUGUCUGUGAAGCUGAUAUCUUUUGCACUUUUGCCAUGCUUAUUUUAACCUGCUCUUUUGUGAUUUAUCCAUAGCUCAAUGUUCAUGUUUUGUCACGCUUCUUGUGUACAUCACUGCCAUAUGCUUUGUUGUUAUGUUGGAGUGCAUUAGCUUAGUUUCUUGUUGCAUGCUAAGUAGCAUCGUGCUGUUAAUUACAGUUUUGCACCAUCCUUGUUUUGCUUGCCAUUUGCAAACCGUGCAUCCGUUUCCGGUGAUCUUUAUAUCGAUUUCAACCAAAAUCAUCUCAUCUUUCCACCAGCAUACUUGGUUUGCCAAGUUUAUGCCUUGAUCAUUCUUUCUCUUCCGGAGCAUGCAUAUGCAUUGCAUAUCAUAUCUUGCAUAUCAUGCCAUGUUUUGCAUCAUGUUGCUUGUGCAUUGCACCGUGAUUGAUUGUUGGUCCUUUGCUUGUGUUAUUUCUCUGGGUAGAGCCAGGAGACGAGUAUGUGAACAAGGAACCUGUUGCGUACGCUAACGAGGAUCAAGCUUUCAACAACUCUGAGAACUUUGCAGGCAAGAUGACCAUACCCUUGAAAUCACUUCUAUCUUUGCUUGCUAGUUGUUCGCUCUAUUACUAUGCCGUGUUACCUACCACUUGCUAUAUCAUGCCUUCCAUAUUGCCAUGUCAAACCUCUAACCCACAUUUCCUAGCAAACCAUUGUUUGGCUUUGUUACCGCUUUGCUCAGCCCCUCUUAUAGCGUUGCUAGUUGCAGGUGAAGAUGAAGUUUGUUCCAUGUUGGAACAUGGAUAUUGUUGGGAUAUCAUUAUUAUCUCUUAUUUACUUUAAUGCAUCUGUAUACUUGGUAAAGGGUGGAAGGCUCGGCCUUAUGCCUGGUGUUUUGUUCCACUCUUGCCGCCCUAGUUUCCGUCAUACCAGUGUUAUGUUCCUUGAUUUUGCGUUCCUUACACGGUUGGGUGUUAUGGGAACCCCUUGACAGUUCGCUUUGAAUAAAACUCCUCCAGCAAGGCCCAACCUAAACCUUUUCCCUUGGGUUCCGUGGACUCAAGGGUCAUCUUUAUUUUAAACCCCCGGGCCAAUGCUCCCCUGAGUGUUGGUCCAACCCGUCAGCCGCCGGUGGCCACCAGGGGCAACUCUGGACUGGCCUACCGGAAGUUUGGACAAUCCCGUGUGCCCUGAGAACGAGAUAUGUGCAGCUCCUAUCGGGAUUUGUCGGCACAUUCGGGCGGCUUUGCUGGUCUUUUUUUACCAUUGUCGAAAUGUCUUGUAACCGGGAUUCCGAGCCUGAUCGGGUCUUCCUGGGAGAAGGAAUAUCCUUCGUUGACCGUGAGAGCUUGUGAUGGGCUAAGUUGGGACACCCCUGCAGGGUAUAAACUUUAGAGAGCCGUGCCCGUGGUUAUGUGGUAGAUGGGAAUUUGUUAAUAUCCGGUUGUAGAGAACUUGACACUUAAUUUAAUUAAAAUGAAUCAACCGCAUGUGUAGCCGUGAUGGUCUCUUUUCGGUGGAGUCCGGGAAGAGAACACGAUCUUGUGUUAUGCUUGAACGUAAGUAGUUUCAGGAUCACUUCUUGAUCACUUAUAGCUUCUCGACCGUGCGUCGCUUCUCUUCUCGCUCUCUUUUGCGUAUGUUAGCCACCAUAUUGCUUAGUGCUUGCUGCAGCUCCACCUCACUACACUUUCCUACCCAUAAGCUUAAAUAUUCUUGAUCUCGCGGGUGUCAGAUUGCUGAGUCCUCAUGACUCACAAAUACUUCCAAACAAUUGCAGGUGCCGAGGAUACCAGUGCAGGUGACGAUUCUAAACUCAAGUGGGAGUUCGACGAGGAUUUGGGCCGUUACUAUGUUUCUUUUCCCGAUGAUCAGUAGUGGAGCCCAGUUGGGACGAUCGGGGAUCUAGCAUUUGGGGUUGUCUUUCUUUAUUUUGGUUCCGUAGUCGGACCUUUGUUUGUACCUUGGAUGAUGUAUGGAUUAUUUAUGUAUUGUGUGAAGUGGCGAUUGUAUGCCGACUCUUUAUCCCUUUCUCAUUCAGUACAUGGGAUGUGUAAAGAUUACCCCUCUUGCGACAGGCCUACCAUGCGGCUAUGCCUCUAAGUCGUUCCCCGACAUGUGGGAGAUAUAGCCGCAUUGUGGGUGUUACACGUGCGUACUGGAACAGCGCCACCGCGGCCGUCGAAAAUCAAGAAUCAAUGGUGGUCGAUGCAUCACCGUGUGAACUGUCGGUGUCAAAACCGGCGGAUCUCGGGUAGGGGGUCCCGAACUGUGCGUCUAGGAUCGAUGGUAACAGGAGACAGGGGACACAAUGUUUACCCCGGUUCGGGCCCUCUCAAUGGAGGUAAUACCUUACGUCCUGCUUGAUUGGUAUUGAUGAAUAUGGGUGUUACAAGAGUUGAUCUACCACGAGAUCGUGAUGGCUAAACCCUAGAAGCCUAGCCUAUAUGACUAUGGUAAUGAAUAUAUCCUUUCUGGACUAUCCCCUCCGGUUUAUAUAGACACCGAGGGGAUCUAGGGUUUACAUAGAGUCGGUUACAUAAGAAGGAAUCUUCAUAGUCGGUCGCCAAGCUUGCCUUCCACGCCAAGGAGAGUCCAAUCCAGACUCAGGUAUAGUCUCCGGCCUUCAUGUCUUCAUAGCCCAUCAGUCCGGCCCACUAGAAAACAGGCCGGACGCCUGAGGAACCCUUAGUCCAGGACUCCCUUAGUAGCCCCCGAACCGGUCUUCAAUAGCGAGGUGUUUGUCACACAAAUUAUCUUCGGCAUUGCAAGGCGGGUUCCUCAUUUAAUUAUCUCCAAGUGAUGUAUUCGGCUAUUUGUUCCAUGUCACUCCCCUCAGCUUCUGCGCGUUAAAUAACUUUGCCACCCACGCGUCAAGCGAAGGCGGAAGGUCAGGGUAAUUUGGCAAAUAACACCCCGCCUAUGCAAGGGGGAGCGCCUAUUAAAGAGAUCGGAUCCUAGAUCCAUUCGGCACCAUAUAAAGGAAAUCCCUGGAAACUGCUUGGGAGAAACCAUUCCAGCAUGGCUACCGUCCCCAGCUCCUCCACCCGUUCCGGCCCAGAGAAAGGCCAGUGAGAGGUGUUCAGUGUCCCACAGUCAAUUGANNNNNNNNNNNNNNNNNNNNNNNNNNNNNNNNNNNNNNNNNNNNNNNNNNNNNNNNNNNNNNNNNNNNNNNNNNNNNNNNNNNNNNNNNNNNNNNNNNNNNNNNNNNNNNNNNNNNNNNNNNNNNNNNNNNNNNNNNNNNNNNNNNNNNNNNNNNNNNNNNNNNNNNNNNNNNNNNNNNNNNNNNNNNNNNNNNNNNNNNNNNNNNNNNNNNNNNNNNNNNNNNNNNNNNNNNNNNNNNNNNNNNNNNNNNNNNNNNNNAGGACUUCCCCAAUCCAUCCGGGGAAGAGCGAGUAUGUUUCGUCCCCUACCCGCUGAGGGGCAUUGGAUUUCUCAUUCAUCCGUUCCUCCGAGGGCUUCUAGAAUACUAUGGCCUCCAGUUGCACAACCUCACCCCUGCCUCCGUUUUGCACAUCGCGGGUUACGUCGCUUUAUGUGAAUUAUUCCUAGGUAUCGAGGCUCACUUUGAGCUAUGGAGGAAGUUGUUCUGCCUUGUCCCACGUAAUCACGAGGGUCCAUAUUUGAAGUGGGCGGAGCCGAAGUAUGGCACAUUGCUGAUACCGGAUAUCUGUCCGGUACACCAAGGAAGGCAUUCAAAGAAUGGCCUUGCGAAUGGUUCUAUAUUGAGGACGUCACGCUUCCCGACCUAGUACGAAAGGGUCUUCCUGAAUUUGCAAGCGUUCCGCUAAAGAAACGCCAUAGUUGGUGUCCUCAGAGUCUGGAAGAGGAGGACAAAGCAGAAGUUCGCCAGCUUAUGAGCAAGAUAAAGAUGCUCGCCCAGUCCAGACUUACAAUAAUCGAGGUAAUGGCGAUCUCCAUAGUGCAUGGGGUUCAGCCGCUACAAUAUAGAGGGUUGCCCAUGUGGCACUAUAAUGGAGAGCAUGACGCUUGCCGUUAUGGCUGGAAGGGUCCGGAUACCCCUGCUGCUCUGGCCAAAAUAUUGGUCGAGCUUUUUAAAGGGGAAGAAUAGGAGUUUCUUCGCAUCAUGCACAGAGAUGGAUAUUCUAUGUAUAAUCCCCCUAGUUGGGUAAGCUUCGAUCCUUCGAUUCUACUCAUUCCCCUUCCGGAUUACUUUUUAUAAAUUUCAAGUCUAUUUGUUAUGGCAGCACUGGCGGAAGGUCACCGAAGGACUUCAUAGUCCUGCCCCACAGCCAGAGACCCAUAACCGGGAACUAGAUCCUGGGUUUGAAGAGGAUCUGGAUAUAUUCGUGGUGCUUGCGGGGGGAGUGUUCUUCCAGACAGGCUAUGAUGGCACAGAAGUGGCCAUCACCGUAGACUACCCUGGCCUUCUUCCCGCUUCUUAGGUAAAUAAUUAAGAAACACCCUCUCUAAAAGAGUGAUCUCAUUCCGUCUCACCCAUCGCACUGUAUCGUGCUUCACAGGGGAGACGUUCAGCGAUUUCGAAGAGAUCGGCUCCCGUGCCGGACAAUCCUUCCAAGAGGAAAGCAAAUGAAGCUACGACCAUGCCUUCAUCAAAGAGGUAUGAAUUCGCCAACCUGCCCCUGAGCAGUCAUGUCCAACCGUGACCUUCCCGUUUUCCAUUCGCCAAGAGGAAGACGCGCUGGACUAUAUCCGGGGGUUCGAGCGGCCGUACUUCCCACAGCCAGGAUUCAAAUCCUGCCGUGAAGACGGUGUAACACCCAUGAUGCGGCUAUAUCUCCCACGUGUCGGAGCACGACUUUGAGGCAUAACCGCAUAGUAGGCAUGUCACAAGAGGGGUAAUCUUUACACAUCCCAUGUAGUGAAUAAGAAAGGGAUAAAGAGUUGGCUUACAAUCGCCACUUCACACAAUACAUAAAUAUAGCAUUACAUCAUCCAGAAUACAAUCAAGGUCUGACUACGGAACCAAAUAAAGAAAGACAACCCCUAAUGCAAAAGAUCCCCGAUCGCCCCAACUGGACUCCUCUACUGAUCGAAAGGAAACGAAACAACACAAUGAACAUGAUCUUCAUCGAGCUCCCAUUUGAGCUCAGCUGCGUCAUCUGAACUGAUAUCAACGGCACCUGCAACUGGUUUUGGAAGUAAUAUGUGAGUCAUGGGGACUCAGCAAUCUCACACCCUCGCGAUCAAGACUAUUUAAGUUUAUGGGUAGGAAAAGGGGGUAGUGAGGUGGAGCUGCAACAAGCACUAGCAUAUAUGGUGGCUAACUUACGCAAAUAAGAGCGAGAAGAGAAGCAAAGCAUAGUCGUGAACUAGAAGUGAUCAAGAAGUGAUCCUGAAACUACUUACGUUCAAGCAUAACACAAGAACCGUGUUCACUUCCCGGACUCCGCCAGAAAGAGACCAUCACGGCUACACACGCGGUUGAUUCAUUUUAAUUAAGUUAAGUGUCAAGUUCUCUACAACCGGAUAUUAAUAAAUUCCCAUCUGCCCAUAACCGCGGGCACAACUUUUGGAAGUUCAAAACCCUGCAAGGGUGUCCCAACUUAGCCCAUCACAAGCUCUCAUGGUCAAUGAAGGAUAUUCCUUCUCCCAGGAAGACCCGAUCAGGCUCGGAAUCCCGGUUACAAGACAUCUCGACAAUGGUAAAACAAGUCCAGCAAUGCCGCCCGAUGUGCCGACAUCCUAAUAGGAGCUGCACAUAUCUCGUUCUAAGGGCAGCACUGGAUUGUCCAAACUUUCGGUAGGCCAGUCCAUAGUUGCCCCUGGUGGCCACCGGCGGCUGACAGGUUCGGACCAACACUUAGACAAGCACUGGCCCGGGGGGGUUAAAAUAAAGAUGACCCUUGGGUUGGCCGACCCAAGGGAAGGGUAAUAGGUUAUUAGGCAAAUGUAAAACCAAGGUUUGGCCUUGCUAGAGGAGUUUUAUUCAAAGCGAACUAUCAAGGGGUUCCCAUAACAACCAACUGUGUAAGGAACGCAAAAUCAAGGAACAUAACACCGGUAUGACGGAAACUAGGGCGGCAAGAGUGGAACAAAACACCAGGCAUAAGGCCGAGCCUUCCACCCUUUACCAAGUAUAUAGAUGCAUUAAUUAAAUAAGAGAUAUUGUGAUAUCCCAACAUAUAACCAUGUUCCAACAUGGAACAAACUCCAUCUUCACCUGCAACUAGCAACGCUACAAGAGGGGCUGAGCAAAGCGGUAACAUAGCCAAACAACGGUUUGCUAGGACAAGGUGGGUUAGAGGCUUGACAUGCCAAUAUGGGAGGCAUGAUAAAGCAUGUGAUAGGUAUCGCGGGAUAGCAACGGAGCGAGCAACUAACAAGCAAAGAUAGAAGUGAUUUCGAGGGUAUGGUCAUCUUGCCUGCAAAGUUCUCCGAGUUGACGUAAGCUUGAUCCUCGUAAGCGUACUCAAUGGGUUCCUCGAUCAUGAACUCAUCUCCUGGCUCUACCCAAAGCAAGAACACAAGGAAAGGACCAACAAUCAAUCACGGUGCAAUGCGCAAGCAACAUGAUGCAAAACAUGGCAUGAUAUGCGGGAUGUGAUAUGCAAUGCAUAUGCAUGCUUCGGAAGGGAAAGAUUGAACCAGGCAUCAACUUGGCAAACCAAGUGUGCCGCUAGAAAGAUGAGUUGAUUUCGGUCGAAAUCGAUAUAAAGAUCACCGGAAUCGGAUGCACGGUUUGCAAAUGGCAAGCAAAACAAGAAUGGCACCAUUCUGCGAUUAACAGCACGAUGCCAUCUAGAAUGCAACAAGAAACUAAGCUACUGCACAUACGGACAUGGAUGGAUAGAGCAUAACAAUAUGUCAAAAUCAUCCUUACUGAACAUACUCAAAAGAGGCAUGGAUCACUCUGUAGCAACAUGAAUACAUGGCAUAAAAAUAACAGCAGGGAAACGACUUGGUGAAAUUCUAAGUCCCUGAAAUUAGCAACAUUACGAGAGCUACUUUGCAUGCAUGUGCUAGUCACCACAUUGAUCACAAAAAUACAUGGCAUACACCCCUAUAAACAUGGCAUGGCAUAGCCCAAAACACAUGUAGAGCUCAAGUCCAUAGGAAGCACACAAUAAUCAUGGCAAAAAUGACAAAUGCUCAUAAACUGAUAAGAAUCAGGAACUAACAUUUUAUAGCACUCUUGCAACAGACAUUAGGGCAUCAAGACGGACUCAAACAAGCAUGGUGCAAUGGAACAAAAUUAAGAGGACAUUCAGACGAACAAUUUGAUACAUCGCACGCUCAAAACGGAGCUACGAAUGCGGAAUUAUGCCAUGAUGAAAAGUGCUUCAGAAAGUAAAACGAAAAGACUUGGGGAUAUUUCGGGGUCAACCUAGGGUUUGACCCGAUCCAGAUCUGGGCGAUGCGGGAACCGAGGAUGGCCGGAAUCGAAGCUCGCCGGAGUGGAAGAAGGAGGCGGCCGGCGUCGGAGUUCGUCGGGGAUGCGGGGAGAGGCCGGAUCCGGGGUCGGCCGGGGUGGAUCCGUCCAGCAGUGGACGCGGCGGCGAGGGAGAGGACCGCGGUGGGCGGAGGCGAGGUGCGGCGGGAGGAGCGGUGCGGCGCUGGGCGGCGGAGCAUGCGACGGCUCGCGGCGGCCGGUCGCCGGAGGCGGACGCGGGCGGAGGAAGGCGGCGGGGUGACUCGGGCACUUGGUCUNNNNNNNNNNNNNNNNNNNNNNNNNNNNNNNNNNNNNNNNNNNNNNNNNNNNNNNNNNNNNNNNNNNNNNNNNNNNNNNNNNNNNNNNNNNNNNNNNNNNNNNNNNNNNNNNNNNNNNNNNNNNNNNNNNNNNNNNNNNNNNNNNNNNNNNNNNNNNNNNNNNNNNNGCCACUGGCCCCGCGGGCCGCGGCGGCGCACGGUGGCGGAGGGAUACGGCCGGCCACGUAGCGCAGCGCGGUUGGGCGCGGGCGACGGCGGCGGUGACGUGUCGCCUCACGAUUGGCCGGGGUGAUGUGGCCGGUGGACAUGUCCGACAGCGGAGUGGACAUGUGUCACACCCUAGCUAGUUCAUGCAUUAGAGUUUUGCAGCAUGUCUACUUUUCCAGAAUCCUGAAAUGGGGAUGGCAGAAACCCCAGCACCCCCCUCCCCGAAACAACUAGGGUUUACUAAAAUCAUUUUCAAUGAACCUGAAAUGCCCUUCUAAAAAGUCCACGCUUUUUUGUCUUGGGUUAGAACCUCUCACAAAAUGGGUUCACAUUUUUCUAGGUCAUCACAAGGUCAUUGAAUUAAAUCAAAGAUAACUUGCACAAAGAUAACUUGCACUUGGGCAUUUAAAUGCUAGUACAUAUUUUAAAUGCCCAAAUAAUUCUGGAAAUAAGUGUGGGCUGUUGGAAAUAAUCCAAACAGAGCCCCUGAUUAUUUUCAGAUUUUUGAAAGUGCCUAACUAUUUUUUAAUAAAGCCAACAGUUAUGGAAAAAUAGAAAAAAAACAAAAACAGAAUUAAGAGAGGGAGAGAAACUCACCUGGCAGCCCACUGGCCGGCCCAACACUGUGUUGGCCCGUGCCAGCCAGCUGCUUCCUCUCGCCAGGCAGGCAGAGAGGUGACACCGGUGAGCGCAAGCUCGCCACGGCGCCAGCUGCUUGCCGCGCGCGCCCCUGAACACCUGGGUAGGCUCCACGUCGCCGCCCCGACCUCGCAGACACGUCGCUCACUCCUCUGUCUCUCUCCCUCGCUGUCCCGCACCAUGGCCGACGCCCCUGCUGCCGCACCGCUGGCGUAGCCGCGUUCUCCGUCGUCCCCGCACCGUGCUGACUUGUCCACGAGCUCUGCCGUCGUCCACAACGUCGAGCUAGCCGUGCCCCGAGCGCUCGCACGCUCUCCCUCGUCUUCACCGAACGCCGCCGCAGAUCCCCCUCGCCGUCUCCGCCGCACUAGCUCGUCCCCGCCCGCGUCGUCUGCACCGUCGUGUUCACCGUGAGCUGUUGCACCUCUCCAUCCCUCCCGUACUUGCUCUCGUGCCUCGUAGCCACCGCACCGAGCUUGGCCGCACCCGCCGUCGCCACUGCACGUCGCCGUCAUGGCCACAGCCACUUGGGCUUGAUUCCGAGCAUGUCACCAUCUUCACCGCACUCGCAGGAGCCCAACGCACCACUCCACGUGCCUCACCGUGCCCCGUAGCCUCGGGUUCGACCUCGCCCAAACUCCGGCGGCCGCCAAGGUCGUCGCCGGCGUCGUUUCCGGCGACCCUGAGCCCAACCACUGCCACCACUCGACGCGGCUUGCUCCCAGCUACGCGUAGGAGGUCUCCGCCGUCCAUUUGGUCCUCAGAGUGCAAAACACGCACUGCCCCACCGCGUCUGGCCUCGCCGACGGCUAAACGCCGGUGAGUUUGACCCCGUUUGACCCGGUUUGACCUCGGGUGGGCCCAGUUUGACCCCCCAGGGUCACUGACGUGUGGGACAUGCCCUUGUUUAGCUUAAUGUCAGCUUACUUAACACUAAUCACUUUAGUUAAUGGGUUGACUCACUGACAUGUGGGCCCAGGCCCUAACUAACCUAGAUUUGUACUAACCUAACACUAACUAACUCUAUUAGUUAGUUGUUACACUGACAGACGGGACCCACUGGUCAGGUUUGACCUGGGCUGGCGCCUUUGACUUGCUGACGUCACCCUGACACAAUGCUGACGCAAUAAUUCAAUUACUGGAAUUAUUCUUAUAUAGGAAAUUCCAGAAAUUGUCCUAAACUUCAAAAAUUCAUAACAAUUAAUGUGUAACUCCAAAUGCAAAGAUUUAUAUAUGAAAUUUGAUCAGAAAAAAUCAAUCUUUCCAUCUGUAAUGGUUUCAUGCAUGACAGAACACUUUAACCUUGUUGUUUACGUGAAACAAGCUAAAGCACUUAUAUGACUUAAUAACAUGAGCUUCCAUUUGAAUCUUUGAUUCAAAUAGACUCAAACCAACAUGUUUUGCAAUGCAUUAGCCAAGACACAUCAUAUUGCCAUGUCAUAGCAUGCAUCAUACUAUUCCAUAUUGCCAUGUGAUGAUUGUGUUCUGUGGUGUCUUUCAUGGUAGGUUCUGCCUCCGAGGAUACCUUAGAUUAUCCGACUGAAGGGCAGUGCCCUACCACUACUCCAUCAGGCAAGCAACCCCAUUGAUCAUAUCGAUACAAUCCCAUGUUCUCGCUCCUGCUCUCAUUUACUGCAUUAAGACAACAACAUUUCAAACUGUUGUGUGCUGCGGUAGUUGAACCCUUAUCCUCUGCAUGACCUGUCAUUGCCACAGUAACUAGAUGAAACCCACUAGCAUGUGUAGGAGUUGAUUGAGCCAUGUUUGUGUUUCCUACCUUGCUAUGCCUGCUAUGCUUAGAGUUGUGUCAGGUCUGGUUCAUCUGGGUGAUGGGCUAGAGUGAAAUGAUUACGUCGGUAAUGUGAGGGAUGUGUUGAACAUGAUUUGGUAAAGGUAUUGAUGAGAGGCCAUGUAGGAGUACAUGGUGGGUUGUUUCAUUGAGGCCAUCCUUAAGAACUGAGAUCUGUAUGUGUGAUUUAAGAUUCAGUACUACCAUGCUUUGGGAUCCUUAAUUGACCCUCUCGGCUUGUUAACCACCCUAUUCCUUUGUCUAGGAGUUGCAACUAGUUUCUGGUGUUUAUAGGUUAUGUGUUGGCGGCCGUGCGUAGCGCUGACCCUAGGGGUGGGCUAUGAUGCGGUAGAUACACCGUGGUGUACCGAGUCGCCCGUUUGGUGUCUCGGGAACCCUGUACACAUCAUUCGGGGCCGUAUGUGGAAACCUCGGCCGGACUCCCUGCGGAUGGAACCUGGAUAGGCGAUAGACCUAGACUAGAGACUUGAGUGUUUAGGUAGGCCAUGGCCGACACCCUCGUUGGGCUUACGCUUGAAGGUUGUCGAGUACAUGUCGUGUAAACGACGAUAAGUGGUGAGAGCGUGUAUGAAGAAGUACACCCCUGCAGGGUUAACCUCAUCUAUUCGAAUAGUCGCGUCCAUGGUAAAGGACUACUUGGUUGCCUAUACAGUUCAUAGACAAGUUAAUGGUUACUACUAAAAGACUCAAGAUAAGUGUGAGUACCGCGGAUGGCCCUCUUGUGGGAUGACGAGGGAGGAUCCAUGGUGGAGUAUUGUGAUGGUGACUAGUGGACUCGUGUGCGAAAACUAUUUUACAAGUGGUGUCUUGUAGGAUAGCUUAGCCAAGAGUCAAAGCUGGCUUGCUGCUAUAACCCCACUACAUUCUUAAGAAUGAGCAUGUAUAGUAGGAUCUGUGUAAGACUUGCUAAGUACCUUUGUACUCAUGUUGCUUUAAUUACUAUUUUCAGAUGACAACACCGCCCCCUCUGACGGGUUUUACGUAGACCUCGACGCCGAUGAGUGACUUGCCACCCAGGUGGUGAUUCCGAGCCAUGGAGGGCCCUAUGUAGAUAAACAUGCUUCGUCAAGCCUUCUUUCUUUCUAGUGUCUGUACUCAGACUAGUUUGCUUCCGCAUGUGCUUGUAUGUUUGUAUGACUUGAGUGUCGGGUCAUGUGACCCCUACCUGUAUGAACAUGUUAUGUAUGGCUCUCCAGAGCCUUUAAAUAAAGUACUUGAGUUGUAGAGUUUUGUUGUGAUGCCAUGUUGUAUUUACACAUAUCGAGCAUAUUGUGUGUAUGAUUGAAAUGCUUGGUAUGUGUGGGAUCCGACAAUCUAGUUGUUUAUCCUUGGCAGCCUCUCUUAUGGGGAAAUGUAGUCUAGUGCUUCCAUGAGCCAUAGUAGUCCUCUACAGCCCGGUUCACCGGAGUCCUGCUAGGCCAGCACUACUGCUCAAGCACUUGACUGGCCGGCAUGUGAUUCACUUCGUUCCUGUGUCUGUCCCUUCAGGGAAAUGUCGCGCGGUGACAUCUGGAGUCCUGCCUAGCCUGCUACAGCCCGGGUUCACCGGAGUCCUGUUAGCCCAGUGCUACAGCCCGGAUUCACAUGCUGCUGACCGACAUGGUCGAUGUUGAAUCAUGUAUGCCUGUCCUCGUAAGUUUGUGCCGCUUUGGGUUCACGACUAGCCAUGUCGGCCCGGGUUCUCUAUCAUAUGGAUGCUAGCGACACUAUCAUAUACGUGAGCCAAAAGGCGCAAACGGUCCUGGGCCAUGGUAAGGCGAUACCCAUGGGAAUACCGUGCGUGAGGCCGCAAAGUGAUAUGAGGUGUUACAGGCUAGAUCAGUGUGACUUGGAAUCGUGGUCCUGACAGCAUUGGCAUUAGAGCCGGACUGCUUGUAGGUUCGUUGAGCCAAACUGGUCGAUGUCGAGUCUAGAAAUGCUUUAGUUAUAUGUAGGGGAAUUGAUUGUGGGAGGGAACGUAAGGCUCUUUUACUACUUUACCUUAUGCCCUCUGAUCUGAGUCAUUCUCUUCUCUUUCUAUGUGGGUUAAGGACUAGGCUCUCUUCUCUCUAUUAGGUUCACGUGUUACUAAUCCGUAGUAACUUAUAGGAUUGUUGGUUACAAGCCUCAGUUCAGUUGUACUACUUUUAGUAUGUUGUUAAUUGAACCAGAACCUUGAUAUGAUGUUGUUGAGUGGUUUUGCCAACUGCUGUGGAUGUCUCAAAUCUUUUUCUGAGCAUUUACAGCCGUUAUGCUGUCCAAUUUCUCCUAGGAAAUACUAAUGCCUUUGCAUUAUUUCGUGCUUUCAGAUGGUCACCCGUUCACAGAAUCAAGUGGUUCGUCUUACUCGGUGCCUCGAUGUACCUAGUCACACGGCCAUGCUGGUCCGAGUGAUGGUCGAGACAGGCUAUCGAUGGUAUCCUGAGUAUACCGUCGAGGAGCAGUUUCGAGACUUCAAUCAGAGCCAAUACCUUUGUACCAUCAGGAUAUACCCCACUUAUCCUGGAGCUACUGAACCCCUCCACUGCUCUUAUGGACUUGGGGUUACUAUCGAGAUGUCCGUGCAGGACGCAGCUUACUCAAUGAUGACUAUCAUACGAGCCAGAACUGCCUUGCUUCGGAACACCGAUUUCCGCUACAUGCCAGCAUCACUCCCUGGGGCACAGGGGUACUAUCAGGCUAUGUACUGUGACUCUACACAUGAGGAUUCACUACUCCGCACCACUGCUGAGAUGCUUGAGGACAAGGACCGCGAAAAUUGUGCCUUGCGAAUGGAGCUCUUCAACUCUCGUUCUGACCACUGGGCCACUCUGACUCAGUUUGCACCUGUCGUGCAGGCUGGAUACAUGGACAUGAGGGACCUGUACCCCAUGCGGUAUGGGUUGCCAGAUUGUAUGGACUGGCGUGAUGUAGGAGGCAUCACCCCUCCCCGUGGACCCCGUUUGCCACCAUUUGUUGGACCAAGGCCACAUCCGAGUCCCUAUGGACCGCAAGCUCCAUAGGACCAACUAUUUCCAGAUGAUUAUGUUCAGCUCCCAGGACAUGGUGGUGAUCCCUAUGAAGAUUAGUACGGAAACGUCUGAGUUGGUAGUAGCUUCACUAGUAUUGUAACAGUUGUAUCCUCCAUAGUCCUGCGUGAAUCGUGGAAUACGACUUGGUGUUUAUCACGUUCUGGAGGUGUAGAAAAAUAAUGUAUAGGAGCUUGGAAUGCCUCUGAUGAGAUGUAACGUCUUUCACCGUAGUUGUACUCUAGCCUGGGCUUGUACUAAACUAUGUACGAUGUGUAUGACCGAUGGUAUAUAUAUGGCAGUUUCUAUAUUACCAUGUGGUGCAAAUGAACAUCUCAACAUUCCGUGUUAUCCAUUACAUUCCGCACUUCCUUGCCAAGAUUGUGCCAUCCUUGUCUAAACCAUUGUCUUGUUUUUCCUAGGAUGGUCAACACCCGCAGCAACCCUGCUGCCCCGGAGUAGGGUGAAGCCAGUGCAGAUAGGGAUGAGAAUCUGCCUCACCCGCCUUCUCUGGCCGAAGUUAUGCUCGAGGCAGAAAGAAACAAGCGUGAGACUAACCGCUGGCUGGAGCGGAUUGAGCAGACUACUACACGUCAACAGAGGAGCGACCUGGUGUCAAUCAAUGACUUUGUCAAGUUGUACCCACCAAAGUUUAAUCAUUCCGUCGAGCCCCUUGAUGCAGAUGAUUGGCUUCGCAACAUCACCCAUAAGCUACAUUCUGCCAACGUAACCGUAGCUGAUAAGGUUACCUACGCUGCCUAUCACCUCGAAGGGCCUGCUAGCCUUUGGUGGGAAAACUUCGAGGCUAUGCGCCCGGUUGGCCAAAUCACUACUUGGGAUGAAUUCAGUGAAACUUUCCGUGAGCAUCACAUUCCGGAGGGUCUCAUGGAUCGUAAGCGGGAAGAAUUAUGUAAUUUCACCCAAGGCAGACUGACUGUGGAUGCAUACAGCCGUGAGUUUGGGAAUCUGGCAUGUUAUGCUCCUGAAGAGGUAUCCACCGACGCCAAGAAGCAGGCAAGGUUCCGUAAGGGACUUAGCCCCGAGCUUCGUCAUGAUCUCUGUCUUCACGAGUGCACCUCCUUCCAGAAGCUGGUCAAUAAGGCCAUCAGUGCUGAGACAGGUCAGACUGACUAUGACGCUUCACGCAAACACUCCCGUGAUUUUGGUUCUUCAUCCGGCUCUGGAUCUCAAAAGCGCCGGGUGUGGAUUCCAAACACAGCUCUGCCACCCAGGUUCACUCCGAGGCCAUCCUUUGAGGUGCCUCGCCCCAACCAGCAGUUUGCACCGCCUAAGACCUAUGGUGGCCCCGCUGCUAAUGCUGCUCCAUGCCCCAAUGUUGUGAUAUGCUUCAAGUGUGGAGAGCCGGGUCACUACAGUCAAGAGUGUCCCCAGAACAACAACCCCAACCAGUCUAGAAAGGCCGUUGGCCGUGGUAAGCCAGCGGGAAAGACAUUCUACGCCAAGCCAGCCACCACUGCACGUGGCCAUGUCAACUAUGUCUCAGCUGAGGAGACUCAUGAUGAUCCUAACGUCGUCCUUGGUACGCUCCUUGUUAACUGCCAUCCAGCAUCUGUUCUUUUCGAUACUGGAGCAUCUCAUUCAUUCAUAUCUGAGAGCUAUGCUCGAAUGCAUAACACGACAUUCUGUGACAUGCCCACUUCCAUGGUAAUUCAAACUCCGGGUUCCAAAUGGCAAACUUCUAGAGUAAGCCAUGGGAAUGAAAUCCUUGUCGAUAGACUUGUCUUCCUUGCAUCACUAAUAGCUCUCAAGUCCUCAGACAUAAACAUCAUCUUGGGUAUGGACUGGAUGUCAGCCCAUUAUGCUAAGAUUGAUUGCUCUACUAGAACUGCUCAACUUACUCAUCCAUCGGGCAAGACAGUCAAUGUCUUAACUCGAGUGCCCAAGCGCUAGCUUUACUCCCUAAAUGCCAACCCCCUUCCAGACCUUGAAGAUAUUCCGGUAGUCCGUGACUUCCUGGAUGUCUUUCCGGAAGAAUUGCUAGGUGUUCCACCUGACAGGGAUGCCGAGUUCGUGAUAGACCUUGUUCCAGGAACCGUCCCGAUCUCUAGAAGACCCUAUAAGAUGGCACCCCUAGAACUAGCUGAACUUCAGAAACAACUCGAUGAGUCCUUGAAAAAGGGUUUCAUCCGUCCUAGUUCUUCUCCAUGGGCUUGCCCCGUCCUUUUCGUCAAGAAGAAGGACGGAACGGAUCGGAUGGUUGUAGAUUACCGACCUGUCAACUUGGUCACUAUCAAGAACAAGUAUCCGCUCCCCAGGAUCAACGAUCUGUAUGAUCAGCUCGCUGGAUCCUCGGUCUUUUCCAAAAUGGAUUUGAGGUUGGGCUACCAUCAAAUCAAAAUAAAAAACGGGUACAUUCCCAAAAUGGCCUUUGUUACUCGUUAUGGCCAAUACCAGUACACCGUCAUGUCCUUCGGUUUAACCAAUGCCCUAGCCACCUUCUCUCGGUUAAUGAACUCAAUCUUCAUGGAGUAUUUGGAUAAAUUUGUCGUGGUAUACCUCAAUGAUAUACUCAUCUACUCCAAGAAUGGGGAAGAACAUGCCGAACAUCUAAGGUUGGUAUUGACGAAACUUCGAGAGCACCGCCUUUAUGCCAAAUUCUCCAAAUGUGAAUUUUGGUUGCCAGAAGUGACCUACCUAGGCCAUGUAAUCUCUGGUAAGGGUAUUGCUGUCAAUCUCGAGCGAGUUCAAGCCGUCCUUGAUUGGACUCCACCUGAAACGGUCAAGCAAGUUCGGAGUUUCCUUGGCUUAGCGAGCUACUGUCGCCGCUUCGUCGAGAAUUUCUCCAAGGUUGCUAAACCUCUAACUGAACUCCUCAAGAAAGAUAAAAAGUUCGAGUGGACACCACAGUGCGAGUUCAGCUUUCAGGAACUGAAAAUACGCCUGACAUCUGCUCCUGUACUGGUACCACCAGAUUUCUCUAAGGACUUUAUUAUCUAUUGCGACGCCUCGCGACAAGGACUAGGGUGCAUACUCAUGCAAGAUCGGCAGGUAAUUGCCUAUGCUUCACGGCAAUUACACCCACACGAGGAAAACUAUCCCACACAUGAUCUAGAGCUUUCAGCUGUAGUCCAUGCACUUAAAACUUGGCGACAUUACCUCCUCGGUAAUCGUUGCGAGAUCUUCACUGAUCACCAAAGUUUGAAAUAUAUCUUCACCCAACCGGAUUUGAAUCUCAAGCAAAGACAUUGGGUCGAGUUGAUCUCAGAUUAUGACUUAGGGAUAACUUACACCCCGGGAAAAGCCAAUAGUAUGGCUGAUGCACUAAGUCAUAAAUCCUAUUGUAACAACCUAAUGUUACAACAAGGUCAAGCACUUCUCCAUGAGGAAUUUCGGAAGCUUAAUCUUGACAUUGUACCUUAGGGAUUCCUAUCUACCUUGGUGGUGAAACCGACCCUUAUGGAUCAGAUCAUAACCGCCCAGCGGUAUGACAAGGGCAUAUCUCGGAUCAAGCAGAACAUUGCUAGCAGAGCUGCUAAAUGUUUCUCUGUGAAUGAUCAAGGUGUUGUCUUCUUUGAGAACCGCAUAGUGGUUCCCAAGAAACAGCAACUACGGCAAUUGAUCCUUAAGGAAGCUCAUGAAUCCCCUCUCACCAUUCAUCCUGGUAGUACUAAAAUGUAUCAAGACCUACGCCAGAGGUUUUGGUGGACUAGGAUGAAGAGAGAAAUUGCUCAAUAAAUUGCUAAUUGCGACGUUUGUCGUUGUGUAAAAGCAGAGCAUCAACCGCCUGCUGGCACCCUUCAACCUUUGGCUAUUCCUGAAUGGGAAUGGAAAAAAUCAGUAUGGAUUUCAUUACCGGGUUUCCCAGGACCAAGAAGGGGAAUAAUUCUAUCUUCGUCGUUGUCGAUCGUCUUUCCAAAGUGGCCCACUUCCUACCUAUUCGUGAGAGUAUAACCGCUAGCCAGCUAGAUGACUUGUACAUCUCCCGAAUAGUGUCUCUUCAUGGUGUUCCAUUGGAGAUUAACUCAUACCGUGGGAGUCUUUUCACCUCUCGAUUUUGGGAAAGUUUCCAAAAUGCUAUGGGAACUCGUCUCUCCUUUAGCACCGCCUUCCACCCCCAAUCAAGUGGUCAAGUAGAAUGAGUCAAUCAAAUUCUGGAGGAUAUGCUUCGAGCUUCUGUCAUCUCUUUCGGUAUGGAUUGGGAGAAAUGCCUUCCAUUCGCUGAGUUCGCUUAUAACAAUAGUUAUCAAGCUAGUUUGGGCAAAGCUCCUUUCGAAGUUCUCUAUGGACGAAAAUGUCGAACGCCUCUUAACUGGUUAGAAACCGGGGAAAGACAACUCUUUGGCCCGGAUAUGAUUCAGGAAGCAGAAGAGCAGGUUCGCAUUAUUCGUGAGAAAUUGAAAACCGCCCAAUCUCAUCAAAAGAUCCAAUAUGAUCGCAAAUAUAAGCUCAUGACUUAUGAAGUUGGCGAGAAGUCUUACCUUCGGGUUACUCCUUUAAAGGGAACCCAUUGUUUCGGUAUCAAAGGCAAAUUGGCUCCUCGUUACAUUGGACCCUUUCGCAUUCUUGCCAAAUGAGGAGAAGUUGCCUACCAAUUGGAACUACCUCCGCAUCUUUCUAGAGUUCACGAUGUCUUCCACGUUUCUCAACUCAGGCGUUGCUUUGCGGAUCCUAUCCGUGGAGUGGACCAUGAAACGCUAGAUCUCCAAUAUAAUCUCACAUAUUGGGAAUAUCCCGUUCGUAUCCUUGAUCAAGCCGAGCGUACCACUCGACGCCAUAACAUCAAGUUCCUCAAGGUUUAAUGGUCACACCAUUUCGAGAAGGAAGCCACUUGGGAAAGGGAGGAUCGUCUUUGACUUGAGUACCCCACCUUCUUCCCGCCAGAUCCUAAAUCUCGGGACGAGAUUCUUUUGAGUGGGGGUGAGUUGUCACACCCUAGCUAGUUCAUGCAUUAGAGUGUUGCAUCAUGUCUACUUUUCCAGAAUCCUGAAAUGGGGAUGGCAGAACCCCCAGCACCCCCUGAAACAACUACGGUUUACUAAAAUCAUUUUCAAUGAACCUGAAAUGCCCUUCUAAAAUGUCCACCCUUUUUGUCUUGGGUUAGAACCUCUGACAAAAUGGGUUCACUUUUUUCUAGGUCAUCACAAGAUCAUUGAAUUAAAUCAUAGAUAACUUGCACUUGGGCAUUUAAAUGCUAGUAAAUAUUUUAAAUGCCCAAAUAAUUCUGGAAAUAAGUGUGGGUUGUUGGAAAUAAUCCAAAUAGAGCCCCUGAUUAUUUUCAGGAUUUUUGGAAGUGCCUAACUAUUUUUAAUAAAGCCACACAGUUAAAGAAAAAUAGAAAAAAAAACAAAAACGGAAUUAAGAGAGGGAGAGAAACUCACCUGGCAGCCCACUGGCCGGCCCAACACUGUGCUGGCCCAUACCAGCCAGCUACUUCCUCUUGCCAGGCAGGCAGAGAGGUGAUGCCGGUGAGCGCGAGCUCGCCACGGCGCCAGCUGCUUGCCGCCCGCGCCCCUGAACACCUGGGCAGGCUCCACGUCGCCGCCCCGACCUCGCAGACAUGUCGCCCGCUCCUCUGUCUCUCUCCCUCGCUCUCUCGCACCAUGGCCGACGCCCCUGCCGCCGCACCAUCGACGUAGCCGCGUUCUCCGUCGUCCCUGCACCGUGCCAACUUGUCCACGAGCUCUGCCGUCGUCCGCAACGUCGAGCUAGCCGAGCCCCGAGCGCUCGCACGCUCUCCCUCGUCUUCACCGAACGCCGCCGCAGAUCCCCCUCGCCGUCUCCACCGCACCAGCUCAUCCCCGACCGUGUCGUCUGCACCGUCGUGUUCGCCAUGAGCUGCUGCACCUCUCCAUCCCUCCCGUCCUUGCUCUCAUGCCUCAUAGCCACCGCACCGAGCUUGGCCGCACCCUCCGCCGCCACUACACAUCGCCAUCAUGGCCACAUCCACUUGGGCUUGAUUCCGAGCACGUCACCAUCUUCACCGCACUCGUAGGAGCCCAACGCACCACUCCACGCACCUCGCCGUGCCCCGUAGCCUCGGGUUCGACCUCGCCCGAACUCCGGUGGCCGCCAAGGUCGUCGCCGGCGUCAUUUCUGGCGACCCUGAGCCCAACCACUGCCACCACUCGAUGCGGCUUGCUCCCAGCUACGCGUAGGAGGUCUCCGCCGUCCAUUUGGUCAUUGGAGUGCAAAACACGCACUGCCCCGCCGCGUCUGGCCUCGCCGGCGGCUAAACGCCAACGAGUUUGACCCCGUUUGACCCGGUUUGACCUCGGGUGGGCCCAGUUUGACCCCCCAAGGUCACUAACGUGUGGGACAUGCCCCUGUUUAGUUUAGUGUUAGCUUAGUCAACACUAAUUACUUUAGUUAAUGGGUUGACUCACUGACAUGUGGGCCCAGGCCCUAACUAACCUAGAUUAGUACUAACCUAACACUAACUAACUGUGUUAGUUAGUUGUUACACUGACAGACGGGACCCACUGGUCAGGUUUGACCUGGGCUGGCGCCUUUGACCUGCUGACGUCACCCUGACGCAAUGCUGACGUAGUAAUUCAAUUACUGGAAUUAUUCUUAUAUAGGAAAUUCCAGAAAUUGUCCUAAACUUCAAAAAUUCAUAACAAUUAAUCUGUAACUCCAAAUGCAUAGAUUUAUAUAUGAAAUUUGAUCAAAAAAUUCAAUCUUUCCAUCUGUAAUGGUUUCAUGCAUGACAGAACACUUUAAAGUUGUUGUUUAGGUGAAACGAGCUAAAGCACUUAUAUGACUUAAUAACAUGAGCUUCCAUUUGAAUCUUUGAUUCAAAUAGACUCAAACCAACAUGUUUUGCAAUGCAUUAGCCAAGACACAUCAUAUUGCCAUGUCAUAGCAUGCAUCAUACUGUUGCAUAUUGCCAUGUGAUGAUUGUGUUCUGUGGUGUCUUUUGUGGUAGGUUCUACCUCCGAGGAUACCUUCGAUUAUCUGACUGAAGGGCAGUACCCUACUACUACUCCAUCAGGCAAGCAGCCCCAUUGAUCAUAUCGAUACAAUCCCAUGUUCUCGCUCCUGCUCUCAUUUACUGCAUUAAGACAACAACGUUUCAAACUGCUGUGUGCUGCGAUAGUUGAACCCUUAUCCUCUACAUGACCUGUCAUUGCCACAGUAACUAGAUGAAACCCACUAGCAUGUGUAGGAGUUGAUUGAGCCAUGUCUGUGUUUCCUACCUUGCUAUGCCUGCUAUGCUUAGAGUUGUGUCAGGUCUGGUUCAUCUGGGUGAUGGGCUAGAGUGAAAUGAUACGUCGGUAAUGUGAGGGAUGUGUUGAACAUGAUUUGGUAAAGGUAUCGAUGAGAGGCCAUGUAGGAGUACAUGGUGGGUUGUUUCACUGAGGUCGUCCUUAAGAACUGAGAUCUGUAUGUGUGAUUUAAGAUUCAGUUACUACCAUGCAUUGGGAUCCUUAAUUGACCCUCUCGGCUUCUUAACCACCCUAGUCCUCUGUCCAGGAGUUGCAACUAGUUUCUAGUGUUUAUAGGUUAUGUGUUGGCGGCCGUGCGUAGCGCUGACCCUAGGGGUGGGCUAUGAUGCGGUAGAUACACCAUGGCACGGUGUACCGAGUCGCCCGUUUGGUGUCUCGGGAACCCUGUACACAACGUUCGGGGCCGUAUGUGGAAACCUCGGCCGGACUCCCUGCGGAUGGAACCUGGAUAGGCGAUAGACCUAGACUAGAGACUUGAGUGUUUAGGUAGGCCGUGGCCGACACCCUCGUUGGGCUUCUGCUUGAAGGUUGCCGAGUACAUGUCGUGUAAAUGACGAUAAGUGGUGAGAGCGUGUAUGAAGAAGUACACCCAUGCAGGGUUAACCUCAUCUAUUCGAAUAGUCGCGUCCGCGGUAAAGGACUACUUGGUUGCCUAUACACUUCAUAGACAAGUUAAUGGUUACUACUAGAAGACUCAAGAUAAGUGUGAGUACCGCGGAUGGCCCUCUUGUGGGAUGAUGAGGGAGGAUCCACGGUGGAGUAUUGUGAUGGUGACUAGUGGACUCGUGUGCGAAAACUAUUUUACAAGUGGUGUCUCAUAGGAUAGCUUAGCCAAGAGUCAAAGAUGGUUUGCUGCCAUAACCCCACUACCUUCUUGAGAAUGAGCAUGUAUAGUAGGAUCUGUGUAAGACUUGCUGAGUACCUUUGUACUCAUGUUGCUUUAAUUACUAUUUUCAGACGACGACAACACACCCUCCGACGGGUUUUACAUAGACCUCGACGUCGAUGAGUGACUUGCCACCCAGGUGGUGAUUCCGAGCCAUGGAGGGCCCUAUGUAGAUAGACAGGCUUCGUCAAGCCUUCUUUCUUUCUAGUGUCUGUACUCAGACUAGUUUGCUCCUGCAUGUGCUUGUAUGUUUGUAUGACUUGAGUGUCGGGUCAUGUGACCCCUACCUGUAUGAACAUGUUAUGUAUGGCUCUCCGGAGCCUUUAAAUAAAGUACUUGUGUUGUAGAGUUUUGUUGUGAUGCCAUGUUGUAUUUACACAUAUCGAGCAUAUUGUGUGUAUGAUUGAAAUGCUUGGUAUGUGUGGGAUCCGACAAUCUAGUUGUUUAUCCUUGGCAGCCUCUCUUAUGGGGAAAUGUAGUCUAGUGCUUCCAUGAGCCAUAGUAGUCUGCUACAGCCCUGUUCACCGGAGUCCUGCUAGCCCAGCACUACUGCUCGAGCACUUGACUGGCCGGCAUGUGAUUCACUUCGUUCCUGUGUCUGUCCCUUCGGGGAGAUGUCACGCGGUGACAUCUGGAGUCCUGCCUAGCCUGCUACAGCUCGGGUUCACCGGAGUCCUGUUAGCCCAGUGCUACUGCCCGGAUUCACACGCUGCUGACCGACAUGGUCGAUGUUGAAUCAUGUAUGCCUGUCCCCGUAAGUUUGUGCCGCUUUGGGUUCACGACUAGCCAUGUCGGCCCAGGUUCUCUGUCAUAUGGAUGCUAGCAGCACUAUCAUAUACGUGAGCCAAAAGGCGCAAACGGUCCCGGGCCAUGGUAAGGUGACACCCGUGGGAAUACCAUGCGUGAGGCCGCAAACUGAUAUGAGGUGUUAUAGGCUGGAUCAGUGUGACUUGGAAUCAGGGUCCUUACAACAUGUCCGGCACACGGAGGAGGAAGAUCUAGGGUUCGUCCGCGAGAUUUCGGAGGGAGACACAUAUAUAUAGGUAGAGGGAGCUAGGAGAGUCCAAAUGAGGUGCGGUUUUCGGCCACGCGAUCGCGAUCGAACGUCCAAGAGGAUGGAGGGGGUUUGGAUGGGUUAUUGGGCCACUUUGAAGGGGUGUUGGGCUGCAACACACACGAGGGCUUUACGGUUCCCCGGUUAACCGUUGGAGUAUCAAACGAACUCCAAAUGGCAUGAAACUAGACAGGCGGUCUACCUGUAGUGAACCAAGGCCGCUUGGCAAAUCUCAGUCCAAUCCCAGAACGUUCAACACCCGCACACGAAAAGAGGCAAAAGGAGGCGCCGGAUGACAUAGGAGUGUCGGAUCACAAAACGGACAACAGGGAAAAUGCUCAGAUGCAUGAGACGAACAUGUAUGCAAAUGUGAUGCACAUGAUGACAUGAACAAAUGACAAGGCAACAACAGCGAAUAACUGGAAGACACCUGGCGCAAUGGUCUCGGGGCAUUACAACACCCCACCACUACGAGAGGAUCUCCUCCCGAGAUCUAGGAUGGCACCGGAGGGAAAACGGGAGAGGAAGAAGUAAAACAAGUUGCUUCUUUGACAAACGAGUGAAACCACGAACCUUGAGAUGUUGAACAACUUCGAGAAAAGAAUACAACGGAGAUGAACAAAGUUGACAAUCUCUGUUAGAAAAGAGGAGAACAAAUUCGGACAGCACUCCGGUUAAAUGGAUAAGCACGAAAAGAACACGAUCCUGACAAUUCGAGGUGAUGAUUGAAAAGAGCAACAUCACAAAGCCUCCGGGAGAAAGAAUAGAAUAUCGAUCAUUGGAAUAAGAAUGAUGAAGAAAAUGUCAACUUCUGCCACAAGUGAGCUUGGAAAGCACCCUUCCAAGAAAGAUAUAACGAAGUUGUUGGAAAACCAACAACGAAACGAAUAAACUUGCAGUGGGCUUAUGGAAAAUUUCUCAAAACUAUGAGGUGAAAUUCUGCCACUAACGGAAACAAUGGGUUUUGAUUGAUAUGAACAAGGGGACGAGAAACUUAUUUCACCGAGAGGAUAAAUGAAGAACUAGGGUCGUUUAUAAGCACCAUAAAUAGCAACAAUCCUUAGGGAAAGCUUUUGGUGAAAUAUUACCCAAUAUAACUCCAAUGAAGAGAUUGAUGGAUUGAAAAGAUGUCUUGAACGAAGAUAAAAUGAUGGAUUUUAGAUAUGUCACUCUUGAAAACUUGUGAAUCAUGAAACACGAAGGGAAAUUAUCAACAAUGACAUAACACCACCUGAAAAGAUAAGAUAGAAAGAAUUGCACUUCGGAAUGCCAGAUGAAGAAUACUUGAGCUCCUAUGAAAAGAAUCUUGAUAAGCACUUCGAGAAGGAAUUUAAAUCUUUGAUGAACCAUCAUGUAGAGCCUCCAUAAGGAACUCCAGUAAUAAAAGAAUGAUCAAACGAAAAUAAAGAGAAAUUUAAAACACAAGGUGAAUCCUUGCAAUGAUUUAGAUGAAGCUUUGAAAUGAUAUACCCGAGAAAACUUGGAACUCAGGAAAGAUUGAAGAACAACUGAAAUCAAGAAUUUUGAUGAACCUCCGGAAUAAGGAAUUGAAUAUCCUCAAUGAAACAAGAAUAAGAAUUACAUUAUGCUUAUCCUUCACCAAUUAAAUUGAUGACGAGCAAACAGAUUUGGCAUACUCCUUAUUCUCGUAGAAAAGGAUUAAGAGAGAUAUAGCGUAAACUUGAGAAGGUCUUCGACGAACCAUCGGUAGGAUUGGAAAGAGCAAAUGAAUUGAUAUGAUAAUCAAGGAAGAAGAAUCUUGGAAGAACCACCGUUAGAAUUGAAAAUGAACAAAGAAAAGAUAAAGAAACACCGGGAAGAAUUAGAGAAUGAAGAUACUUGAGAGAAUUUAGAUGCCAGUGAACGAAGAGAUCCCGAGUUGAUUAGAGAAUAUUUGAACGAUGCACUGGUAAGAUUUCAAGAAUGAGAGCUGAAAGCUGGAAUGAAUAAACCCAAAAUAAUGACCUUUGGAGAAUCAAACUGAAAAGACUCUUGAAAUGCUCCGGAUGGGUGAAAAUAAUUCUCACAACCAAAAACAACUAUGAGAGGAUGGCAUGAAGCUAGAACCACGAAUAUUUGAUAGAACAGAUAAGAUUUGGAGGAAAACCCUUCUUCGGUCUUCAAAUGUUGAGAAUGACGAUGAGAAACACCACCAUGAAUUGUUGAGAUACUCCGGGAUGACGAAUAGAAAGGUUGAGUUAACCAUGAAAGAAUUUGACAGAUCUUGGAUAAAGACAUAUGACUGAUGAUAAUCCAUUCUUACGUCAAGCUUGAAAUGAAUUUGAGAAAUAACUCUGGAAGAAAUUAGAAGAGUCAGGUAAGAUCCUGGAAAAAGACCUGUGGGUUAGGGCCCACUCAAGAGAAACACCGUUGAAAUGAUUUAAAGAGAGAGAUUGCACGAGUUGAAUUAAAAUGCUUGAAUGAGAUAACAUCCUCGAAAGAGCUUGAACGAAUGUAGAGUGGAAACACGAAUCUUCGAGAUAUCUUGAGCACUCCGGAACAAUAGAAUAGCGAGCGUGGAAUGAUUAUGAGGUGCCCCGGUCAUGGGAAAAGCAUUUGAAACGAGGAAAAGGAUAUGAUCAACACGAAAGCUUGAAUUGAAUCCACCGGAGAAGGAAAAAGAAACAAAGAAUGAUGAACUUAAAGCUCCGUUAGUAUCUUCAUGAGAAUCACCGGGUAAGAACAUGAAGGAAAAGAAUGGAGAGACUUCCAUCAAUAAAAUGAUAGUUGAUUAAGACAUCUGAUUCCUUGAAGGAAAAGGGUGGGAGGGCGGGAAAAACAAAGACAACUUGGGAUGAAUGAAACAAACACCGUUGAGAAUACUUAGAGUUGAUCUUGCGAAUGUUGAAAUGAUCGGAUCCACUUGAAGAGAAACACGCCGGUUGAAAAGGAUAGGCAUGACCAUCUCGAUGAUAGAAAAGGAUUAGCACUCCCAUAGAAAUAUGAGAACACCGCUUAGGAAAGGUAUGGAAUCAACAUUUGACUUCGAAGCAACUCGAAUACCACAACUCAAAACAAAACAAAGGAUUGGCUUGGAAAAUAAGCCGGAAACAAACAUAUGAUAGAUCCCAUAUCGUAUCAUGUGUCUGUUGGAAAUAUAUUCUAGGAGCUACUUGAAUUCCCACUUAUAAACUCCCGAAACUUUCUGGUUAUGCAAUCAGGUGUUGGGGAUACAGGGGAAGCAUAAUAUCUCACCCAAACUAACAAAUCCUACAUCCAGCUAUAUCCAUCCUUCAACACAUAACCAAGAAACCUUCGGAAAUCAUUUACCUCAACCUUCGAAAAACAUCCUUUAUACGAGUUAUGGCAAUACUCCCGAACUCCCACCCCAGUAUUGGGUGGCGUCGAGGUUAUCUCACCAACAACUGCAUCAAAGAGAUUUUCGAUGUCGGCGAACUCAGGUAUUCCAGAACUGCAACGAUAAAAUUGUGACGACAACACCUCGGAGCUCAACUCCCCGGGACACUGCCACAACCCCUAAAUGUCAGGAGGCACCAAGAACAAUGUUCUCAUCACAAAACUAUCAAAACGAUUCCAAGAUACCCGCGUGAUCCUAAAUUUUUUUUAGUGAAAUUUGAGGAGAGAAGAGUCAAAACUCUACGUCAGGAGGCCUCACCGGAGCGACGAAGGGACUGAGGAGUAAAAAGAAUCCUACUCUCCGAUAUAUAUAAUCCUAUCAGACUAAAAACAUUUUUCUAGACUCAACAACGCCAGCGAUUAGAUCAAGCAGGGGGCUCCUAAGUCAGGGAAGGCUCUGAUACCAACUUGUAACACCCACGAUGCGGCUAUAUCUCCCACGUGUCAGAGCACGACUUAGAGACAUAACCGCAUAGUAGGCAUGUCGAGGGGUAAUCUUUACACAUCCCAUGUACUAAAUAAGAAAGGGAUAAAGAGUUGGCUUACAACCGCCACUUCACACAAUAAAUAAAUAUAGCAUUACAUCAUCCAGAAUACAAUCAAGGUCCGACUACGGAACCAAAUAAAGAAAGACAACCCCUAAUGCAAAAGAUCCCCGAUCGCCCCAACUGGGCUCCUCUAUCGAUCGAAAGGAAACGAAACACCACAACAAACACGAUCUUCAUCGAGCUCCCACUUGAGCUCAGCUGCGUCAUCUGCACUGAUAUCAACGGCACCUGCAACUGGUUUUGGAAGUAAUCUAUGAGUCACGGGGACUCAGCAAUCUCACACCCUCGUGAUCAAGACUAUUUAAACUUAUGGGUAGUAAAAGGGAGUAGUGAGGUGGAGCUGCAGCAAGCACUAGCAUAUAUGGUGGCUAACUUACGCAAAUAAGAGCGAGAAGAGAAGCAAAGCAUGGUCGUGAACUAGAAGUGAUCAAGAAGUGAUCCUGAAACUACUUAUGUUCAAGCAUAACACAAGAACCGUGUUCACUUCCCGGACUCCGCCGGAAAGAGACCAUCACGGCUAUACACGCGACUGAUUCAUUUUAAUUAAGUUAAGUGUCAAGUUCUCUACAACCGGAUAUUAACAAAUUCCCAUCUUCCUAUAACCAUGGGCACGGCUUUCAAAAGUUCAAAACCCUGCAGGGGUGUCCCAACUUAGCCCAUCACAAGCUCUCACGGUCAACGAAGGAUAUUCCUUCUCCCAGAAAGACCCGAUCAGGCUCGGAAUCCCGGUUACAAGACAUCUCGACAAUGGUAAAACAAGUCCAGCAAAGCCACCCGAUGUGCCGACAUCCUGAUAGGAGCUGCACAUAUCUCGUUCUCAGGGCAACACCGGAUUGUCCAAACUUCCGGUAGGUCAGCCCAGAGUUGCCCCUGGUGGCCACCGGCGGCUGACAAGUUCCGACCAACACUUAGACAAGCACUAGCCCCGCGGGGGGGGGGGGGGUUAAAAUAAAUAUGACCCUUGGGUUGGCCGUCCCAAGGGAAGGGUAAUAGGUUGUUAGGCAAAUGUAAAACCAACGUUGGGCCUUGCUGGAGGAGUUUUAUUCAAAGCAAACUGUCAAGGGGUUCCCAUAACAACCAACUGUGUAAGGAACGCAAAAUCAAGGAACAUAACACCGGUAUGACGGAAACUAGGGCGGUAAGAGUGGAACAAAACACCAGGCAUAAGGCCGAGCCUUCCACCCUUUACCAAGUAUAUAGAUGCAUUAAUUAAAUAAGAGAUAUUGUGAUAUCCCAACAUAUAACCAUGUUCCAACAUGGAACAAACUCCAUCCUCACCUGCAACUAGCAACGCUACAAGAGGGGCUGAGCAAAGCGGUAACAUAGCCAAACAACGGUUUGCUAGGACAAGGUGGGUUAGAGGCUUGACAUGCCAAUAUGGGAGGCAUGAUAAAGCAUGUGAUAGGUAUCGCGGCAUAGCAACAGAGCGAGCAACUAACAAGCAAAGAUAGAAGUGAUUUCGAGGGUAUGGUCAUCUUGCCUGCAAAGUUCUCUGAGUUGACGUAAGCUUGAUCCUCGUAAGCGUACUCAACGGGUUCCUCGAUCAUGAACUCAUCUCCUGGCUCUACCCAAAGCAAGAACACAAGGAAAGGACCAACAAUCAAUCACGGUGCAAUGCGCAAGCAACAUGAUGCAAAACAUGGCAUGAUAUGCGGGAUGUGAUAUGCAAUGCAUAUGCAUGCUUCAGAAGGGAAAGAUUGAACCAGGAAUCAACUUGGCAAACCAAGUGUGCCUCUAGAAAGAUGAGUUGAUUUCGGUCGAAAUCGAUAUAAAGAUCACCGGAAUCGGAUGCACGGUUUGCAAAUGGCAAGCAAAACAAGAAUGACACCAUUCUGCGAUUAACAGCACGAUGCCAUCCAGAAUGCAACAAGAAACUAAGCUACUGCACUCUAACAUAGCAAAAAAGCACAUGGCAGUGAUCUACUCAAGAUGCUUGACAAAAGAUGAACACUGAGCUAUGGCUAAAUCACACAAGAUCAGGUUCAAACAAGCAUGGCAAAAGAGCAAAAGAUAACAGCAUCACAGACUUAGUGAAAAUACUAACAUGACAGGAUUUAACAUCAGGAAGCAAUGUUUAGAGCAAGAUAACAACAUACUAUAGGAACGGAACAUAGCAAUACAAGGCAUGGCAUGAAUCUACUCAAAGCAUAUAACAAAAGUCCCUUACUGACCAUAAGCCAAAAAGGAAAAUAAGAUAUGAUGGGACCCAUUUGAACAUAGCAAGUUUCAUUAACAAAUUCAGACUUUGCAGAAAACUGGACAUGGCAAAAACAGAGUAACGUAGGAAUGUUUGCGAGCUCGAUGCACUCAACACAAGGCAUUGCAUGACAAGCUAAGCAUACUAACAGCAAGAAGACAUGAUCAAGAAGCUAUAUAUGGCAAGAACAAUCUCAUAGCAUGCAUGUAUCAACUACAACAACCUUAGCAAAAUUGAUUAACACGUAAAAAAUCUGCCAGGAACAUUUUAUAGCAAAAGUAGAGCAAGAUUGAGUCAUGCUAGAGUACUCCAUAAAUGCAAACACGGACAUGGAUGGAUAGAGCAUAACCAUAUGUCAAAAUCAUCCUUACUGAACAUACUCAAAAGAGGCAUGGAUCACUCUGUAGCAACAUGAAUGCAUGGCAUAAAAAUAACAGCAGGGAAAUGACUUAGUGAAAUUCCAAGUCCCUGAAAUCAGCAACAUUACGAGAGCUACUUUGCAUGCAUGUGCUAGUCACCACAUUGAUCACAAAAAUACAUGGCAUACACCCCUGUAAAGAUGGCAUGGCAUAGCCCAAAACACAUGUAGAGCUCAAGUCCAUAGGAAGCACACAAUAAUCAUGGCAAAAAUGACAAAUGCUCAUAAACUGAUAAGAAUCAGGAACUAACAUUUUAUAGCACUCUUGCAACAGACAUUAGGGCAUCAAUAUGGACUCAAACAAGCAUGGUGCAAUGGAACAAAAUGAAGAGGACAUCCAGACAAACAAUCUGAUAUAUGGCACGCUCAAAACGGAGCUACGGAUGCGGAGUUAUGCCAUGAUGAAAAGUGCUUCAGAAAGUAAAACAAAAAGACAUGAAUAUUUCGGGGUCAACCUAGGGUUUGACCCGAUCCAGAUCUGGGUGACGCGGGAACCGAGGAUGGCCGGAAUCGAAGCUCGCCGGAGUGGAAGAAGGAGGCGGCUGGCGUCGGAGUUCGUCGGGGAUGCGGGGAGAGGCCAGAUCCGGGGUCGGCCGGGGCGGAUCCGUCCGGCAGUGGACGCGGCGGCGAGGGAGAGGACCGCGAUGGGCGGAGNNNNNNNNNNNNNNNNNNNNNNNNNNNNNNNNNNNNNNNNNNNNNNNNNNNNNNNNNNNNNNNNNNNNNNNNNNNNNNNNNNNNNNNNNNNNNNNNNNNNNNNNNNNNNNNNNNNNNNNNNNNNNNNNNNNNNNNNNNNNNNNNNNNNNNNNNNNNNNNNNNNNNNNNNNNNNNNNNNNNNNNNNNNNNNNNNNNNNNNNNNNNNNNNNNNNNNNNNNNNNNNNNNNNNNNNNNNNNNNNNNNNNNNNNNNNNNNNNNNNNNNNNNNNNNNNNNNNNNNNNNNNNNNNNNNNNNNNNNNNNNNNNNNNNNNNNNNNNNNNNNNNNNNNNNNNNNNNNNNNNNNNNNNNNNNNNNNNNNNNNNNNNNNNNNNNNNNNNNNNNNNNNNNNNNNNNNGGAGCACGCGACGUCCGGUCGCCGGAGGCGGACGCGGGCGGAGGAAGGCGGCGGGGUGACUUGGGCGCUCGGGCCUGGUCGCGGCUCGGGCGGGCCGGCCUCUGGCCCCGCGGGCCGCGGUGGUGGAGGGACGCGGCCGGACACGUGGCGUAGCGCAGUUGGGCGCGGGCGACAGCGGCGGUGACGUGUCGCCUCACGAUUGGCCGGGUGAUGUGGCCGGCGGACAUGUCCGGCGUCGGAGUGGACAUGUCCGGUGCACGGAGGAGGAAGAUCUAGGGUUCGUCCGCGAGAUUUCGGAGGGAGACACAUAUAUAUAGGUAGAGGGAGCUAGGAGAGUCCAAAUGAGGUGCAGUUUUCGGCCACGCGAUCGUGAUCGAAUGACCGAGAGGAUGGAGGGGGUUUGGAUGGGUUAUUGGGCCACUUUGAAGGGGUGUUGGGCUGCAACACACACGAGGGCUUUACGGUUCCCAGGUUAACCGUUGGAGUAUCAAACGGACUCCAAAUGGCACGAAACUUGACAGGCGGUCUACCGGUAGUGAAACAAGGCCGCUUGGAAAAUCUCGGUCCAAUCCGAGAAUGUUCAACACCCACACACGAAAAGAGGCAAAAGGAGGCGCUGGAUGACAUAGGAAUGUCGGAUCGCAAAACGGACAACGGGGAAAAUGCUCAGAUGCAUGAGACGAACACGUAUGCAAAUGUGAUGCACAUGAUGACAUGAUAUGAGACACAUAUGCAAAUGUGAUGCACAUGAUGACAUGAUAUGAGAUGCAUGACAUGCAAACAAAUGACAAGGAAACAUCAGCGAAUAAUUGGAAGACACCUGGCGCAACGGUCUCGGGGCGUUACAGACGGGGGCUGAUGCAGGAGCGAUGCCGGACUGUCCUCCAGCCGAGGACUCGGAUGAUGUAUCUGUCACCAACUCGAAAGUGGAGAGUGCUAUGAGUCAUCAGCAUCGCCAGAACAUUUUACAAGAUCCUGGCUUUUCGGAAGGGUCGUUUAACGCCUUCAAUGCAGCCGACGCAUACAUCCAGGCUGCUCGAGAUGGGAUUAGCAGGGCUGCAAAGCAACAUUUGAAAGAUGUGCAGGUAAAUUCCCUUUGUUUGACUAUGAUAACCAUAUGCCAGUAGCCCUAGAGACUUAAAGGAGUUGAAACAACUGAUUUAAGGAUCAAUGUACAACCAGGUGCUUACGGAGAAGAAUAUCCAUCUGGCUCAGGAACUAGAAAAGUGUCAGCGCCAGCUGCUUGCUGCUAACGCCGAACUGGCGAAAUACAGGGCAUCUCCAGGUAAUGUUUUCCUCCAUCGAAAAUUCAUAAGGCUACACCAAUAAUGUGAAUCUUGGUUCUAAUCUUUGUGUUGGGUCAUUUAGACCAAGUUCGAGAGCAGCUUGAUGCCGCUCGAGGCGAAGAACACGGAGCCAAAAAGCUACUAGCAGCGGGCGAGCGUGUAUUGACAAAGGUUGUUGAAGAGAAAAAGAAACUCCACGAUUCGAACAUCAACCUAUGCGAAGAACUGAAAGAUGUGCGAGCACAACUAGACGACUCUGUGAAGGAGAACAAGAAGCUCCGAGGCGGCAUAUUCAGUAUGUGGCCGCUUUUGUCUUAUAACAGUUUGGAGGUGGCGGUGGCUGAUAUAGCUGUAAUUGCAGGUGUGUUGACGAACCGCCCCAAAGAGGAAGUGUCCGGAUCAUCAAAUGAUCUUCUGCAGGAGCUGUCACAGUUGCAUGAGCAAGCUCGACAGGCUAUGCGGAGUGUAGCCAAGGCUUUAUGGCCAUCCGACUCCCCUCCAGGAAGCAUGGAAAAGCUGGUAGAGCUAUUCAAGGGAGUGCGGCAGCGUAUCCGGCUAUGGAAGAUAGCUGCCUGCCGAGAGGGUGCGCGAGAGGCCUGGGCCAUGGUGAAGACGCGCUAUACCAAGCUGGAUCCUAAUCACAUGGCUCACGUCGGGCCGGUAGGGCCGAAUGGGGAAGAAAUUCCUAUUAGUAUAGUAUAUGGCCAAGUAGAGGUGGCCGCCAAAUAUUGCCAACAGGAUUGUAAGUUAGACUGCCUGUUGGAAGGUGUAGAGGAAGAGGUGUUCGAGUUCAAAUGACUGUGUACUUUCCUCAUCUAGCUUAAUUGUAUAUCAUUUGUCAUGGCAGACAUUUUCGCUUCAACCUCCAGACUCUAAGGUGCGGAGUGUUUCCACCGUCGCGGCCGAAUAGGCCGGGGUAUGCUUGGAAAACUAGGAGUAGGGGUCAUAGUUGCUUGAACAGACAAGUUAUAUCUGGCUAGCUAUGUUAUAUUACAUUAAGGUCGUAACAAACAUCUUCCAGAUAGAAUAGUUCUGUUAAGGGUUCCUUUCCCUGGGUGUGCAUGCAUUCAAUGUACAUGCCCGAAUUGUGAUGCGAGCACCACAGUUUGUAUAAUUUCUGGGGUGCACAAUGGAGUGAGUUUAGAAAACAUUUUUAAUUCACCGACCGAAUAUUUCCUUUAAAACGCUAGCUUUCGGCUUCACCCAGUCUGAGGUACACAUCCGAAUGACCCGGUAGUAACAAUCGCAGAUGUUCUCCCUUUAUGCCCUAGCCGAACUAACGGGAACGUAGGGCAUAAACACAGGAGCCAGGCAACCCAGCUUGGCCAAAACUUAAGUCAUAUCGAUGCAUAUAGUGGCGAAAAAAGGUACAUAUGGAAAAAAUCAUAUGUGAGGAGCUUAAUGCUCAAGAAAUGACAAGAACUUCUAUCCGAGAAUCCCCCGGGUACAAGCAACAUACAUGUUUAAAGAUGUAUGUGUCGAUGUUGUGCGGUCUGGCCGUACCGAAGCUGAUGAGGACAUGACUACCUUGGAUACGACCAAAAAUAUUGCAUACAUGCAUAUUUGUCAGGUGAUUUCUAGUGCAAACUAUUCAAUAAUCUAUUUAUGUUAUCCAGAACAAAAAUACUUCACAUACUUUUGUGUUUUGUCUAAUUGCAUGUGUAUGGGACAUUUGUACAAUCCACAUAUGAAGAUAAGGGAAAAGGAGAAGUUUAGGUUUUGUUCAAAAAGUGCUCUCACGUCACUUUUGGGCCAAGAGAAGAUAGAGUCCAAGUCUCUCAUGUUCUGGAUUCACAUUCGGACUGCACAGACAUACCUGACUCAAAACGUCAACAACUUUUUCAUACAGACUCCGAAUUGGGUGAUUCUUUUUUUUUGUUGAAAAGUAGAUUUCGUGCUCUUUCCAACCCAAUUGGAAUCACCUUCAAAUUCGUCCAGAGCAUUGAGAUAUCGACGAAACAAUCUGACGCUGCAGCAGAAUCCGAGUCAAACAACAAGUCCAAAGGUGUUGCACCACCUUCACUUGGGCCCAUGAGCCUUGUACGACCUAGGGUUAGUUUUAGGCUGCCUUGGGACGUCCUUCCACCUCCUUGGCCGCCACCCCUUGCUCCUAUAUAAGUAGAUCCAUCUAGUAGCUUUUUUCUUGGGAUUUGUUUAGUUAAAAGUUAGCCAUUGCAACUUUGUGUACUUCAUUUGUGUCCAACGACCAGACCAAGACCGCUUACGGAUCCUCACCAUUAACAAUACUUAAUAUAUAUUCGCAAUAUUCAGAUUACUUUAUCAUAUUCUUCCUCGUUCUUCGAUUGCUUGCAGGAAUAGACCUUCGUGGUCAGGCUGACCGUGCUUCCAGCAUCGUCAGUAACCUCAGGAGAUUCGUUUAGCGAUUGCUAAGGCGCAACGUCGUGCACGUUUGUAGUCGGAUCGUGAAAGUCGUCUCCACCAAAUCGAUAGUUAUCAUCUCAUCGAAAGAUCGGGACCCUCGCCUCUAUCAAGUGGUAUCAGUUUUCAGGUUGCUCGGUGAGAAUUUCUAGUUUUCCUAGAUUAGAUUUAUUUUCUUACCUAUUGUUCAAGAAAAAGCCACAAAAAUAAGUUAGAUCUAUUCAUCCUUUGUCCAAGCCAGUCUGAGCCUUUGCAAUUUUUUUUCAUUGCUUGCAUAGUUGAAUUAUCGAUUGCAUCGUCAUGUCGAGUUGCUGGUCUUCGUGUCUAGUUCAUUUAGAGUUUCGAGUUCUAUUCACAUUAGUCACGUCAUCGCUGCAUCAUUAUCCCUUCCGCUGUCCACCACCCAUCCAUCAAUUUCCACCACGUGCUACCCACCGUUCAUUGUCAUAAUCAUAGUUGAGAUCGUUCACAUCUUCGCUUGAUCCAAUCUGCAUCUUAUCUAGUUUGUUUUGGAAAGAGGGAGAGAGAAAAAAAGAGAGAGAGAAAAAGAAAAAAACAGAAAGAAAAAGAAAAAAGUGUGAGGAAAAAAAAGAGAGAAGAAAAAAACAAAAUUCGGAUCUAUCUAGACUCAAUCUCGUAGUUGAAUUCGGAUUAGAAUCUGUUUUGUGCAAUGUUCAGUAAAACAGGCAUAACUUCCUCAUACGAAGUCCGUUUUGGCUUCGCAAGUACUCAAAUGAAAGCUAGCGACGAGCCGCAUCUAAAUAGUUGCAAAAGCUUAUUCAAUAUUUGGCACCUCAAAAUCGGCUUCUAAAUAGGUCUUUUUGCUCUCCGAAGUGCACGAACACAACUUAUUCCAGUUUUUCACGCCAGUUAUCGAAUUUUUUGACUCCUCAUAUCAACUCGGAAUUGAGUGAAUCAUUUUGCGUUUGAAAGCUUGAGUCAAUACCUUUUUUGAAAAAAUUUAUCAAAAAAAUGGCACAAACUUUUCCGGAGGAAAGUUGGAGAGAAAGUUGUUGAUAUAUCCUCCUUGGCUGUUGUUUCAUAUCAUUAUCUUUACUGCUAUUGUGAUCGUCACUUAUAUCUUGCUGUCCAGAGCUACUUCAUAUCCUUUAUUGAUGCUAGUUGUGCUAUGUCGUGACCUCAUUAGUGUUCUAGGCUCACGUCUCUACUUCGGUCUAGCCUAGGACCAGCACAGUACCGUCGUUGAACGUUUAUGCAACCUUGCAUCUUUGAAUUGAUUAUUACUAAUCUUUUGCUACCAUAUAUAGCCAACCCGGCUCCACAUAUUUCUACACCGUGUAUACGUACGUUCCUAGGCAAUCGCUUUACUCAAUCUUCAGAGUUAUUUGGCACCGCUGGUUGCCGAUCACCACCUGCUGCAUGGUAAGAACUUGUAAGAUAUUGAGAUUUGCUAUACUGUGAGCGUUUUACCACCACUUCCAAGUAGUUCAUAGGAACGUUUUUUUGGAUUCUGUUUCUUGUUUCUACUAAUCAUGACAGGAUCUAGAGUCAAUUCAUGGGCUUUGUCAAUCGUGGGAGACGUGCCACCACCUUUGCAAAUACCACAACCGUCACAAGAGGUGCACAAACAUCCAAAUGCACAUGACCAGGUUAAUGUAUCUAUACCACCAUUUAAUGGCCAUUUUUAGACCUGCUUUAUAUAUUGAAUGGGAGUUCAACAUAAAAAAUAUAUUUGCUUCCCAUAAUUUUGAUGAACAUAAAAAGGUCAAGGUUGCGGUUGGUUCUUUCACUGGUUAUGCUUUGGUUUGGUGGAGUGAAUAUUGUCGGUUACACCCUGAUUAUAUACCUACUACUUGGGAUGAUUUGAAACUUGCCAUGCGACAUACUUUUGUUCCCGCUUAUUAUACUCGCGACAUGAUUAAGAAGUUGCAACAUUUAAAACAAGGUAGUGACACUGUAACAAAAUAUUAUGAUGAUUUACAAACUACCUUGUUGCAUUCCUCUUUAGAAGAAAGUGAAGAUGAUUUUAUGGAUAGAUUUUGGGGAGGAUUAAACCGUGAUAUUCAAGAGAUAUUAAUUCAUGAAGAGUGUUAUCCUAUGGACCAUUUGUUUCGUCUUGCUUGCAAAGCUGAACAGGGAAUAAAAUGACGUGUUGCCCACGAGGAGAACAAGCGCACUGUGCACAUUCCAAGAGUUGAUAUGAUUGUUCCUUCAACUACUAGGCAUACUAUGACAACCACAUCUGUUGUUGUGAGGACUACAUCACCUCCACCAUGUGACACAUCGCCUCCAAGAGUCACUACAUCAUCUGAGUUGAUCAUAAGAGGUAAUGACAAAGGUACUGAUCUUCCAUCUCUACAUGUGAAUGAUGAAUGCCUUGUCAAUUUGAAUGCACCAUCUGAUGAGCUACCCACUACUUUGAUCGUACCACCUAUUUUGGAGGACUAUGUUGAUAAUUUGACUUUGCCAUGUGAUCAAACAACUAAAAUACCAAUAAUUUUGAGUGCAUCCAUUGAAUUAACUGUUGAUGCAAAAGAACCGAUGUUUAAUCAUUUUGACAUGACCUCUAAUCUUGUUGAUGAUUCUGUGUCCAAUGACUUAUUGCAUAUUUGCUUAUUUAAGGAUGUUGUAGCAUGUAAAUUUGAUGCAAGUAAGAUUUAUUCACCAAUGUUGGGAUUGUUUAAUGAUGAAUAUUGUCAAUCUUUUGAUAUGAAUAACAACUUCACGUAUAUGUGCAAACUUAGUUGCAAUAUUUUCAUGCCUUCUACUUAUGAUAAUAUUUUGGCUUUAUGUUUUAUGAUCUAUGAAAGUUACUCACGUAUACAUGUGUCAUAUGUGCAAAAAUCAAGAGAAGUAAAAAUGGAUGACAUAUACAUAUACAACAUGUACACCUUGUCUCUUUUGUUAGCCACAUUUCAGAUUAAGAAACGCAGAGGACGGCUUUGUUUUCAAGAAGGGAGGAUGAUGAGGACAUGACUACCUUGGAUACGACCAAAAAUAUUGCAUACAUGCAUAUUUGUCAGGUGAUUUCUAGUGCAAACUAUUUAAUAAUCUAUUUAUGUUAUCCAGGACAAAAAUACUUCACACACUUUUGUGUUUUGUCUAAUUGCAACUGUAUGGGACAUUUGUACAAUCCACAUAUGAAGAUAAGGGAAAAUGAGAAGUUUAGGUUCUGUUCAAAAAGUUCUCUCACGUCACUUUUGGGCCAAGAGAAGAUAGAGUCCAAGUCUCUCACGUUCUGGAUUCAGAUUCGGACUACACAGACAUACCUGAAUCAAAACGCCAACAACUUUUUCAUACAGACUCCGAAUUGGGUGAUUCUUUUUUUGUUGGAAAUUAGAUUUCAUGCUCUUUCCAACCCAAUUGGAUUCACCUUCAAAUUCGUCCGGAGCGUUGAGAUAUUGACAAAACAAUCUGACGCUGCAGCAGAAUCCGAGUUAAACAACAAGUCCAAAGGUGUUGCAUCACCUCCACUUGGGCCCACGAGCCUUGUAUGACCUAGGGUUAGUUUUAGGCUGCCUUGGGACGUCCUCCCACCUCCUUGGCCGACACCCGUUGCUCCUAUAUAAGUAGAUCCAUCUAAUAGCUUUUUCCUUGGGAUUUGUUUAGUUAAAAGUUAGCCAUUGCAACUUCAUGUACUUCGUUUGUGUCCAACGACCAAACCAAGACUGCUUACGGAUCCCCACCAUUAUCAAUACUUCAUAUAUAUAUUCGCAAUAUUCAGAUAUCUUUAUCAUAUUCUUGCUCGUUCUUCGAUUGCUUGCAAGAAUAGACCUUCGUGGUCAGGCUGACCGUGCUUCUGGCAUCGUCAGUAACCUCAGGAGAUCCGUUUGGCGAUUGCUAAGGCGCAACGUCAUGCACGUUUGUAGUCGGAUCGUCAAAGUCGUCUCCACCAAAUCGAUUGUUAUCAUCUCAUUGAAAGAUCUGGACCCCCGCCUUCAAUCGAUUUGGUGGAUACGGCUUUGACGAUCCGACUAUAAACGUGCACGAUGUUGCGCCUUAGCAAUCGCUAAACGAAUCUCCUGAGGUUACUGACGAUGCCGGAAGCACGGUUAGCCUGACCACAAAGGUCUAUUCCUGCAAUCAAUCGAAGAACGAGCAAAAAUAUGACAAAGUAAUCUGAAUAUUGCGAAUAUAUAUGAAGUGAUAGAGGCGAGGGUCCCGAUGUUUUGAUGAGAUGGUGGCUAUCGUUUUCUGUGGGAGUCGACUUUGAUGAUCCGACUACGAACGUGCGAGACGUCACGCCUUAGCAAUCGCUAAACCAACUUCCGAGGGUUAUUGACCACGCCGGAGCACGAUCAACCUGACCACGAGGGUCUGUUUCCUGUGAGCAAACGAAGAACAAGCAAGAAACUGAGAUUGCAAUCUGGAUAUUGCGAAUAUAAGAUGAAAGCUUUAUUGAUCAAGGUGGGGUUCUGUGACGUCUUGGUCUGGUCGUUGGACACAAACGAAGUACGCGAAGUUGCAGCUAUGGCGAACUUUUGAUCUAAACAAAACCCUCAGUCUAAACGACGCCCUAAGGGCUGUAUAUAUGGAGGAAGAGGGGGGAAUUUUGUGGCCCUUGAGGGUGGGGUCCGAAACCAACCCUAACUCUUGUUUCCCCACACAUACGGACUCUAAAAAUAGCCUAUACUUAAGUAUUUCGAAAUUACAUGGGCCUGGCCCAUUAAUAAGGUGACGCAGCACCUAGAAUAGCCUAUGGACGAAUAUUAUGAAGUGGCAUCUUGUAUAUUUCGUCCAAGGCUUCAUGCACUCCUUAUGGCGGCUUUAAAGUCCUGAAAUCAUCACUUGUAACUCCGUUCUUGAUCCCCUUGCGCAUGCCAUCAACUCCAUGUGUGUUCUUGCUCCAAUGUUCAUCCUUCUCCAAGCUAGGCCCUUCAAUUGUAAGCAAAACAAAUGUAUCCAAUUUAGGCAGCAUCAUAAUCUCAUGAACAUUAGAAUCAUUACCAAGAAACGAAAGUACCUGGUAAUUUAAUUGGCGUGCGCGAGCUCUAGUAAUUGGUCCAGUAUAUGUAACAGUAGGGGCUGUGGGUGUAACAAUGGUAUUGAUGUCCUCAUCAUCCUCCCCUUCUUGAAAUGAAGUCGUCCUCGACGGAAGCGCAUCUUCCUCACCCAAAUAAGGCUUCAAAUCUACAAUGUUAAAAGUGAGACUAACCCCAAAAUCUACAGGUAGCUCAAGUUUAUAUGCAUUAUCAUUUAUUUUCUCUAACACCUUAAAAGGACCAUCAGCACGUGGCAUUAGCUUUGAUUUGCGCAGAUUAGGAAAUCUAUCUUUACGCAAAUGUAACCAAACAAGAUCUCCAGGUGCAAACACAACAUGUUUUCUACCCUUAUCUCCAGCAAGUUUAUAUUUAGCAUUCAUACGCUCAAUGUUUUCCUUAGUUAACUCAUGCAUUUUUAAAAUCAAUUCAGAACGUUCUUUAGAAUCAAAAUUAACCUUCUCUGAAGAUGGAAGAGGCAACAAAUCAAUAGGUGCACGAGGUAGGAAACCAUACACAAUUUCAAAAGGGCACAUCUUAGUAGUAGAAUGCAAUGAACGAUUAUAAGCAAAUUCAAUAUGAGGCAAGCAUUCUUCCCACAUUUUCUUGUUAUUCUUCAAAACAGCCCUAAGCAUAGUAGACAAUGUUCUAUUGACUACUUCAGUUUGUCCAUCAGUUUGGGGGUGACAAGUAGUACUAAAAAGCAGCUUAGUCCCCAACUUAGCCCAUAAACAUCUCCAAAAGUGGCUAAGAAAUUUAGUAUCACGAUCUGAAACAAUAGUAUUUGGCACACCAUGUAAGCGAAUAAUUUCACGAAAGAACAAAUCAGCAACAUUAACAGCAUCAUCACUUUUAUGACAUGGUAUAAAGUGUGCCAUUUUCGAGAACCUAUCCACGACAACAAAUAUGCUAUCCCUCCCCUUAUUUGUUCGAGGUAAACCUAAAACAAAGUCCAUAGAUAUAUCCUCCCAAGGAACACUAGGUACAGGUAAAGGCAUAUAUAAACCAUGAGGAUUGAGUCGUGACUUAGCUCUUUGACAUGUAGUGCAGCGAGCAACAAAACGCUCAACAUCCCGUCUCAUCUUUGGCCAAAAGAAAUGUGUAGCAAGUAUAUCCUCCGUCUUCUUGACGCCAAAGUGUCCCAUUAAUCCUCCUCCAUGCGCCUCCUGCAACAACAAAAGACGAACGGAGCUAGCUGGAAUGCAUAGCUUGUUAGCACGAAACACAAAUCCAUCGUUAAGAACGAACUUGUUCCAAGUUCUCCCUUCCUUACAAUUCUGCAAUACAUCUUUAAAUUCAGCAUCAUGAACAUAUUGAUCUUUGAUGGUCUCCAAACCAAAUAUUUUAAAGUCAAGUUGUGAAAGCAUAGUAUAACGUCGAGACAAGGCAUCAGCAAUAACAUUUUCUUUACCCUUCUUGUGUUUAAUGACAUAAGGGAAAGUCUCAAUGAAUUCAACCCAUUUAGCAUGUCUACGGUUCAGUUUUGCUUGACUUUUAAUGUGUUUCAAAGAUUCAUGAUCAGAAUGUAUAACAAAUUCCUUGGGCCAUAAAUAAUGUUGCCAUGUUUCUAAGGUCCGAACAAGAGCAUAUAAUUCUUUAUCAUAAGUAGAAUAGUUCAGACUAGGCCCACUCAAUUUUUCAGAAAAGUAUGCAACAGGUUUUCCAUCUUGUAAUAACACACCUCCUAAUCCAAUUCCACUAGCAUCACAUUCAAGCUCAAAAGUCUUAUUGAAAUUAGGAAGUUGGAGUAAAGGAGCAUGUGUCAACUUAUCUUUCAAUACCGUGAAGGCUUCUUCCUGUGUGGUACCCCAAACAAAAGGCACAUCCUUCUUUGUAAGCUCGUUGAGAGGUGCAGCAAUGGUGCUGAAAUCUCUCACAAAACGCCUAUAGAAACCAGCGAGGCCAAGGAAACUCCUCACUUGUGUGACCGUUUUGGGCUGCGGCCAACUCUCAAUAGCUUCAAUCUUGGCUUUAUCAACUUCAAUUCCCUGUGGAGUAACAACAUAGCCAAGAAAAGAUACUCGGUCGGUGCAAAAGGUGCACUUUCCAAGGUUUCCAAACAAACGUGCAUCACGUAGAGCAAUAAAAACAGCACGUAAAUGUUCCAAAUGUUCCUCCAAAGAUUUGCUAUAAAUCAAUAUGUCAUCAAAGUAAACUACCACAAAUCAUCCAAUGAAAGCACGUAAAACUUCGUUCAUUAACCUCAUGAAAGUACUAGGUGCAUUAGUUAACCCAAAAGGCAUGACUAACCACUCAUAUAAUCCAAACUUAGUUUUAAAUGCUGUUUUCCAUUCAUCACCCAAUUUCAUACGAAUUUGAUGGUAUCCACUACGCAAAUCAACUUUGGAGAAUAUUGUAGAGCCACUCAAUUCAUCAAGCAUAUCAUCUAGCCUAGGAAUAGGAUGACGAUAACGAAUAGUAAUAUUAUUUAUGCCUCUACAAUCAACGCACAUACGCGACGUACCAUCCUUUUUCGGCACUAAAAUGAUAGGAACAGCACAAGGACUAAGGGAUUCGCGUAUAUAACCUUUGUCGAGCAAUUCUUGUACUUGACGCAUAAUCUCCUUCGUCUCCUCUGGAUUGGUACGGUAUGGUGCACGGUUGGGUAGCGAAGCACCGGGAAUUAAGUCAAUUUGAUGCUCAAUCCCUCGAAUAGGUGGUAAUCCUGGUGGCACAUCUUAUGGAAAGACGUCAGCGAACUCCUGCAAAAUGUUAGUGACAGCAGGGGGCAAAGAGGAAGGCACGUCCUCGAAUGAAAAUAAUGCCUCUUUGCACACAAAGGCAUAGCAAACAGAUUUGCUGAAAUCUAGCUCAUCAAUAUCAGAUUUGGUGGCAAGUAAACAUGCACUUCUCAAUUUAAUUUCAGAAACAACAGUAGAUGGUUUAUUAUUAGACUUCAUUUGGUGCUCAAAUUCUUUUGCCACAAUCUGAUUUUCACUCUUAUUCGUCUCCUGUUUUGCUUUAUUAGCUCUAUUAAUAUCAUCUUUCAAAAUGGAAUCAGGAGUCAUAGGAAGCAAAGUAAUAUUUUUAUCGUUAUGAACAAGAGUAUACUGAUUGUUUCUACCAUGGUGUACAGAAUUUUUAUCAAAUUGCCAUGGUCUACCAAGUAAUAAGGAACAUGCUUGCAUAGUUACCACAUCACAAUCAACAUAAUCAGCAUAUGUAGAGAUACUAAAAUGCACACGAACAGUACGUGUUACCUUAACCUUGCCGCUGUUGUUGAACCAUUGGAUGUAGUAAGGAUGUGGAUGUGGUCUUGUGGUGAGAGAUAGCUUAUCCACCAUCUCCAUGCUAGCCAAGUUAUUGCAGCUCCCUCCAUCUAUGAUCACGCGAACAGAAUGUUCCUUCACAACUCCCUUUGUAUGGAACAAAUUAUGCCUCUGAUUUUGCUCAGCUUGUGUAACCUGCACACUCAAAACACGUUGAGCAACUAAACAUUCAUACCUGUCAGCAUCUUCAGGAGCCAUGUAUUGCGUCUCAUGAUCAGAAUCGUCUCCAUCGUGUUCGUCACGUGUAAUAAGAGCCAAAGUCUCCUCAUCAUAGUCACUAGCAGACUCAUACCCACCAUCCUCAGUAACAAUCAUCACACGCUUAGAUGGGCAUUCUCUCGCAUAAUGACCUCCACCCUUGCAACGUCGACAAAUAAUAUCAUGUGUUUGCCCUGUUGAUGCCAUGGAUGAAGAAGAGCUCUUUGCAGGCCCAGAAGGUGUGCUCUUGGCAGAUAGUGGUGAUUGUGCCUGCUUUAUUGUAUCACGGUUGGAGGUGGCAGCCGCCGGAGGCGCCGGUGUAGCAGAACGUGUGGAAGUAGAUGAUGCACGUGGUGUCCAUGAUGAAGGUCAACCUGCAGAAAAGUUAGUCCGCGCCAAUGCCUGUCGAUCUUGCACUUCACGUUCAGCUUUACAAGCAAGAUGGAAUAAACGAGUGAUAUUAGUAUACUCCUUAUACUCUAGAAUCGUCUGAAUAUCUCUAUUUAAUCCACCCAUAAAACGUGCAAGCAUAGCUUCAUUCUCCUCAACAAUACCACAUCUAAUCAUGCCAGUUUGUAAUUCCUGAUGAUAUUCUUCUACAUAAUUUUUUCCCUGUCUUAAGCGCUGCAAUUUUUGAAGUAAUUCACGUUGAUAAUAUGGUGGAACCCAACGAGUACGCAUAGCAGUUUUCAAAGCAGCCCAAGUAGCCGGAAUAGGAAAUAAUCUACAAUGCUCAGACCACCAAACACAUGCAAAACUAGUGAAUGCACAAACAGCAGCAGGAACACGUCUCUCCUCGGGAUAUUGUAAACAUGUAAAUCGUUGUUCAGUUUCUAACUCCCAAGUAAGAUAUAUAUCAGGAACAUAUCUACCCUCAAAUGGUGGAAUAUUCAAUUUUAGUUUAGGGAGAUGGUCAUGAUCUCGUACCUGAGGGUGAGCCCUACCAUUGCCAUUAUUUGCAUGUGGAUGACCUGGUGGUUGCUGUGCUGGUGGUGGCACGUAGUUCUGAUUUUGAUCAACCUCAUCCCCAUAAUCUCCCACAUAAUCAUCCUCCUCCACAUCAGCAGUAGGAGCCACAGAAGUAUCAACAGCAGCACCAGCAGUUUGGCCCGACUGAAGAGGGACACGGCUCGCUCGACGGAGGGCUGUUUCCCGACGUGGAGGUAGUCGGUGUUGUUGCUGUUGUUGCAGAGGUGCGGCAGGAGCAGCCGGUGGUGGUGGUGGAAAACGCGAAAGCAAUUUAGCAAACUUGUUAUCGAGCUUUGUUUCAAACGUCUUCUCCAUGCCAUCUAUCUUCUCCAUGGCCUCUUCAAAUCUGUUUAUCACAUCUUGCACCUGUACACUCAUCAUUUGCUGAAACGUAUCAUGAAGCUCCUUGUUCGUCAAGUUCUCCUAGUCAGUCUCGUCGGAUUGUGAACCUGGCAUGGUUAGCAGCAAUAGAAACACACAAGAAUAUGAUCCUACAGACUACUAACAAGUGGUGGUGGUGGCGGGUGUCACAAAUCCGUCAAGCAAAUCUCAAAUUCUUACCAGUUCUUACCCAGCAGCAGGCGGUGAUCGGCAACCGUUAUAGUCAAAACUCUCAAAAGCUUGGAUAGAGCAAUUGCCAGGGAGAGUCAAAUGCACGACGUAGAUGUAUGUGGAGCUGGGAAGGCUUAUAGUAUGGUAGCAAAAAGGGUCAGCAAUAAUCAAUUCAGAGAUGCAAAGUUGAAUAAACGCUCAACGACGGUACUGUGCUGGUCCUAGGCUAGACCAUGCUAGAGACGCGAGCCUAGAACACUAACAAAAUCACGGCGCUGCACGUAAAUAAGGGAAGAGCACACUCUGGAACUAUUUUUUUUUCGCUCUUUUUUUUGCGCUCUUUUUUUUUGCGCUCCUCUUUUUUUUGCGAAAAAUCACUAUAAUGGCGAGUGUCUCAAAACUCUUCCCUCGUCAAACUGAUAGGAUGGGCACAAAUAUUUUUUCACUUUUUUUCGGAAAUCAGGGCAGCGACGACGAAAAAGUGCGACAAAAAUUCACUAUGAUGGCACGUGGCUCAAAAGACUCAGAAAAGCCUAACAAUAGGAUAGGAAAAAAAAUUGCCCGUGAAAAUUUUGGCCUAAAAACUGCCCGGGGGUCUCCAGACUCUUUUUUUUUCCGAGACCUACGCAGGCAAGGAAACACGAAUCGGAAUUUAGAUUGAUCUCAAGAACAAACCUAAUAUGAGAAGAACUCGGAUUGGUGGUGGAUAUAUGGUUGUGGUAUAUGGCAGCGGUGGUGGUAUAUGGUAGCGGUGGUGGUAUAUGGAUACAGAUUGGUGGUGGAAUAUUGAUACGGAUUCAGAGCGGUGGCGGAUAAGGAAAAGUGGUAGAUGGGCGAUGAUGAUGGUGCGGCGGUGGUGUGACAACUUAUGACCAGAACUCGAAACUCUAAAAGACUGGACUCUAAGACCAGCAACUUGACACGACGAUGCAACCGCAAAUUCAACAAAGCAAAAACCCUAAAAAGAUUAUGCAAAGGCUCAGAUUGGUUCAGAUAUGAUGAACUAACCCUAAAAAAAAUUUGUGGCUUUUUCGUGGACUGAAGGUAUGAAGAACAGACUCGAUCUAAUCUACGAAAAACUGUAAAAUCUCACCGAGCAACCUGGAAAUCUGAUACCACUUGAUAGAGGCGAGGGUCCCGAUGUUUCGAUGAGAUGGUGGCUAUCGUUUUCUGUGGGAGUCGACUUUGACGAUCCGACUACGAACGUGCGAGACGUCGCGCCUUAGCAAUCGCUAAACCAACUUCCGAGGGUUAUUGACCACGCCGGAGCACGAUCAACCUGACCACGAGGGUCUGUUUCCUGUGAGCAAAUGAAGAACAAGCAAGAAACUGAGAUUGCAAUCUGGAUAUUGCGAAUAUAAGAUGAAAGCUUUAUUGAUCAAGGUGGGGUUCUGUGACAUCUUGGUCUGGUCGUUGGACACAAACGAAGUACGCGAAGUUGCAGCUAUGGCGAACUUUUGAUCUAAACAAAACCCUCAGUCUAAACGACGCCCUAAGGGCUGUAUAUAUGGAGGAAGAGGGGGGAAUUUCGUGGCCCUUGAGGGUGGGGUCCGAAACCAACCCUAACUCUUGUUUCCCCACACAUACGGACUCUAAAAAUAGCCUAUACUUAAGUAUUUCGAAAUUACAUGGGCCUGGCCCAUUAAUAAGGUGACGCAGCACCUAGAAUAGCCUAUGGAAGAAUAUUAUAAAGUGGCAUCUUGUAUAUUUUGUCCAAGGCUUCAUGCACUCCUUAUGGUGGCUUUAAAGUCCUGAAAUCAUCACUUGUAACUCCGUUCUUGAUCCCCUUGCGCAUGCCAUCAACUCCAUGUGUGUUCUUGCUCCAAUGUUCAUCCUUCUCCAAGCUAGGCCCUUCAUUUGUAAGCAAAACAAAUGUAUCCAAUUUAGGCAGCAUCAUAAUCUCAUGAACAUUAGAAUCAUUACCAAGAAACGAAAGUACCUGGUAAUUUAAUUGGCGUGCGCGAGCUCUAGUAAUUGGUCCAGUAUAUGUAACAGUAGGGGCUGUGGGUGUAACAAUGAUAUUGAUGUCCUCAUCAUGAAGUAUUGAUAAUGGUGGGGAUCCGUAAGCGGUCUUGGUCAGAUCGUUGGACACAAACGAAGUACACGAAGUUGCAAUGGCUAACUUUUAACUAAAGAAAUCUCUAGGAAAAAGCUACUAGAUGGAUCUACUUAUAUAGGAGCAAGGGGUGGCGGCAAAGGAGGUGGGAGGACUUCCCAAGGCAGCCUAAAACUAACCCUAGGUCGUACAAGGCUCAUGGGCCCAAGUGGAGGUGAUGCAACACCUUUGGACUUGUUGUUUGACUCGGAUUCUGCCGCAACGUCAGAUUGUUUCAUCUAUAUCUCAACACUCCGGACGAAUUUGAAGGUGAAUCCAAUUGGGUUGGAAAGAGCACGAAAUCUACUUUCCAACAAAAAAAGAAUCACCCAAUUCGAAGUCCGUAUGAAAAAGUUGUUGGCGUUUUGAGUCAGGUAUGUCUGUGUAGUCCGAAUCUGAAUCCAGAACGUGAGAGACUUGGACUCUAUCUUCUCUUGGUCCAAAAGUGACGUGAGAGAACUUUUUGAACAGAACCUAAACUUCUCCUUUUCCCUUAUCUUCAUAUGGGGAUUGUACUAUUGUCCCAUACACCUGCAAUUAGACAAAACACAAAAGUUCGUGAAGUAUUUUUGUCCUAGAUGACAUAAAUAAAUUAUUGCAUAGUUUGCAUUAGAAAUCACCUCACAAAUAUACAUGUAUGCAAUAUUUUUGGUGGUAUCCAAGGUAGUCAUGUCCUCCUCAUCCUCUCCUUCUUGAAAACAAAGCCGUCCUCGGCGUUGCUUAAUCUGAAAUGUUGGUAACAAAAGAGACAAGGUGUACAUGUUGUAUAUGUAUAUGUCAUCCAUUUUUACUUCCCUUGGUUUUUGCACAAAUGACACAUGUAUACAUGAGUAAUUUUCAUAGUUCAUAAAAUCUGAAGCCGAAAUAUUAUCACAAGAAGUAGAAGGCAUGAAAAUGUUGCAACUCAGUUUGCACAUAUAAGGGAAGCUCUUAUUCGUUCAUCAUUAAACCAUCCCAACAUUGGUGAAUAAACCUUACUUGCAUCAAAUUUACAUGCUACAACAUGCUUAAAUAAGCAAACAUGCAAUAAGUCAUUUGACACAGAAUCAUCACCAAGAUUAGAGGUCAUAUCAAAAUGAUUAAACAUUGGUUCUUUUGCAUCAAUAGUUAUUUCAAUGGAUGCACUCAAAAUUGUUGGUAUUUCAGUUGUUUGAUCACAUGACACAUUCAUGAUAGUAACAAGAUUCUCUAAAAUAGGUGGUGUGCUCAAAUCAAGAGGUAACUCAACACAUGAUGCAUUCAAGUUAACUAGGCAUUCAUCAUUCUCAUGUGAAGUUAUAUCAUCAAUACCUUUACUAUUACCUUGUCGCAAAGACGUAGCUGAUGUAGGUACGAACGUUGAUAAUGUACCAUACUCUUGAGAUGAAGUCGCGCUCACAACCCGAGGUGGGGCUGCUCUAGUAGGUGCAACAAUGGAGGAACCAACCGGCGGUGGUGAGCAUGAACUGAAAUAGUAGUUGUUGUAGUCUCCCAAUGCAUCCUCCUGUAUCUUUCUCUCAAAGGUACAAGCACGAACAUACAUACCAGUAAUGCAAUGAGGAAUAUACUGAAAUCUUUCCUGAAUAUCAUGGUUCAAACCAUCAAAAAAUCUAUUCAUUGUAUCAUUCUCAGAUUCUUCUAUGUCACAAUGAUGAAUAUAAGAUUUGAACUCUUGGUAGUAAGCAUGAACAGUGUUGUUGCCUUGUUUAAACUGUUCAAAUUUGUGAAGCAAUUCACGACGAUAGUAAGGAGGGAAAAAUUGUAGUCUCAUUACAUAUUUCAAAUCUUUCCAUGUUGUGGGUUGGUUAUCAAUGUUUUUCUUACAAUGUACACUCCACCAAACAGAAGCAAAACCAGUAAAUGCUCUAGUGGCAGCUUGUACUCGCUGAAGUUCAGAAAAGUCAUGGUGACUAAAAACUUGUUCUACUUCAAGCUCCCAAGCUAGAUAAAUAGCAGGAUUAAAUCUACCCUCAAAUGACGGUAAAAAGUUAACCUGACCAUGUGCUUGUGUGUGUUGUCCCAACUCUCAUGAUGGUGAAGAUGUGUCUGUCGUCCAAGAACUUCUAUCACUGGAACAUGUCAUAAUUAGUAGAAACAAGAAACAAAAUUUAAGAAUAAUGUUCCUAUGAACUACUAGGGUGUGGUUGUAAAGUGCUCACAGUAAAGCAAAUAUCAAUAUCUUACAAGUUCUUACCAUGCGGCAGGUGGUGACAGGCAACCAGCGGUGUCAAAUAACUUCGAAGAUUGUGUAAAGCGAUUGCCAGGGGAACAUACGUAUACAUGGUGUAGAAAUAUGUGGAGCUGGGUUGGCUAUAUUUGGUAGCAAAAGAUUAGCAAUAAUUAAUUCAGAGAUGCAAUGUUGAAUAAACGCUCAAUGACGGCACUGUGCUGGUUCUAGGCUAGACCGGACUAGAGACACGAGCCUAGAACACCAAUGAGGUCACAUCGUAGCACAACUAGCAUCAAUAAAGGAUAUGAGAUAGCUCUAGAUAGCAAAAUAUAAGUAAAGAUCACAAUAGCCGCAAAGAUAAUGAUGUGAAACAACAGCCAAGCAGGAUAUAUCAACAAUUUUCUCUCCAACUUUCCUCUAGAAAAGGUUUGUGCCAAUUUUUUUGAUAAUUUUUUCAAGAAUUGUAUUGACUCAAGCUUUCAAACACAAAAGGAAUCACUCAAUUCCGAGUUGAUAUGAGGAGUCAAAGAAUUCAAAAACUGACAUGAAAAACUGGAAUAACCUGUGUUCGUGAACUUCGGAGGGUAAAAAGACCUAUUUAGAAGCCGAUUUUGAGGUGCCAAAUAUUGAACUAGCUUCUGCAACUAUUUAGAUGUGGUUCAUCGCUAGCUUUCUUUUGAGUACUCGUGGAGUCAAAACGGACUUUGUAUGAGGAAGUUAUGCCUAUUUUACUGAAACAUGCACAAAACAGAUUCCAAUCCGAAUUCAAAUACGAGAUUGAUAGAUCCGAAAUUUUUUUCUUCUCUUUUUUUUGCUCACAUUUUUUUCUUUCUCUCUUUUUUCUCUGACUUUUUUUUACUUUUUUUCUCUCUGUCUUUUCGUUCUCUCUCCCUCUUUCCAAAACAAAGUAGAUAAGAUACAGAUUGGAUCAAGCGAAGAUGUGAACGACCUCAACUAUGAUUAUGACAAUGAAUGAUGUGUAGCAUGUGGUGGAAAUUGAUGGAUGGGUGAUGGACAAUGGAAGGGAUAACGAUGCAGCGGCGGCGUGACUAAUGUGAACAUAACUCGAAACUCUAAACGAACUAGACACUAAGACCAGCAACUCGACAGGAUGAUGCAAAUGAUAAUUCAACUAUGCAAGCAAUGAAAGGAAAAUUGCAAAGGCUCAGACUGGCUUGGACAAAGGAUGAAUAGAUCUAAUUUUUUUGCGGCUUUUUCUUGGACAAUAGGUAAGAAAAUAAAUCUAAUAUAGGGAAAACUGGAAAUUCUCACCGAGCAACCUGAAAACUGAUACCACUUGAUAGAGGUGAGGGUCCCGAUACUUUGAUGAGAUGAUAACAAUCGAUUUGGUGGAGACAACUUUGACGAUCCGACUACAAACAUGCACGACGGUGCGCCUUAGGAAUCGCUAAACCAAUCUCCUGAGGUUACUGACGAUGCCGGAAGCACGGGCAGCCUGACCACGAAGGUCUAUUCCUGCAAGCAAUCGUAGAACGAGCAAGAAUAUGAUAAAGAAAUCUGAAUAUUGCAAAUAUAUAUGAAGUAUUGAUAAUGGUGGGGAUCCGUAAGCGGUCUUGGUCUGGUCGUUGGACACAAAUGAAGUACACGAAGUUGCAAUGGCUAACUUUUAACUAAACAAAUCCCAAGGAAAAAGCUACUAGAUGGAUCUACUUAUAUAGGAGAAAGGGGUGGCGGCCAAGGAGGUGGGAGGACAUCCCAAGGCAGCCUAAAACUAACCCUAGGUCAUAUAAGGCUCGUGGGCCCAAGUGGAGGUGAUGCAACACCUUUGAACUUGUUGUUUGACUCGGAUUCUGUUGCAGUGUCAGAUUGUUUCGUCGAUAUCUCAACGCUCCGGACAAAUUUGAAGGUGAAUCCAAUUGGGUUGGAAAGAGAACGAAAUCUAAUUUCCAACAAAAAAAGAAUCACCCAAUUCGGAGUCCGUAUGAAAAAGUUGUUGGCGUUUUGAGUCAGGUAUGUCUGUGUAGUCCGAAUCUGAAUCCAGAACGUGAGAGACUUGGACUCUAUCUUCUCUUGGCCCAAAAGUGACGUGAGAGAACUUGUUGAACAGAAACUAAACUUCUCCUUUUCCCUUAUCUUCAUAUGGGGAUUGUACAAAUGUCCCAUACACCUGCAAUUAGACAAAACACAAAAGUUUGUGAAGUAGUUUUGUCUUGGAUGACAUAAAUAAAUUAUUGCAUAGUUUGCACGAGAAACCACCUCACAAAUAUACAUGUAUGCAAUAUUUUUGGUCGUAUCCAAGGUAGAAGAAAAUAAUCGACAAAGAGAGAGAAAAAAAAUAAUGGAAUCUACAAGGGAGGAGAAGACGAACACGGGGUUUGGCGCUGGGCAUAGAAUCUUCGGAGUUUGGCCGCGUUCCAGGGGUUUGGCUCGAGGCGAUUGUAUGAUGCAUCGCGAAGAUGGUACACCCCUUUGGUGAGGACUUCGUCAAUUAUGAAGGGACCCUCCCAUUUGGGCUUGAGUUUGUCCUUUUUCUUCUCCAGUAGGCGUAGAACGAGUUCGCCAAUGUUGUAAGUCUUGGCCCGUACUUCUCUGCUUUGAUAUCUUCGAGCCUGCUAUUGGUACAAUGCUGAACGGGCUUUUGCGACAUCGCGUUCCUCCUCCAGGGCAUCUAGGCCAUCUUGCCGAUCAAGCUCGGCUUCUCUCUCUUUGUACAUACGCACUCGGGGUGAGUCGUGAAUAAUAUCGCAGGGCGAUAGGGCCUCUGCGCCAUAUGCCAUGAAGAAAGGUGUGUAUCCGGUAGUGCGGUUGGGCGUGGUCCGCGGCCCCCAGAGUACAGAGUCAAGCUCCUCAACCCAGUUCUUGUCCGAUUCUUUCAAGGACCGCACUAGUCUGGGCUGGAUGCCGCUCAUAAUGAGACAGUUGGCCCGUUCGACUUGACCAUUGGUUUGUGGGUGGUAGACGGAGGCGUAAUCGAGUUUAAUACCCAGAUUAGUACACCAAAUUUUUACUUUGUCGGCUGUGAAAUUGGAGCCGUUGUCAGUGAUGAUGCUAUGUGGGACACCAUAACGGUGCACAACGCCGGAUAUGAAGUCUAUCACCGGGCCGGAUUCGCCCGUUUUGAUCGGCUUAGCCUCUAUUCACUUAGUGAAUUUGUCCACCAUAACCAGUAGAUAUUUUUUCUUAUGGCUUCCCCCUUUAAGGGGUCUGACCAUAUCGAGUCCCCAUACCGCAAAGGCCAAGUGAUGGGGAUUGUUUGUAGGGCGGUGGGGGCAUAUGUCUUUGAUUGGCAAAGAGUUGGCAUCCGUUGCAACGUUGGACAAGGUCCUGUGCAUCUGCUUCGGGCUGUUGGCCAAUAAAAUCAUGUACGGAAGGACUUACUAACAAGGGCCCGAGCUGCGGCGUGGUGACUGCCGAGUCCGGCAUGGAUUUCAGCCAAGAGCUGCCGCCCCUCUUCCUCGGAUAUACAUCGUUAUAGGACUCUGGUGGCGCUUUUCUUGUAGACUCUCCAUCAUGAACCUUGUAGGCUUUUGAACACCGGACAAUGUAGCGGGCCUCAUUCUGGUCCUCGGGAAGCUCUUUCCUGAUGAGGUAGGCUAGGAAGGGUUCAGUCCAUGGGGCAAUGACUGCCAUGAUGAGAUACGCCGAUGGUGUUAUUUCGAUGGCUGAGCCCCCGACGACGUCGGUGUUUCCAGGAUCUUGGAUUAUGUUUGAUUCCAGACUUGUAUUGCCGUUUUCCCCCUGCCACACCAUGGAUGGCUUAAAGAGCCUUUCUAGGAAAAUGUUAGGUGGGACGGGUUCGCGCUUAGCGCCGAUACGAGCAAGAACGUCCACCACUUGAUUACUUUCUCGGGCCACAUGAUGGAACUCGAGUCCUUCAAACCGGUCCGACAUUUUGAUGACCGCAUUACGAUACACUGCCAUCUUUGGAUCUUUAGCGUCGAAAUCUCCGUUUAUUUGAGAUAUUGUGAGGUUCGAGUCCCCGCGUACCUCUAGGUGUUGUAUGCCCAUGGAGAUAGCCAUCCGGAGACCAUGUAAUAAGGUCUCGUAUUCAGCUGCAUUAUUGGAGUCUGUGUAUAGUAUUUGGAGAACGUACUGGACGAUGUCUCCCAUAGGGGACGUUAAGACGACCCCUGCUCCUAAUCCUGUCAGCAUUUUGGAGCCGUCGAAGUACAUGACCCAAUUGGAUUAUGUGCCAUACUCUUUAGGGAGUUCGGCCUCUGUCCAUUCGGCGACGAAGUCGGCCAGUACUUGGGAAUUGAUGGCUCGACGUGGUUUAUAUGUAAUAUCAAAUGGGAGGAGUUUGAUGGCCCAUUUGGCAAUCCGGCCUGUAGCAUCGCGGUUGUUUAUGAUGUCAUUGAGGGGUACUUCGGAGGCCACCAUGAUCGAACACUCCUAAAAGUAGUGACGGAGCUUUCGGGAUACCAUGAAGACCGCAUAUGCUAUUUUUUGAUAAUGAGGGUACCGAGAUUUGCAUGGUGUAAGGACAGUGGAUACGUAGUAUCCUGGCUUCUGAAGCAGGAAUUUAUGUCCGUCCUGUUCUCGUUCGACGACGAGUACAACACUCACUACCUGGUGUGUUGCCGAUAUGUAUAAUAACAUCGGUUCACCGGCGUUUGGUGCGGCCAGUAUUGGAUUUCUCGCAAGAAGGAUUUUUAUUUCCUCCAAUCCGGCUGUUGCCGCGUCCGUCCACUCGAAGUGGUCGGUUCGCCGUAGAAGGAUAGAGUGGCAGUGCCUUUUCUCCCAAUCUGGAGAUAAAGCGGCUUAGAGCUGCUACGCAGCCCGCAAGCUUUUGCACUUGCUUAAGAUCCGUUGGCCUAGCUAGUUGUGACAGAGCUCGGAUUUUUCCUGGGUUUGCUUCGAUUCCUCUAUUCGAGACGAUGAAGCCCAGUAGUUUUCUAGCAGGGACGCAGAAGACACACUUUUACGGGUUGAGUUUAAUGUCAUAUGCCUGGAGGUUGUCGAAUGUAAGACGUAAGUCGUCUAUUAGUGUCUCAACGUGCCUGGUUUUGACGACGACGUCAUCGACGUAAGCUUCUACUGUUUUGCCGAUCUGUUUCUCCAGGCAUGUUUGAAUCAUGCGUUGGUACAUGGCGCCUGCGUUCUUGAGCCCAAAGGGCAUGGUGUUGAAGCAGAAUGGCCCGUAUGGGGUGAUAAAUGCUGUUGCGGCUUGAUCGGACUCUUUCAUUUUGAUUUGAUGGUAUCCGGAAUAUGCAUCGAGGAAACACAAUGAGUCAUGUCCUGCAGUGGAGUCGAUGAUUUGAUCAAUGCGGGGGAGGGGGAAGGGAUCCUUAGGGCAAGCCUUAUUGAGGUCUUUGAAAUCGACACAUAGGCACCAGGAUUUGUCCUUCUUUGGUACCACCACCAGGUUUGCCAACCAGUCUGGGUGUUUGAUUUCUCUAAUGAAUCCGGCCUCGAUGAGUUUGGCCAGCUCUUCCCCGAUUGCUUGUCGCUUAGGUUCGUAAAAGCGCCGCAGUGAUUGCUUGACCGGUUUGAACCCCUUUAAUAUAUUGAGGCUAUGUUCGGCCAGCUCGCGUGGGAUCCCUGACAUAUCUGAAGGGUGUCAGGCGAAUAUGUCCCAGUUUUCGUGCAGGAAUUCUUGUAGUGCGAUGUCAACUGUUGGGUUCAGUUGAGCUCCGAUAGAUGUUGUCUUCUUGGGGUCCCUUGGGUGGACCUGGAAUUUGACUAUUUCCUCUGCCGGUUUAAAUGAUGUGGAUUUAGGGCGUUUGUCGAGGAUUACGUCGUCCCUGUCCACCGUGGAGCGUAGUGCAGUUAAUUCGUUGGCUGUGAGGGCUUCGGAUAGCUCCUCCAGGGCCAGGGAUGCGGUUUUGUUUUUGGCACGGAGUGCUAUGUCCGGAUCACUGACAAGAGUGAUUAUACCGUUUGGUCUGGGCAUCUUGAGCUUCAUAUACCCGUAAUGGGGUAUGGCAUGAAAGCGUGUAAAAGCAUCCCGCCCCAACAGGGCAUGAUAUUCGCUCCUGAAAGGGGCCACUUAGAAAGUUAUUUCUUUGGACCAGUAGUUCUCCGGCAUGCUGAAUACUACGUCAAGUGUGAUUUUGCCCGCGCACCGCGCCUCCCGACUAGGAAUCAUUCCUCGGAAGGUUGUGUUGCUUUGCAUGCUGCGGCUCCUGUCUAUUUCCAUUUUAUGGAGUGUGUCCUCAUAAAUGAGGUUUAGUCCGCUGCCGCCGUCCAUGAGGACCUUGGUAAGUCGAAACCCGUCCACGAUGGGACUGAGGACUAACGCAGUUGGCGCUCGCACUGUUCUGUACUUUGGUUCGGCGCCGGCGUUGAAUGUUAUAGUUGUGUCAUUCCAGGGGUUUAUCAUAGCAAUUUGGCAGACUUCGGCGAGCUCGCAGAGCACCCUUUUGCGCUUGUUAUUUGAAGCGAAUGUCUCAAAGACCGUCAAUACUCUUGAGUUAUCGUCCACUGGGGGAAACCGUUUUGAGUCGUCCUUGAUAAGGAUAUCCUCGCCGCUUUUCGCUACCUGUCGUAGUAUCCAGCAUGCUCUAAGGCUGUGGGUUGCCACAGUAUUUUGUGUUGUAUGUAUUUUGCAUGGGCUAGCGAGCCACCCGGUCAGAACAGUGACGUGCCGCAUAGCGGUUUUUUGUUUCUUGACUGUUGGACUAGGCGUGCCGCGAGGGUGUGCCCUUUUCGCCUGUAGGGGGAGUUGAGUUGAGACUGGCAGUUCCCAGCGAGCUGCCUGAGUUUUCCAGGUGCUCUCCAUCACACUGUAUUUUCAUACGAUGGUUGCUAAGUCAGCAAAUUUCAGUACGCGGUGGCGAUUGAUGGCGUUGAGGAUUCCUCUGUCCGCGCAAUUGUUGCAGAAUGCUGAUUUUGCGUCUUCGUCACGGCAAUCUUUUACCUUGUCCUUGACAAGGAGGAAUCUGGCCCAGAAGUGGUGGACUGUUUCCUGAUACUGAUGUUUUAUGCUCACGAGAGUGUCUAAAUCCGGGUGGGUGGGUGGAAUUAAAUCCGAACCCCGACCCGGCCGAUUAUCCGGAGUCUGAUGAUCUUCCGGGCUUAACAGUCCGGGUUCCAGAAUACCUUCUGAUUGUUUAGGACCGUCGUCCGAUGUUAUGUUCGGAAGGCUGGUCACAUCCUUUCGCGGGUGGGUAUCCGGCUUUUCCUGGUCGGCGAUCCGGACAUAGUCCGUCUUCAGUAUAGGAGAAAACUCGUCAUCCUGCUCCACGACUACCGCAAUCUGGUGGGUGACCGGUAGGGUCUCGAUUUCUCCUUGAUCGGUUUUAAGACCGAUCUGGUCGUAGUCUGUGGCUAUUUCGAAAGCGGCGAUGCGAUCUAGGAGUUCGUUCAAAGACGAAAGCUCUGCCGGAUCUAUCUGCUUGGAGUGCUCGGAGUUGAUGCGAAGUGGGUUUUCGAUGGCCCGAGAGGUCAUCGUCGGCUCAUAGUAAAGCCGCACAACCGGAGGGUUUGGCCCGGGGCCAGAGCUCCUUCAGGGGUGAUGUUGUCUUUAAGGACAAGGCGAGCCAUCGAGCCUUUUGUCGACGGCACAACGGAACUCUCAAUGAAAGCCCCAAUGUCGGUGUCAAAACCGGCGGAUCUCGGGUAGGGGGUCCCGAACUGUGUGUCUAGGAUCGAUGGUAACAGGAGACAUGGGAUACAAUGUUUACCCAGGUUCGGGCCCCCUCAAUGGAGGUAAUACCCUACGUCCUGCUUGAUUAGUAUUGAUGAAUAUGGGUGUUACAAGAGUUGAUCUACCACAAGAUCUUGAUGGCUAAACCCUAGAAGCCUAGCCUAUAUGACUAUGGUAAUGAAUAUAUCCUUUCCGGACUAUCCCCUCCGGUUUAUAUAGACACCGAGGGGAUCUAGGGUUUACAUAGAGUCGGUUACAUAAGAAGGAAUCUUCAUAGUCGGUCGCCAAGCUUGCCUUCCACACCAAGGAGAGUCCAAUCCGGACUCAGGUAUAGUCUCCGCCCUUCAUGUCUUCACAACCCAUUAGUCCGGCCCACUAGAUAAUAGGCCGGACGGCCGAGGACCCCUUAGUCUAGGACUCCCUCAUCAACCCCCACCCGCCGCGUCACCCGGCACUGACGAACCCGCAGAGACGCCGAGGCCACACAUGCACUUACCAGGCCGGGACAUCGAUUCUACGCAGACCACCACACUCGCCGCCCACCGCCGCUAAUCACCAUCGGAGCUCCAACCGCUCGUAGUUGCCUUGCCUAACCAGGGGACCUGGCUGGGCUACCUGCUAAUCCCACGACCAAAGCAGGAUUUUUUUAAUGGCCAGGAGCUACCCGUGUGCCAAAAGUUGAGAGGUAAUCUUACAUUGUGCGGGCGUGAAAAAAAUUGAAUCCACACGGCCGAGCGACUGAAUCCUUGGCUCGGUAGAUGGAUCGGGGUGAAGAAUUACUUAUUGUUCACCCUGGGUCCUUAAUAGACUUUAUAUAUAUAUGUGUGUGUGUAUAUAUAUGUGUGGGGGGGGGGGCACUAUUCGUCACCCUGGUUGAGGAAUAGUUAUUCUUCACCCCCCUCUAUUUUACCAUCAAUGCAUUACGUUCCGUAAGUUUUGUCUUAUUUCCGACGUAAAAAGAGACCAUAAUAAAAUAUAUAAUCGCCAUAAAAAAUAUUUUAUAUUAUAUAAAAUUACAAACGUAAAAACAUAGUCUAAAAUACACAUAAACUACAAAUUUUCUUGUCUUAUGACCUACUCCCUCCGUUUCUAAAUAUUUGUCUUUCUAGAGAUUUCAACAAGUGACUACAUACGGAGCAAAAUGAGUGAAUCUACACUCUAAAAUAUGUCUAUAUACAUCUGUAUGUGAUAGUUCAUUUGAAAUCUCUAAAAAGACAAAUAUUUAGGAACAGAGGGAGUAUAUUUUUAUUUUCUUAUGUCAAAUUUUACGUAGUGAACAAAUAGGAAUAUAACUAUUUGAAUUCUAAACGUAAUUUAAUUAUGAAAUGAUCGUAAGAUUAACUCGGAUGAAGAAAUACUUAUUCUGCACCCCGGAUGAUGAAUAGUAACACUAUAUAUAUAUACGCUAUUCGUCACCCAGGGUGAAGAAUUGUUAUUCUUCACCCCACCCAUCAUGUACGCACCAGGACAACCCCACGCUUGUAAAAUUACGGACCUGAAGCAACAGACCAGGCCCCUUGUGCCACACAGCCAACGUAAGAAAUAAACCAACCCGAGGUAAAUUUAUGGUUUCAAGGAGACCUAUCGGGCCAACGCCCACCGCAGUCAAACACAAAAGCGUUGAGGUAAAUUUACAUUGCACGUUUACGUCCAUGGGUCAACAUGCUUGCUUUGACUCCACGAUCGAUGUGCCUCCGGUCGUUGGAGGUAGCCAGGUAGGGUUACGCUAACAGAAAUUUAUUGAUUACAAAUCAAUGGAAACCUUUUACACAGUAACAGAGCUAGCUUGGAGUUACAAAGCUAGAAAGGUAGUCUAGGUCUAUGGGUGAGGAAGGAAAUCGUAGGAAAAAAUUGAUACGCUAAUAUUGGUAUUUCAAGUCUGCCCAAUACAUAGUGUUACUGAUAUUUUGAAUAUUUUAAAAUCUCUAGUAAACACACCAGGCCUCUCGCAAUCUACGAGUCUUCCCACGUUUUGGGUUGUUCAACAAGAGGUGUUGCUUCAACAUGCAGUUUCCCAAUCAAAGCUCUCUUCCUCCGAUUGCCCUUGGCAGGGGCAAGAAUUUGUUGAGAGAUGAGUAAAUACUAUAGUACUAGUAAAUAGGACAAAAUCGUAGUUAAUCCCAACAAGUUUCUUGCCAGAAUUUUACAUAACAAAAAUGGGAAAUGCAUGUUAUGCGGUUACAGCGGCAGCAUACAUAAUAAGAGUGACUCCAUUCUCAAAGUUAGCAUACAUUCAGUUGAUUAGCAUCUGCCUGGAAUGGGGGCAAGAUGUGAAAUUACAUCAAUAUACUUAGAAACAGGCUUUGUAUUUUUGCUAUCGGACAGAGUUUCAUCUCCGCUCCUUAAGUUAAUAUUCACAUCUUUUGCGUAAUAGUGCAGUUAUGCCCAACUUCUGCGAUCACAUCACACAAGGAUCAUGGACUGAUUACAGGCCACGGUUACAACAUGAGCACGACAGCAAGCAUGCACAUGUUGAAAGAUAGAACAUCCGGUGACUAAAUGACCUGCAGGGAAAACAUUAGCACUGCACUAUGACCCUAAAAUUUAUGUACCAAAAUAUAGAAAAAAUCCUGACAAUUAGAUUAUAGUAUAAUAAAACAGAAUGGCAAAGACACUGCAGUAUAUAAUAACAAUGAAAGUUAGUUAUCAACAAAACUUAACUAAGUAAGUUAAAUGGGCAAAUGGAUUUGAUUUUGUUAACCAGUUAGAACAAGGUAAUAGUGGCUCACGUGCUUGAGGCCGGUGCGGGGCAUGCAGCAUCUGGUGAAGAACUGGAGCCAUCGGUGCACUUUAUGUGACAAUCUCCAUCUGCAAGGGAGAACGGCAAAACCGUCAUCGAAGAAGCAUUAGAGCAACAAAAGUCCUCCUGAACCUUCGUUUCUGGAGAGGGCAGGUAAAUGUAAAAUAUAUCAAUUCAUAAGCAUGGUAAAACAACAAAAGGAAACAUAAAAAUAGUUUUGGUGAUUUUGAACAAGAUAGAUGUAACAGCAGGGAGGAAACAAAGGCAGUUUGGGCUCACAAGAAUAGAAGUGACACAAUAAGCUGCUGUACUAUGUAAUAAAAAAAAUUACACACAAAAAAAAUAUUCCAAGUCAGAGAAGUAUACUUGUAUUGGGCUGCAAAGUCUGUUCCAGGAAAGUGAAACCAAUUUUAAUCAUAAGGAACAAACCAAGUACAAUUUAAAAGAAAUAGCAGUAAAUUCAUACGUACAAAAUGCAGAAAGUUAGAGGAAUUCUUAUACUUCACCCUACCCAUCUCGCGAACCAGACAAAUCACCCUGGGUGAAGAAACCUGGGUGAGGAAUUCUUAAUCCUCACCCAGGACCGACUAUUCAAAAACCAAUUAAAACGAUAUAUUUGUUCAUCCAGCUUAUGAUGAGUUAUGUCAAUGUGUUUUACCGAUGAGUACAACGUACGCAGACCUAUGGAUGAGAGAAAACCUACAGGUCUAUCCCUCAGCGUCUCAGCAAACAUAUGCACGGUGCCAUGUUUUAUUUGCACAAC